UUUUGCCACGUGGCAGACGUCAGCGAAACUUCGAUGAGCUCGCUUGUGCCUAUUAUUUGAGGGGAAAGUCUCGAAGACCGUUAGUACCGCACUGUUGUCUUCGACGGGAUGUUGCUCUGCCUUAUGGUUUACAAGAAGAUCCUCGCCGCUUUUUACUACCUGCCGGGGUAUCCAACAUGCUCUAAGGCUAUGCGUCGGCGUGGUAUCCGGCGUGCUAUGAAUUUUGCAUGGCCCAUUGAGCCAUUCUUCCAAUACGGUUCCAUGCCCUGGAGUGGGCUUUGGUUUUUUGGGAAUUGGAUCGGGUAACUUAUGAGAGUUUGCCCUUUUAGCUCGGACGAAGGGUUUAGUGAGAGCCGGAUUAUCCCAAAAUUCUGUUUGGGUUUUCCAGGCGCUUUCCAUCGCACAGUACUUCUGUACUAUGGCUGCUAAGUCAGCAAAGUGUACUAUGUCACGGCGACUUAUAGCAUUAAGGAUCCCUUUGUUCGUGCAAUUUUUGCAGAAAAGUGAGAUUGCGUCCUCCUCAUGACAGUCCUUGACCAUGUUUAUCACAAGGAGGAAUCUGACCCAGUAGCGAUGUACUGUCUCUUAGGGCUCUUGUCUGAUAUGGGAAAGAUGGCAUAAGUCUGGGUGGGUGGGCGUAGUUAAGCCCGAAUUCUGACCCGAUUUGACAUCCAGGGGCAGAGGAGCUUCCGGGCUUGGCAGCUCGGACUCCGGGAUGUUACCCAAUUUUUCUGGCCCGUUACCCGAUUCUAAGUCCGGGGUCUAGGUCAUGUCCUCCUGCGAGCGGGUAUCCGGCUUAGAGAGCUCGGUAAUCCUGACAUAGUUCGUCCUCAAAGUAGAGGGAUAAUCCAUGUGUGGCUCUUUCGCUACCGCUAUCUCAUGGGUGACCGGUGAGGAUUUGAUAUCCCUUUGGUCGGGUUUAAAUCCAAUCUGAUCGUAGUCUGUAGCAACUCCCAAAGCGGCGAUGCAAUCCAAUAGCUCAUUAAGGGAUGAGAGCUCCAUUGGAUCCAUCUAUUCGGCGAGUUCCGAAUUGACACGGAGGCUGUUUUUGAUAACCCGAGAGGUCAUCGUCGGCACGGCAGCCGAUCGGGCGAUCAUGACGAAGCCGCCUAGUUGGAAAGUUUGGCCUACCGCCAGGGCUCCCCCAGAGGUGAUGUUGUCAUUGACAACGAGACGAGCCAUCGAGCCUUGCAGCAACGACACAGAGGAACUCCCAAUGAAAGCACCAAUGUCGGUGUCAAAACCGGCGGAUCUCGGGUAGGGGGUCCCGAUUUGUGCGUCUAAGGCUAAUGGUAAUAGGAGGCAGGGGACACGAUGUUUUACCCAGGUUUGGGCCCUCUUGAUGGAGGUAAAACCCUACUUCCUGCUUGAUUGAUCUUGAUGAUAUGAGUAUUACAAGAGUUGAUCUACCACGAGAUCGUAGAGGCUAAACCCUAGGAGCUAGCCUAUGAUGAUUAUGAUUGUUCUUGUCCUACGGACUAAACCCUCCGGUUUAUAUAGACACCGGAGGGGGCUAGGGUUACACAGAGUCGGUUACAAAAAAGGAGAUCUAACAUCCGAAUCGCCAAGCUUGUCUUCCACGCAAAGGAGAGUCCCAUCCGUACACGUGACGAAGUCUUGAGUCUUGUAUCUCCACGGUCCAACAGUCCGUCCAAAGUAUAUAGUCCGGCUGUCCGGAUACCCCCUAAUCCAGGACUCCCUCAGCAGGGGCUCAACAUUGUCACCUUGAAAAUCAAAUCCUUGGUCGAAGAUACUGUCAUCACGCUCGUCCUCGACGAUCAUGUUGUGCAUGAUCCACAAGCAGUCAUCACCUCCCAAUGCUUCCUUUCAUCCCAUGACAGUGCAGGGUAUCGAACGAUGCCCCAUCGGGAUUGAAGCACACCAAAAGCACCUUCCACAUUCUUUCUAGCACCCUCUUGCAUUUAGGCAAAUCUCUUUCUCUUCUCACCUUGGGGCUUCGAGAUUGUCACAAAAGUUAGAUAGUAUCGUUUGUUAUACUGGUGGCCAUUGAUCUCAAAGUUGACAGGUGGGGAGCGGCCUUCUGCAAGCCUCGCGAAGACUGGAGAACAUUGCAGCAUGUUGAUAUCAUUGUGAGAACCUGCCAUGCCGAAGAAAGAAUGCCAUAUCCAGAGAUCCUGCGAUGCCACCGCUUCUAAUAUGACAGUGCACUCGCUGACAUGCCUCUUGUACUAGCCCUGCCAAGCAAAUGGACAGUUCUUCCACUCCCAGUGCAUACAAUCUAUGCUGCCAAGCAUGCCUGGAAAGCCUCUAGCUGUGUUGGUCGCCAACAAUCUCUCUGUAUCAGCGACAGUUGGCUGCCUCAAGUACUCUGGGCCAAACACCUCGAUCACAGCUUGGUAGAACUUCUACAUUGACAUUAGACAUGUUGUCUCGCUCAUACGCACGUACUCAUCCACCAGAUCGCCUGGAAUUCCAUAGGCAAGCAUGCGGACGGCCGCGGUGCAUUUUUGGUAAGAGGAGAACCCAAGCUUGCCAAGGGCAUCCGUCUUGCACUCGAAGUAUGGGUCAUGAGAAACCACUCCUUCUCGGAUACGAUUGAACACAUGCCUUGCCAUUCGAAAACAGCAACGGAAUUUAUCCGGCUUGAAGAGCGGUUUGUUGGAAAAGUAAUCGGCAUAGAGCAGGGCGUGGCCUCUCUCCCUGUUGCGGUUCAGGUUGGGAGCACGGCCAGGGACUGACCCCUUGUAUCGAGGAAGCUGCCGUUGAAUGUGGUCGUGAACGACGAGUGCAGCCACCACAAGAUCUUCAUCAUCCGACGACGAAUCGUCCGACGAACAAAGGAAGUGGUGGAAGAAGAACUCGUCUCCACUGUCCAUUCCUUUGUGGGCAAAAUGUCGAACACCUUGCGGUCGUGGUGGCGAAGAGGCCGCGAUGAUCACCUCGACGCAACAGGGGUGGUUGCUGGCCAGCUACUGGCCGCUCUGGAGCCGUCGAAAGCUGCCGCGGCCGCCGUGGUACGUCGCCGGCGGUCGUGUCUCCUCUGCCACCGGCAAAGACGGCGACAGCCAAACCUCCUCCGAUCGACGGCCAAAACUACGGCGAAAGCGCGGGCGUGGUGGUGGCCAUGUCUACACGUGGUUUGGUAUGGAUGGCCGGGGGCUGCGCGGUGAGGAGGCGGCCGGAGAAUAGCGGCGGCGUCGGCGGCGGGGCGGGGCGGGAGAGAGAGGGUCGAAGCGUUGGGAGGGAGGGACUGCUAGUGUCCCCGGCAGGCGGGCCACNNNNNNNNNNNNNNNNNNNNNNNNNNNNNNNNNNNNNNNNNNNNNNNNNNNNNNNNNNNNNNNNNNNNNNNNNNNNNNNNNNNNNNNNNNNNNNNNNNNNNNNNNNNNNNNNNNNNNNNNNNNNNNNNNNNNNNNNNNNNNNNNNNNNNNNNNNNNNNNNNNNNNNNNNNNNNNNNNNNNNNNNNNNNNNNNNNNNNNNNNNNNNNNNNAAGGGCGUGCGUCGCGGCCGUCCGCGCGCGUCCGUUUCACCCCAAACCGAGCGCAACUUUGGGCCGGGGAUGGGUCAAAAGCGGAUGGAUUCUGGACAUUUGUCCGUUUGAGGCCGUGCGUUGGGCCGCGUCAUUCGUCCGUUUUACCCCAAAUGGACGCACCCGGACAAGAUGGGGUCGCGCGGUAGAGUUGCCCUAACCGCUCAUGCAAAUACGGUUCAGUCGAGCGCCUCAAAUGAUCCUUAAAUGUCUGAGCUGACACCCCUCAUAUCCAGCCCAAAUAUAGGGCGGAUAUGGGGUGCACCCGACCGCGUCCGACACGUCAGCCCGACGGCCUACCCUGACCCCACUCCGUCCCCACAAAUACCUCCAAUUCGAAAACUCUACCUCACUCCACUCUUGAUCCAUCUCUUUUCUUCCCACCGAAUUCUUUAAUUUGAUCCUCUCCGACGACUCCGGUGACCAUGUCAAGCGCCGGCAGCCGCUCCUCCUCCUCCUCCUCCUCCUCCUCCUUCGACUCCGACGAGGAGCUGGCCCUCCGCAUUGCCCUUGAGAUGUCCAAGGUGGACUUAGGUGGCAGUUCCGGAUCUGCCACCUCGCCUCUUCCCGCUGGCACUGGCUCCUCUCGGCCUGCGUAGUCCGCGCCUCCCCCAGGCCGUCCUCUGCCCCCGGCGGCGGUUGCUCCCCAACACGGGUAGCGAUGGGUGUGUGCCCGCUCAGCCGGUCCGGACGCGCACGUCGGAGUCCAAGGCGCGCGCUGCCCGUCACAAGAGGCAACAAGCAAGGGAAAGGGACGCGGCGGAGAGCUCUGUCGGCCGUCGCCGCGGGUUACCGGCGGAGCCCGACGGCUACCACCGGUCGCUUACGACGGCGAGGACGGACACUCGGUGGCUCCGCUAGAAGAGCGCGAAGGCUCUCCGCGGCUUGCCAUCGAGUAGUCCGAGCGCGAGGCCAACGAUAAGGCGACGAAGGCGACUCAGCCGGUGAAGCUCAAGCGCCAGCAGGACCGGUCCGUCUAGUGCCUCAAGGGCCUCAUCAUCGGCUCCUCCUCCUCUGACGACAACAGCUCCUCGUCCGACGAAUCAGACGACCCUCCACCAGCCCCCGACGGCUACAGUUGCGCCAGGGACCGAAAGGGGAAAGGGCCGACCUGGAAGUGGCGAAGAUCCGCUUUCUUCAAUUUAAUUUCAAGUAUUAGAUGUAGUUCAAGGUUGUCCGUCGUUUAUGUGAACUUUGGUGGUCUUUUGAACAUCCGUUCGUGAUCUUUUGGUGAAUACAUUGUGCUUGCCUAUGUCCGUUUCUAUAUCUGACUGUUGAUCUACGUAGUUUGAUCGACGUUGCAUAGUUUAAUAUGAAUAUAGAGGAUCGGAUAUGAGAUACACGGAUGUGGACGGCGCGAUUUAAGGAAUGCCCGGUCAGUGCCCGCGGAUGCGUCCGGGCGCGUCCGCGGGUGUUUGAGGGGGCGGGGCUAAUGGACCUAAUGGUAGUGUAUUAUUCGUUCUCUGGAUCAAGCGUGCGAAGUUUCAGACAAGUUGCGGAUGAAAGCGACGGUCAGAGCCGGGAAUUUCCUCUGUAACCAUGGGCCUGGACCGGCUGGUCAACCCAUCGGUGUGUAGUAUGAACGCAAGACAUUAACUGCACAGCACACACAGUUAACAGGUUGUAAGGUAUCACUUGUCCUCUGCACCUUCUAAUCUCACAAGUCGCUAUGCUAUACGUUGAAGAUUUGACCCGAUUGGUGUGUAGUUUGUGUGGAGUGGAGACCUCAUUAACAUGACAAGCCACUAUUCCGUUGGUAUGUGAUAUAGCAGUAUAAAUCAUGGCAGAUGGAGUCGCCAAGUGUUGCAGUUCACACCGGCACGAUGGCUCUCACUGCUGGCCGCAACCAUCCUGUUCGAUUUUCCAGGGAACGACUCGAGAUCAUGGCCCUUGUUUUGAUGAUGUUUAGCAAGUUUUGGCAUGUCCAUGGCUCUCUUUGGUCAUCUGCCAGGCAUCCGAAGAAAGAGCCAAAACAUUAGCUUAGCUGAUGAACUUUGGGCUUGGCUUAACGAACAAAACACCAAAUUAAAAAGAAAAACGUGCUAUGUUGACUUGCCAAACGAAAGACGCAAAAUCGAACUGAAAAAGAAUGACUCUGGCGAUCAGGCAAGGUAAAAAAGGAGAAGCAGGUCAUGUCGUCGGCGUAGACUUUGAAAAAUGCCACGUUGUCCGAUCGAAACACGGACGCCGGGCAGGUCAGGAUAUCGGCGGAGAAGAAUUUUUAAAAUUGAUUCUCUUGCUUUUCGGCCGUGGCCUUGUGCCGCUUUGGCCGACUUUUCUCUCUCAUAUCAUGCCGCAGAGAGAAUCAAAAUUUUCUCAUGUAAAACCAAACCAUGCCUACUACUCCCUCCAUCCCAAAAUAAGUGACUCAAUUGAGACGGAGGGAGUACUUACUUAUUCGAGCUUUGCUUUGGCACUGAAGAAUCGAUAAUCACAUGAGUUAUGUCCAUGAUCGGGGUAUGAUUUAUAAGCAUGAGCAGCGUGGUCGUUAUCAGGACUUGAGGACAUGAUCGUGUAAGAUUGACCGAGUUAUGUACGUACGGGGAUACUUACUUCAGGCCCAAUUUUGCAGCUAUCAAACACGCACAAAACAACAACACUUUGAUACGAAGUGAUGGAAGCCUGUGUGGUGGCGAGCGGUCACAACUCACAUGUCGCAUGCAGGAGUUGCCGUGGGUCAUAUGGAUAGAUGAUGGCCCCAUUGAGGUGCAGAGGGAAGUACAGCAGGCGUGAACGGAACGAGUCGUCGUUGACCUGGACGGUUCGCGCCAAGAAAAGGAGAUGGAGAUCCUACAGCGACAUCGACGUCCAUCCACGGGACGCGGCUGCUUCUUGGAAACUUCCGCUCGUUUUCCUACUUAGCGGCGCGUGCGAGCGCAAAACAUAAUCAAAGAUGGAAGAAGCCAGGAAAGGAACCAUGGGCCACCGUGGUCACAAAUGUGGAGCUCACAACCACACACACAGAAUCACCAGCGAGCAGGCCGCCUCAAGGCCCACAAGCGUGUAGCGACAUCCCCCUUCGUCACUGAACCAACCUUUUUCUCAACAACUAAACGCCGAACCUGUCUUUUUUUCUUCAUUAGGGUUUUUGUUCUCUCAGAGGCGCUGCGCCGCCGUGGAGCUAUAUUUUCCAUUCCGCCGUCUUCCUCUUGGUUCCCUCAGACUCGGACUGAUAUGGGGUGAUCACUGCCCGGUCUUGGUCGGCCUUUUCUAGGGGCAGACGGAAAUCUAGGGUUCACACAAAAAACCCGAUCUUGCUUGCUCAGUUUAGGGCACCUGAUGGAGAAGGACAUGUCUUCGGGAUCAGCAUCGGGCUCCAUGUCGAGAUCAGCGACAGUCCGUGAGGUGGAGUUGACGAUGAAGGAACUUGGGCUUCGUGAGGAAGACCUAGAUGGUAUGUGCUGUAGGGUGAAACCCUAAGAUUGAUCUUUUCACACUUGGAGGGGAAAAGAGGAAGAACACCAAGAACACAAAGAGGAAUUCACUCCAACAAUACCAAACUACACAUCCACUAGAAUAGCAACACAAGAUCCACAAGUCACAAACACAAUCAAAGGAAAGAUACAAUGGUAGAGUUCUUCCCACUCCUAGGAGAUGAGGUCUUGAUGAUGGUAGUCUUCUCCAAGAUGGAGGUCUUGAAAUCCACAAGUGGAUCCUCUCCAAAGAGGCCUUAAUCUCCAAUGGAGGUGGUAGAAGGAGCAAAGCUCACAAAUAUCUCAUCUAAUCUUUGGUAACCCUAAACAUAACCCUAGGUACAGAAUAUAUAGGCUUGGGGUCGAAGUGGAAGAAGGGGGGAUCCAAAACAGCAUCGCAGCCGCCCAUCCUGUAGGGCCCGUGCGCACGGGGUAAGUUGGUCCCGUGCGCAUGGUACACGCCCGUGCGCACUGGUGCUACUGCCCUAGCUCCAUGUGUAGCCCGUGGGCAUGGGGUCGCCUGGGACUUCCUAUCCAGCUCCUGUUUGGCUCGGUCUUCCUCCUUGGUGACUUGGGUCGCUUCUCCUUGGACUUGGUGGUGCUCCUCAGCUUCUUGGAAGGGCUCCUCUUCGUACCUAAUGAGGCAUAGAGUAUUUUGGUGAGGUAGCAACCAAGUUCCACUUGUAUUCAUAUGCAUGUCAACUAGGAAGGAGUUCACCUCGGUUUCCAUUGUACGUGCUCUAGCUCUUGUCAUUGGUCCAUGUGGUGCUUGAGGUGUCGGUGUAGAGUCCAUGGGGAUGGUGGAAGGAUGCUCCACAUCAUCUCCCCCCCCCAGAGAGAUUCGUCCAUGGAUCGUGAUCUUCAUCACCAUGGUACUUGGCCAAAUCUUGGACGUUGCAGAUGCCGCUUACGUUGUACUUGUCGCGUGGGAUGUCAAUCUUGUAAGUGUUGUUGUUGUAGCGUGCUAGCACCUUGAAAGGUCCGUCGGCUCGUGGAAGUAUCUUUGACUUGCGCUCGUUGGGGAAGCGCUCCUUUCGAAGAUGAAGCCAUACGAGGUCUCCCGGUUGGAACACCAUUGGUGUCUUGUUAAUGUUGAGCUUGUUGGAGAUGCGAUGUACUUGACGCUCGAUCGUUGCCCUUGUAUCUUCAUGCAUCUUCUUGAGAAAACUUGCCCUUGCACUUGCAUCCAUGUUUGCGCGUUCUUGGAGCGGAAGAGGUAGAAUGUCCAAUGGGGACAAUGGGUUGAAGCCGUAGACAACCUCGAAGGGGGACCUACCGGUAGUGGUGUGUCAGGCUCGAUUGUAGGCGUACUCGGCGAUGGGUAAGCACUCCUCCCACUCCUUGAUGUUCUUCUUUAUCAACACGCGAAGUAGAGUGGACGUCCGGUUGGUGAAUUUGGUUUGACCAUCGGUUUGUGGGUGAUAUGCCGUGGCGAAUAGAAGCUUGAUGCCGAGCUUGGCGCAAAUUGUCUUCCAAAAGUAGCUUAAGAACAUGACGUCCCGGUCCGACACUAUGGUCCUUGGCACUCCAUGCAACCUCAAGAUUUCCCUACAAAAAAGAUUUGCAACAUGUGAAGCAUUGUCUAUCUUAUUACAUGGGAUGAAAUGUGCCAUUUUUGAGAAUCGCUCCACAACAACAAAGAAUGAAUCCUUUCCAUUGCGAGCUCUACGCAAACCAAGCACGAAAUCCAUGCUAAUAUCUUCCCAUGGUUGAUAUCGAAUUGGAAGUGGCAUAUGUAAACCAUGAUAUUGAGCUUUGGACUUAGCUUUGCGGCAUGUAGAGCAUUUAUUGGUGAAGCGUGCCACGUCGCGAAACAUCUUUGGCCAAAAGUACUUGAAGGAGAGUGUGGUGAAGGUCUUGUCACAAUCGAAAUGUCCCAUGAGUCCACCUCCGUGAGCCUCUUGAAAAAGCAACAAACGAAGAGAAGACUCGGGUAUACAGUCUUUGUUACUGAUGUCUACUACACAACCUUCUUCUUGUAGACGUUGUUGGGCCUCCAAGUGCGGAGGUUUGUAGGACAGUAGCAAAUUUCCCUCAAGUGGAUGACCUAAGGUUUAUCAAUCCGUGGGAGGCGUAGGAUGAAGAUGAUCUCUCUCAAACAACCCUGCAACCAAAUAACAAAGAGUCUCUUGUGUCCCCAACACACCCAAUACAAUGGUAAAUUGUAUAAGUGCACUAGUUCGGCGAAGAGAUGGUGAUACAAGUGCAAUAUGGAUGGUAGAUAUAGGUUUUUGUAAUAUGAAAAUAUAAAAACAGCAAGGUAACUAAUGAUAAAAGUGAGCAUAAACGCUAUUGAAAUGCUAGGAAACAAGGCCUAAGGUUCAUACUUUCACUAGUGCAAGUUCUCUCAACAAUAAUAACAUAAUUGGAUCAUAUAACUAUCCCUCAACAUGCAACAAAGAGUCACUCCAAAGCCACUAAUAGCGGAGAACAAACGAAGAGAUUAUGGCAGGGUAUGAAACCACCUCAAAGUUAUCCUUUCUGCUCGAUCUAUUCAAGAGUCCGUAGUAAAAUAACACGAAGCUAUUCUUUCCGUUCGAUCUAUCAUAGAGUUCGUACUAGAAUAACACCUUAAGACACAAAUCAACCAAAACCCUAAUGUCACCUAGAUACUCCAAUGUCACCUCAAGUAUCCGUGGGCAUGAUUAUACGAUAUGCAUCACACAAUCUCAGAUUCAUCUAUUCAACCAACACAAAGUACUUCAAAGAGUGCCCCAAAGCUUCUACCGGAGAGUCAAGACGAAAACCUGUGCCAACCCCUAUGCAUAGAUUCAUUGAACCGGCAAGUUGAUCACCAAAACAUACAUCAAGUGGAUCACGCGAAUAUCCCAUUGUCACCACAGAUAAGCACGACAAGACAUACAUCAAGUGUUCUCAAAUACUUAAAUACUCACUCCAGACAACUUCAAAGGGAAAACUCAAUUCAUCAUAAGAGAGUAGAGGGGGAGAAACAUCAUAAGAUCCAACUAUAAUAGCAAAGCUCGUGAUACAUCAAGAUCGUGCGAAGUCAAGAACACGAGAGAGAGAGAGAGAGAGAGAGAGAGAGAGAGAUCAAACACAUAGCUACUGGUACAUACCCUCAACCCCGAGGGUGAACUACUCCCUCCUCGUCAUGGAGAGUGCCGGGAUGAUGAAGAUGGCCACCGGUGAUGGGUUCCCCCUCCGGCAGGGUGCCGGAACGGGCUCCCGAGAGGUUUUUGGUGGCUACAGAGGCUUGCGGCGGUGGAACUCCUGAUCUAUUCUGUUCCCCGAAGGUUUUAGGGUAUAUGAACUUAUAUAGGCGAAAGAAGUGGGCCGGGGGAGCCAUGAGGGGCCCACGAGUGUGGAGGGCGCGCCCAGGAGGGUGGGCGCGCACCCCUGCCUCGUGGCCUCCUUGAAGCUUCCCUGACUUCAGCUCCACGUCUCAUGGAUCAUGUUCAUUCCAAAAAUCACGCUCCCGAAGGUUUCAUUCCGUUUGGACUCCGUUUGAUAUUCCUUUUCUUCGAAACACUGAAAUAUGCAAGAAAACAUCAAUAUGGGUUGGGCCUCCAGUUAAUAGGUUAGUCUCAAAGUAAUAUAAAAGUGCUUAGUAAAGCCCAUAAACAUCCAAAACAGAUAAUAUAAUAGCAUGAAUGCUUCAUAAAUUAUAGAUACGUUGGAGACGUAUCAACAUCCCCAAGCUUAAUUCCUGCUCGUCCUCGAGUAGGUAAAUGAUAAAAGAAAGAAUUUAUGAAGUGUGAAUGCUAUUAGGUGCACAAGUUUGAUCAAUGAUAAUUUCAAUCACCUUUUCUAGCAUGAUUAUAUGUCAUAACAGUAGUUCAUCUCAUAAAACUUCUCAAGAUCAAGUAACAAGCUAUUCACAUGUUAAAGCAUAGACCAUAAACUUUCUUGAAAACUAGCAAACUUCAUUCUCGGUCAUCAAACAAUUACAAUUCAUCUUAUUUUCAGGAAGGGUCUAUGUCAGAGCUUUGAUUUAGCAAACUCCACAUACUCAACUAUCAUAUAGUCUUCCAUGAAUGCUACCACUCAAAAAUUAUUCUUAGAACAAAUAGCAUCCAUCGAACACAGAGAAAGAUAGAGGCUUAGUGUUUUGCCUCCCAACUCACUUAUCAUGUAGAUAAUUGUCAACAAUAAUAAUUCGUGAUCAAAUAUAUUUGCAUGGCCAUAGAUGCUUAGAUAUUUCCCCAACACACGAUGCUUGCCAACUAAAGAGUAGGUAGGAAAGAGAAGGAAUACUACUGCUCUUGCAUAAAAGUAAAAGAUAGGCCCUUCGCAGAGGGAAGUAGGGAUUUGCAGAGGUGCCAGAGCUCGAUUUUGAAAUAGAGAUAAAUAAUUUUGAGAGGCAUGCUUUCAUUGUCAACAUAACAACCAAGAGUUCCCAAUAUCUUCCAUACUACAUACAUUAUAGGCGGUUCCCAAACAGAAUGGUAAAGUUUUUACUCCCCCUCCACCAACAAUCAUCAAUCCAUGGCUUGCCCGAAACAACGGGUGCCUCCAACAAACAUCAAUCCUGGGGGAGUUUUGUUUGCAAUUAUUUUUGAUUUGAUUUUGAUCUUUUGAUCAUGGGACUGGGCAUCCCAGUUACCAGCCAUUUUUCUCGUGAAUGAUGAGCGGAGUCCACUCAUCUUGAGAAUAACCCACCUAGCAUGGAAGAUACUGACAACCCCUGGUCGCUACAUGAGCGAUUCGGGCAUACAAAACAGAUUAUUAUUUGAAGGGUUAGAGUUUGGCACAUGCAAAUUUACUUGGAACGGCAGGUAAAUACCGCAUAUAGGUAGGUAUGGUGGACACUCAUGGAAGAAACUUGGUUCAAAGGAUUUGGAUGCACAAGCAGUAUUCCCACUUAGUACAAAUAUUUUGGCUAGCAAAGGAUUCUAAAAAGCAAGCACCACAUGUUGGAGGAUCUAUAACAAUAUAAUUUCUAUACAAAUACACCCAAGCAUAACUCAUUACGUUGUCUUCCUUGUCCAACUUCAACUAAUUUGCUCAGGUUUGAAAAUAAUUAAUGGGGCUCACAAUCAUAGAAGAUGUCUAAGAUAGUAUAUUUAUAUGUGAAAUCUCUCUUCCUUCAAUAUUCUUUCAUGAAUUGUUCAAGUGACCAAUACAAUGCUUGCUAACCUUCAAUAAAUUUACUACCUCUACUUCUUAGAUGUGAAGUCAUUAAUCCCAACGGGGUAAGCAUACGAAACAUAUAUAAUUUCAGAUUUAUGACAUUUAACUCAUUCAACCAUUUACUCAUAGGAUAUAAGUGAAGCACAUGAGUAAAUGACAAACUACUCCAAAAAGAUAUAAGUGAAGAUCAAUGAGUAGUUAAAUAAUUAUGUAGCUAUGUGAAGACUCUCUAUCAUUUAAGAAUUUCAGAUCUUGGUAUUUUAUUCAAAUAGCAAGCAAAGCAAAAUAAAAUUACAUUGCAAGGAUAGCACAACUCAUGUGAAGAAGCAAAAACUUAGGCUCAACCGAUACUAACCGAUAAUUGUUGAAGAAGAAAGGUGGGAUGCCUACCGGGGCAUCCCCAAGCUUGGAUGCUUGAUACUUAUUGAAAUAUUAUCUUGGGGUGCCUUGGUCAUCCCCAAGCUUGAGCUUUUGUGUCUCCUUAAUUCCUUUUAUAUCUCGGUUUCCUAAAUCUCGUAAGCUUCAUCCACACUAAACUCAACAGGAACUUGUGAGAUAAGUUAGUAUAAACCAAUGCAAAAACCUUAUCAUUUUCUACUGUAACAAAUCACUAAGAUUGUUAUUCAACAUUGAAUACUAAAUGUCUCUGCAUAUUUAAUACUCCUAUCCUCAAAUAGAAUCAUUAAACAAGCAAACAUAUGCAAACAAUGCAAACAUAACAGCAAUCUACCAAAACAGUAUAGUCUGUAAAGAAUGCAAUAUUCAUCAUACUUACCUAACUCCAAAAAUUAUGAGAAACAUACUACGCUGUAGAAGAUUUAUCAUAGCUCAAUAUUCAAAAAGUUCCAACAUUAUAUCAUUCUCUGACUUUUCUAGGGAAUUUUUGCAACAGCGGUAAACUUUCUGUUUUCAAACAGCAACAUGUAUACUAGCUAAGUAAGCAUGGUAAAGGCUAUCCUUGACGUUUUUAUUGAAAGUAUAGAAGCAAAACAUUAUUCUAAAUAACAGCAAGCAAAUACUAACAAAAGAAAAUGACGCUCCAAGCAAAACACAUAUCAUGUGGUGAAUAAAAAUAUAGCUCCAAGUAAAGUUACCGAUGAAUGAAGACGAAAGAGGGGAUGCCAUCCGGGACAUCCCCAAGCUUAGGCUCUUGGUUGUCCUUGAAUAUUACCUUGGGGUGCCUUGGGCAUCCCCAAUCUUAGGCUCUUGACAUUCCUUAUUCCAUAGUCCAUCGAAUCUUUACCCAAAACUUGAAAACUUCACAACACAAAACUCAACAGAAAACUCGUAAGCUCCGUUAGUAUAAGAAAAUAAAACCACCACUUAGGUACUGUAAUGAACUCAUUCUAAAUUCAUAUUGGUGUAAUAUAUACUGUAUUCCAACUUCUCUAUGGUUCAUACCCUCCGAUACUACUCAUAGAUUCAUCAAAAUAAGCAAACAACACAUAGAAAACAAAAUCUGUCAAAAACAGAACAGACUGUAGUAAUAUGUAUCAAACGUAUACUUCUGGAACUCCAAAAUUCCUACCAAAUUAGGAAGUACUAAGAAAUUUGUGUACCAAUGCAAAGAAAAAAUAAUCAGAUCCAAAGCACGUUUCUGUGAAUUAUCAAAACAAAUUUACUGAGUGCAAAAGUUUCUGAUUCUCAGCAGAAUCAACACAACUAUCACCGUGAGCUAUCCUAGAGGUCUUACUUGGCACUUUAUUGAAACAAAAGCUAUAAAACAUGAUUACUACAGUAGCAUAAUCAUGUGAACACACAAAAACAGUAAGGAUAAAUAUUGGGUUGUCUCCCAACAAGCGCUUUUCUUUAAUGCCUUUCUAGCUAGGCAUGAUGAUUUCAAUGAUGCUCGCAUAAAAGAUAAGAAUUGAAACAUAAAGAGAGCAUCAUGAAGAAUAUUACUAACACAUUUAAGUCUAACCCACUUCCUAUGCAUAGGGAUUUUGUGAGCAAACAAGUUAUGGGAACAAUAAUCAACUGGCAUAGGAAGGCAAAACAAGCAUAACUUCAAAAUUUUAAGCACAUAAAGAGGAAACUUGAUAUUAUUGCAAUUCCUACAAGCAUAUGUUCCUCCCUCAUAAUAAUUUCCAGUAGCAUCAUGAAUGAAUUCAACAAUAUAACCAGCACAUAAAGCAUUCUUUUCAUGAUCUACUUGCAUAGAAAAUUUACUACUCUCCACAUAAGCAAAUUCUUCUUUUAUGGCAUACGUAUCAUCACAAUAAUCAUCAUAAAUAGGAGGCAUGCUUUCAUCAUAAUAAAUUUGCUCAUCAAAACUUGGGGGACAAAAAAUAUCAUCUUCAUCAAACAUAGCUUCCCCAAGCUUGUGGCUUUGCAUAUCAUUAGCAUCAUGGAUAUUCAAGGAAUUCAUACUAACAACAUUGCAAUCAUGCUCAUCAUACAAAGAUCUAGUACCAAACAUUUUAAUGCAUUCUUCUUCUAGCAAUUGAGCACAAUUUUCCUUUCCAUCAUUCUCACGAAAGAUAUUACAAAGAUGAAGCGUAUGAGGAAAACUCAAUUCCAUUUUUUGGUAGUUUUCUUUUAUAGACUAAAUUAAUGAUAAAACAAGAAACAAAAAGAUUCGAUUGCAAGAUCUAAAGAUAUACCUUCAAGCACUCACCUCCCCGGAAACGGCCCCAGAAAAGAGCUUGAUGUCUACUACACAAACUUCUUCUUGUAGACGUUCUUGGGCCUCCAAGUGCAGAGGUUUGUAGGACAGUAGCAAAUUUCCCUCAAGUGGAUGACCUAAGGUUUAUCAAUCUGUGGGAGGCGUGGGAUGAAGAUGGUCUCUCUCAAACAACCCUGCAACCAAAUAACAAAGAGUCUCUUGUGUCCCCAACACACCCAAUACAAUGGUAAAUUGUAUAGGUGCACUAGUUCGGCAAAGAGAUGGUGAUACAAGUGCAAUAUGGAUGGUAGAUAUAGGUUUUUGUAAUCUGAAAAUAUAAAAACAGCAAGGUAACUAAUGAUAAAAGUGAGCAUAAACGGUAUUGCAAUGCUAGGAAACAAGGCCUAAGGUUCAUACUUUCACUACUGCAAGUUCUAUCAACAAUAAUAACAUAAUUGGAUCAUAUAACUAUCCCUCAACAUGCAACGAAGAGUCACUCGAAAGCCACUAAUAGUGGAGAACAAACGAAGAGAUUAUGGUAGGGUACGAAACCACCUCAAAGUUAUCCUUUCUGCUCGAUCUAUUCAAGAGUCUGUAGUAAAAUAACACGAAGCUAUUCUUUCUGUUCGAUCUAUCAUAGAGUUCGUACUAGAAUAACACCUUAAGACACAAAUCAACCAAAACCCUAAUGUCACCUAGAUACUCCAAUGUCACCUCAAGUAUCCAUGGGCAUGAUUAUAUGAUAUGCAUCACACAAUCUCAUAUUCAUCUAUUCAACCAACACAAAGUACUUCAAAGAUUGCCCCAAUGUUUCUACCGGAGAGUUAAGACGAAAAUGUGUGCCAACCCCUAUGCAUAGAUUCAUUGAACCCGCAAGUUGAUCACCAAAACAUACAUCAAGUGGAUCACGUGAAUAUCCCAUUGUCACCACAGAUAAGCACGGCAAGACAUACAUCAAGUGUUCUCAAAUCCUUAAAGACUCAAUCCGAUAAGAUAACUUCAAAGGGAAAACUCAAUUCAUUACAAGAGAGUAGAGGGGGAGAAACAUCAUAAGAUCCAACUAUAAUAGCAAAGCUCGCGAUACAUCAAGAUCGUGCGAAGUCAAGAACACGAGAGAGAGAGAGAGAGAGAGAGAGAGAGAGAGAGAUCAAACACAUAGCUACUGGUACAUACCCUGAGCCCCGAGGGUGAACUACUCCCUCCUCGUCAUGGAGAGCGCCGGGAUGAUGAAGAUGGCUACGGGUGAUGGGUUCCCCCUCCGGCAAGGUUCCGGAACGGGCUCCCGAGAGGUUUUUGUUGGCUACAGAGGCUUGCGGUGGCGGAACUCCCGAUCUAUUUUGUUCCCCGAAGGUUUUAGGGUAUAUGGACUUAUAUAGGCGAAAGAAGUCGGUCGGGGGAGCCACGAGGGGCCCACGAGGGUGGAGGGCAUGCCCAGGGGGGUGGGCGCGCCACCUGCCUCGUGGCCUCCUUGAAGCUUCCCUGACUUCAGCUCCACGUCUCCUGGAUCAGGUUUGUUCCAAAAAUCAUGCUCCCGAAGGUUUCAUUCCGUUUGGACUCCGUUUGAUAUUCCUUUUCUUCGAGACACUGAAAUAGGCAAGAAAACAACAAUAUUGGCUGGGCCUCUGGUUAAUAUGUUAGUCCCAAAAAUAAUAUAAAAGUGCUUAGGAAAGCCCAUAAACAUCCAAAACAGAUAAUAUAAUAGCAUGAAUGCUUCAUAAAUUAUAGAUACGUUGGAGACGUAUCAGUUACCACGCAUAAGGUAGCCAUCCUUGAGAUAAAAUUUCUCCCAACAAGUGUGAGUAAGGCAUUUGGCAUAAUGUAGUGCAAAGGAAGGAUCAUUCACAUAAAGAUCUUUAAUAUGCUCAAAGCCAAUAAUAUUUAACUCAAGUUGAGUAACAAGCAUGCAUAUGCGGGAAAGAGCAUCCGCCACUACAUUUUCUUUGCCUUUAAUGUACUUGAUCACAUAAGGGAAACACUAAAUAAAUUCACUCCAUCUAGCAUGUCAUUUAUUCAACUUAGUUUGACCUUUAAGGUACUUUAGUGUCUCAUGAUCGGUAUGUAUGACAAAUUCAUGUGGGCGAAGAUAAUGUUCCCAAACAUGUAAUACUCGCACUAAUGCAUACAAUUAUUUGUCAUAUAUAGGAUAGUUAAGUUGAGCACCAGAGAGUUUUUCACUAAAAUAUGCAAUGGGUCACUUUUCUGCAUCAAAACUCUACCAAUUCCAUGACUGCUAGCAUCACAAUGGACCUCCAAAGUUCUGGUGAAAUCGGGUAAUGCAAGAAUUGGAGCAUGUGUAAGCAAAGAUUUGAGCUCAUCAAAUGUGGUAGAUUGGGAUGUUCCCCAAACAAAAGGUGUGUUUUUCUUACUCAAAGCAUGCAACGGUGCAGCAAUAGUGCUAAAGUAUUUCGCACAGCAACGAUAGAAACCCGCUAGACCAAGGAAACUAUGCACUUGUUGCAAAUUAGUGGGUUGGGGCCAAAUUUUAAUUGCUUCAAUUUUAGACUCGUUUACAUGAACUCCCUUGGAAGACACAACAAAGCCCAAGAAAACUAUCUUGUCAACACCAAAAGUGCAUUUCUCCAUAUUGGCAUAGAGACGCUCUUUUCUAAGUGUUUGCAAAACGGCCCUAAUAUGAUUCACAUGCUCUUUGAGGGAUUUUCUAAACAUAAGAAUGUCAUCAAAGUAUACUACAAUGAACACACCAAUGUAAGGAUGAAGCACAUAUGCAUAAGUCACAUGAAAGUACCAGGUGCUUCCAAUAAGCCCAUAGGCAUCACUAACCACUCAUACAAACCAAACUUUUUUGAAAACGGUUUUCCAUGCAUCACCCUCUUGUAUGCGGAUUUGAUAGUAACCACUUUUGAGAUCAAUUUUUGAGAAAAUAGGGGCACCGCUAAGCUCAUCUAACAUCUCAUCGAGGUGUGGAAUGGGAUGCCUCUAGCGAACGGUGAUAGCAUUGAUAGGUCUACAAUCGGAACACAUGUGAAAGCUACCAUCACGUUUUGGCACAAGAAUGACCGGAACGGCACAAGGACUCAAACUUUCACGCACAUGUCCAUGGUCUAUGAGAUGUUGAACUUGCCUUUGUAUUUAUUUGGUCUCAUCGAGGUUGACGCAGUAUGGAGCCUUGUUAGGAAGAGGUGCUCCGGGGAUGAGGCCGAUCCGAUGUUCAAUGCCACGUAGAGGAGGAAGACCGGGAGGUAGCUCAUCGGGAAAGACAUAGGCGAAUUCCUGCAACAAGUUAUACAACACUAGAGGAAGAGUAUUAGAAGUGUUAGUCUUUGCCACCUCAUCUUUGCACACUAGGACAUAGUGGAUGACACUCGAUGGGUUCUCACACACUUCUCUCAUCUCUCUUUUUGUGGCUAGGAGGAUUAAGUUUUUCUCUCUUGGCAAAGAGUCGCUCAAUUUGGGCUUAUGGCGCUCACUCUCUUUGUGGUGGUUCAUUCUCUCACUAGUAUCUCCAUGAUUGGUGGAUGCUUGCUUGUUGGCGAUCACUUGGCUUGGAGACAUAGGUCGUAGCACGUAAUCUGUUCCCUUCAUCUUGAAGCUAUAGUGGCUUGUUCUCCCGUUGUGGAUGACACUGAUACGUCUCCAAUGUAUCUAUAAUUUUUGAUUGCUCCAUGCUAUAUUAUCUACUGUUUUGGGCAAUAUUGGGCUUUAUUAUCCACUUUUAUAUUAUUUUUGGGACUAACCUAUUAACCGGAGGCCCAACCUAGAUUUGCUGUUUUAUGCCUACUUCAGUGUUGCGAGGAAAAGUAAUAUCAGACGGAGUCAAAACGGAACGAAAUCAACUGGAAAAGUUAUUUUUGGAAGGAAAGCCACCGGAUAGACUUGGACUCUACGUCAGAAGAUACGGGAGCUGGUCACGAGGGUGGGGGGCGCACCCACCCCCCUAGGGCGCGCCCCUGCCUCGUGGGCCCCCCGAAGCUCCACCGACGUACCCCUUGCACCCAUAUAUAUCUACGUACCCUAAAACUUCCAGAACAGAAGAUAGAUCGGGAGUUCCGCCGCCGCAAGCCUCUGUAGCCACCAAAAACCUCUCAGGAGCCCGUUCCGGCACCCUGCCGGAGGGGGAUCCCAUCACCGGUGGCCAUCUUCAUCAUCCUGGCGCUCUCCAUGACGAGGAGGGAGUAGUUCACCCUCGGGGCUGAGGGUAUGUACCAGUAGCUAUGUGUUUGAUCUCUCUCUCAUGUUCUUGAUUUGGCACGAUCUUGAUGUAUCUCGAGCUUUUCUAUUAUAGUUGGAUCUUAUGUUUCUUCUCCCCCUCUACUCUCUUGUAAUGGAUUGAGUUUUCCCCUUGAAGUAAUCUUAUCGAAUUGAGUCUUUAAAGAUUUGAGAACACUUGAUGUAUGUCUUGCCGUGCGUAUCUGUGGUGACAAUGGGAUAUCACGUGCCACUUGAUGUAUGUUUUGGUGACCAACUUGCGGGUUCCGCCCAUGAACCUAUGCAUAGGGGUUGGCACACGCUUUCGUCGUGAUUCUCCGGUAGAAACUUUGGGGCACUCUUUGAGGUUCUAUGUGUUGGUUUGAAUAGAUGAAUUGAGAUUGUGUGAUGCAUAUCGUAUAAUCAUGACCACGGAUACUUGAGGUGACAUUGGAGUAUCUGGGUGACAUUAGGGUUUUGGUUGAUUUUUAUCUUAAGGUGUUAUUCUAGUACGAACUCUAGGGCUGUUUGUGACACUUAUAGGAAUAGCCCAACGGAUUGAUUGGAAAGAAUAACUUUGAGGUGGUUUCGUACCCUACCAUAAUCUCUUCGUUUGUUCUCCGCUAUUAGUGACUUUGGAGUGACUCUUUGUUGCAUGUUGAGGGAUAGUUAUAUGAUAUAAUUAUGUUAUUAUUAUUGAGAUAACUUGCACUAGUGAAAGUAUGAACCCUAGGCCUUGUUUCAACGCAUUGCAAUACCGUUUACGCUCACUUUUAUCAUUAGUUACCUUGCUGUUUCUAUAUUUUCAGAUUACAAAAACCUAUAUCUACCAUCCAUAUUGCACUUGUAUCACCAUCUCUUCGCCGAACUAGUGCACCUAUACAAUUUACCAUUGUAUUGGGUGUGUUGGGGACACAAGAGACUCUUUGUUAUUUGGUUGCAGGGUUGUUUGAGAGAGACCAUCUUCAUCCUACGCCUCCUACGGAUUGAUAAACCUUAGGUCAUCCACUUGAGGGAAAUUUGCUACUGUCCUACAAACCUGUGCACUUGCAGGCCCAACAACGUCUACAAGAAGAAGGUUGUGUAGUAGACAUCAAGCUCUUUUCUGGCGUCGUUGCCGGUGAGUUGAGUGCUUGAAGGUAUAUCUUUAGAUCUUGCAAUCGAAUCUUUUUGUUUCUUGUUUUAUCACUAGUUUAGUUUAUAAAAGAAAACUACAAAAAAAUGGAGUUAAGUUUGUCUCUUACGCUUCGUCUUUUUAAUAUCUUUCGUGAGAAUGAUGGAAAGGAAAGUUGUGCUCAAGUACUAGAAGAAGAAUGCAUUAAAAUGCUUGGUACUAGAUCUUUGUAUGAUGAGCAUGAUUGCAAUGUUGUUAGUAUGAAUUCCUUGAAUAUCCAUGAUGCUAAUGAUAUGCAAAGCCACAAGCUUGGGGAAGCUAUGUUUGAUGAGAAUGAAAUAUUUGAGAAUAUAUUUGCUGAAAUUAAUGUUUGUCCCAAGCUUGGGGAUGCUAUGUUUAAUGAAGAUGAUAUUUUUAGCAUCCCAAGUUUUGAUAUGCAAGGUUGUUAUGAUGAUAGUAUGCCUCCUACCUAUGAUGAUUAUAUUGAUGAAAGUGGGUUUGGAAGAGUGUCAACUUUAGGAAGUAGUGAUCCCACUAUUUUGGAGGAUGUUGAAUUUUAUUGUGAUGAAUAUGAAAGUGGAUUUGGAAGAGUGUCAACUUUAUUUAGCGAUUCCACUAUCUUGGGAGAGGUUUCAAUCGAUUAUGAUGAGAACGAAGUUGCUACUUAUGAUGAUUAUUGUGAUGAAACUUAUGCUAUAAAAAGUAGUGAUGAUUAUAUUUACAAAUCUUGUCAUGAUUAUGAUUACCCUUUUUUUGAACAUUACUCUUUUAAUGUGGAAACAAUUUUUAGUGUUCAAGUCUCUUAUGAUACUCCCACUAUUUCGAAUGAGAAGAAUUUUGUUUAUGUGGAGAGUAGUAAAAAGUCUAUGCUUGUAGAUAAUGAAAAGAAUGCUUUAGGUGCUGGUUAUAUUGUUGAAUUCAUUCAUGAUGCUACUGAAAAUUAUUAUGAGGGAAGAAUAUAUGCUAGUAGGAAUUGCAAUUAUAUCAAGUUUCCUCCCUAUGUGUUGAAAGUCUUGAAGUUAUGCUUGUUUUACUUUCCUAUGCUAGUUGAUUAUUGUUCCCAUAAGUUGUUUGCUCACAAAAUCCCUAUGCAUAGGAAGUGUGUUAGGCUUAAAUGUUCUAGUCAUAUGCUUCAUGAUGCUCCCGUUAUGUUUCAAUUACUAUCUUUUAUGUGAGCAUCAUUGUCAUCAUCAUGCCUAGCUAGAAAGGCAUUAAAGAAAAGCGCUUGUUGGGAGACAACCCAAUAUUUAUCCUUACUAUUUUUGUGUGUCCACAUUAUUAUGCUACUGUAGUAAUCAUGUUUUAUAGGUUUUGUUUCAAUAAAGUUCCAAGUAAGACCUUUAGGAUAGCUUACGGUGAUAGUUGUGUUGAUCCUGCUGAAAAUCAGAAACUUUUGCACCCAGUAAAUUAUUUUUUUAAUUCACAUAAACGUGCUAUUUAUCUGAUUCUUUUUGCUCUGGAUUGGUACACAAAUUUCUUAGGACCUCCUAAUUUGGUAGAAUUUUUGUAGUUCCAUAAGUAUACGUUUGAUACAGAUUACUACAGACUGUUCUGUUUUUGACAGAUUCUGUUUUCUAUGUGUUGCUUACUUAUAUUGAUGAAUCUAUGAGUAGUAUGUUAGGGUAUGAACCAUAGAUAAGUUGGAGUACAGUAGAUAUUACACCAAUAUGAAUUUAGAAUGAGUUCAUUACAGUACCUAAGUGGUGGUUUUCUUUUCUUUUGCUAACGGAGCUUACGAUUUUUCUAUUAAGUUUUGUGUUGUGAAGUUUUCAAGUUUUGGGUAAAGAUUCGAUGGACUAUGGAAUAAAGAGUGGCAAGAGCCUAAGCUUGGGGAUGCCCAAGGCACCCCCAAUGUAAUAUUAAAGUACAAUCAAGAGCAUAAGGUUGGGGAUGCUCCCGAAGGCAUCCCCUCUUUCGUCUUCGUUCAUUGGUAACUUUACUUGGAGCUAUAUUUUUAUUCACCACAUGAUAUGUGUUUUGCUUGGAGCAUCAUUUUCUUUUGUUAGUAUUUUCUUGCUGCUUUUUAGAAUAAUGUUUUGCAUCUUUAGUUUCAAUAAAAAUGUCAAGGAUAGCCUUUGCCAUGAUUAUUUUGCUAGUAUACAUGUUGCUGUUUGAAAACAGAAGGUUUACCGCUGUUGCAAAAAAUUCCCUAGAAAAGUAAGUGAGUGGUAUAAUGUUGAAACUUUUUGAAUAUUGAGCUCUGAUAAAUUUACUACUGUGGGAAUUUUAUUUCAUAAUUUUUUGAGUUUGGGAAGUAUGAUGAAUCUUGCAUUCUUUACAGACUGUACUGUUUUGGCAGAUUGCUGUUAUGUUUGCAUAUGUUUGCUUGUUUAAUGAUUCUAUUUGAGGAUAGGAGUAUUAAAUAUGCAGAGGCAUUUAGUAUUAAAUGUGGAAUAAUAAUUUUAGUGAUUUGUUACAGUAGAAAAUGAUAAGGUUUUGCAUUGGUUUAUACUAACCUAUCUCACGAGUUCUAGUUGAGUUUGUUGUGGAUGAAGCUUUUGAUAAAAAGAGAAACCAUGAUAUGAGAGGAAUUAAGGAGACACAAAAGUUCAAGCUUGGGGAUGCCCAAGGCACCCCAAGAUAAUAUUUCAAGAAGUCUCAAGCAUCUAAGCUUGAGGAUGCUCCGAUAGGCAUCCCACCUUUCUUCUUCAACAACUAUCGGUUAGUAUCGGUUGAGCCUAAGUUUUUGCUUCUUCACAUGAGUUGUGCUAUCCUUGCAAUGUCAUUUUAUUUUGUUUUGCUUGCUGCUUGAUUAGAAUACCAAGAUCUGAAAUUCCUUAAUGUUAGAGAGUCUUCACAUAGUUGCACAAUUAUUCGACUACUCAUUGAUCUUUACUUAUAUCUUUCCGAGUAGUUUGUCAUUUGCUCUAGUGCAUCACUUAUAUCUUUUAGAGCACGGUGGUAGUUUUAUUUUUAAGAAAUAGAUGAACUCUCAUUCUUCACUUGUAUUAUUUUGAGAGUCUUAAACAGCAUGGUAAUUUGAAUAAAAACUAUCAUAGAAAGUGAGUUGGAUGCUAUGAUCAAUUUGAUACUUGAUAAUUGUUUUGAGAUAUGGAGGUAGUGAUAUUAAAGUCAUGCUAGUUGGGUGAUUAUGAAUUUAAAGAAUGCUUGUGUUGAAGUUAGCAAGUCCCUUAGCAUGCACGUAUGGUUAAAAUUGUGUAACAAAUUUGAAACAUGAAGUGUACCUGGCUUGUGCAUCCUUAUGAGUGGCGGUCGGGGACGAGCGAUGGUCUUUUCCUACCAAUCUAACCCCCUAGGAGCAUGCGCAUAGUGUCGUGGUUCUAAGUCUGACAGUAGAGUGGGGGUAGGUAUGGAGAGGCAAGGUCCUAGCUAUGGAGCAGUUGUAAACACAAGGGAUGUAUGAGUUCAGGCCCUUCUCGGAGGAAGUAAUAGCCCUACGUCUCGGAGCCCGGAGGCGGUCGACUGGAUUAUGUGUGUAUGGAUUACAGGGGUGCGAACCCUUUACACUAAGGAGGGGGUGGCUUAUAUAGUGCCUGCCAGACCCCUCCGACCCUCAGUAAUGCGGGGUUUAAAGUACAUUAAGUCUAGGUGUUACUGGUAACGCCUCACAUAAAGUGUCCUAAAUGCCAUAAAGUCUACUUAAUUACAGACCAUUGCGAUGCAGAGUCUCUCUUGUCCUUCUGGUGGUCGAGUGAGUCUUCAUGGUCGAGUCCUUUGAGUCCGUCGAGUGAAGUCUCUCUUGGUCGACUGGAGGGUAGUUUCUUCUAAGGGUGUCCUUGGGUAGGGUACUUAGAUCAGGUCUAUGACCCUACCCUAGGUACAUGACUUCAUCAUUAGCCCCCGAAUGGAUUGAGGUUUGAGUGAGGAAGGAGUUGAUAUUAUUUCCGACCUGCUUUUACGUUAUGGAUGUGUAUCGUCUUGGACCAAUAAUCUCUUCGUUGAUAAUCAGCAACCUUUCUUCAGUCGCCUUGAUCCAUUCUUUUCUCUCGUCGAGUGAACUUUUGAACUUAGCAAUCUCCGAGCGACGGAUCGCAGGAAAUCUCUCGUCGGACAGAUCGAUCUGCCGUUCGCGGAUUUUGUGGGAUCCGAAUUUUGGGGAAGCGCGCGAAGCAGGGCGGACCGCGGCGCUCGGAUGGGAUAGAGCAUAGAUGCCUCGAUUCUCGCGCCACCUUUUUCGCCACGUAUCGCGUACGCGCGACUGUUUUGGGAUGUGAUUGGACUGCCUGGGCCCACCUGUCAUCCACUCGGAAGUGUUCUUAUAAAGGCGUCCGGCGAGGGUUUUUGAACAGUGUCUCUCCAUUCUCCCUCCUCUGUCCUCUCCGCCUCCGCCCGCAUCGCCUGCCCUCACCUCUGCCCAACCACUCCUCGUGCGCCUCGACGGCAACAAUGGUGAAGGAGAGGACGGCGGCUCUGGAGCGCGCAAAGAAGGCGACGGCGAAGGGGAAGGCGAAAGGAAGAGCGACCAGUCGGGGCGGAUCUUCGUCCAGGUCCUGUCUGCCGCACGGCUGGGUCCAAGGAGAUUGGAUCCGGUCGUCCAUCACCGAGAGGGAUCUGACGGAGAUGGCCAAUGAGGGUUUGAUUCCCCACGGGGCAGCGAGGCUCCCGGGGGACGAGUGGCAACCGCAACCGGAAGAGGGUGAGUGCGUUCUUCUGGCUACCCAUGUCGACCGCGGGUUCUCUCUGCCUCCGAGUGUAUUUUUCCGUGGUUUCUUGAAUUUCUUCGGGGCGCAACUCCACCACUUCAAUCCAAACUCCAUCGCCUACCUUGCUGCCUUUGUGUCCAUGUGUGAGAACUUCCUGGGCUGCCGACCGCACUGGGGUCUGUUCAAGCACAUAUUCACUUGUCGUUCUCAGACAGUGAAAAAGGCAAGUCCAGAUGACGACAAGACCAAGUUUAUUCAGAUGUGUGGAGGUCUGGGGAUCCAGAUGAGAAACAAGAGCACUUUUCCGACCAUGACUCUCCCUGAGUCGGUCAGGGGAUGGCAGUCGACUUGGUUUUACUGCCAAAACGAGUCGACGCCGGGAAUGUCGAGUGGUCUCCCUCCGUUUACCAUGGACCGAGCAAGCAAACCCUCUUCUUUGAAGGUGCUCCCUGAGGAGAAGGCUCAAGUGAAGACGUUGAUGGAGUGGGUAGUCCAGCUAGUCAGGGAAGGAGUGACGGGUAUGGACCUUCUGGAGGUCUUCCUUAGGCGACGCAUCCAGCCUCUUCAGUACCAAGGCCAUUGCAUGUGGCUGUACUGUGGAACCGAGGAUGAAACUAGGGUCCACCCAGAAUCAGUCGACGAUGCCACACUGGAGAGGUGGAUGGCCGCGGUCACUGGGAACAAGGACAACCCUCGAGGAGCCAGGAGGAUUCCGCCACUCGACCACUCUAGCAUUCCAGACAAGGUACGCCCACUUUGUUUCCAAUUGUAAUCUUGCCACACUCAUUCUGCUUUCACUGUAAAUUGGUCUAUUGAUAUUUAUUUUGUUGUCUGUCAGGCCUUCACUGAACUAUACUCGAUGCCCAAUGGAGCGCAGACUCCGACUGAAGAGGGGGAAGCAAGUGGGGGCGAAAGCCAGGAGGAGUGGGACUCGGAUGCUGCUGAAGAUGAUGAUGAUGACAACUCCGAUGGGGAGGAAGAAGAGGAGGAGGAGGAGGAAACUUCACCGCCUCGCACGGAGAGGCGAUCGAAGCUCAUCCAUGAUCCUGCGACUGAACGUGGUAAGGGGGUCGCGACUGUCGCGCAGUCGACCAAGCGCCCUCGGACCACUUCUCCGGCGCCGACUGAGAAGGCUCCGAAGCAAUCUCGAACGGUGCCGAUGAAACCAGCGAAGGUCUUGCCAAAGAUGAAGGUGUCAAUUCCCACCAUAUCAGGGUAAAAAAUGCUAUCUGAGUCUUCUUGCUCUACACGAGUUUAUUUUUGGUCGACUCAUGAGUUAACCAACUGAUUUUUGGAAUUGCAGUGCUGCUACUUCUGAUACCUCAGCCAGGGCUGACGAUCAUGAGAUGGAAGAUGCUGCAACCUCAAAACCUGGUACCACUCUCUUAAUUCCGUUUUUUAGUCGAUUGACUCUUGGUCUCUAAUUUUGAUCCUUUUCUGCAGCUCCAUCCAAUGUCGUUAUCACUCUUCCUGACGACGACGACGACGAUGAGGAACCGCUGAAGCACCGGAGGAGCAGGAAGGCGUCUGCCGGCAGGGUGGCUCAGGACGUGACAGCGCCCGAGACACUGGUCGCAGAGGAGGAGAACACCACUCGGCACACCGUAUCUUUCACGGUGCCGCUGACGAGUGCUCACCCCGCUUCGUCGAGUGCUGCACAGCCUUCGCUCUUCUCGACCCACUACGUCCCAGAGGACUAAGCCAGUGCUGCAAAAGAAGCGAUACGCCAGGCGGGAGUCAUGAUGGAGCAGGUGAAGGCCAUCCGGGAGGCUAGCCAGGCAGCCUAUGACGCUAGUUCCGCUUUUCAAAGCAAUGUUCAGGUCAGUCGGUCAUCGCCUGUUCUGUUAGGAUAUGAUCUCUGAAAAUUCUUCUUUCUGAAAUCCGUAGUGGUCCUACACCCACUAGGUGUGUCGAUUGAAAUUCCGGGUUAGUGGGGGCACGCUGAGUGCACCCACUGGGUGUAGUCCCCAAGGCUAUGGUGGACUGUUGGCAGUCGACCAUAGGAUUUUUAAAAUUUUCCUUUAUUCGACCGGGUCGGAUAGAUUUCUCAAACCGGUGGGGGCACGCUGAGUGCACCCACUGGGUGUAGUCCCCGAGACUGCGGUCGACUGCUGGCAGUGGACUACAGUCUGAAGAGCAACUCCUGUUUUUUUUGGUGGUCGACUGGUUGACUCUUUCUUGAUAGAACUGGUGGGGGCACGCUGAGUGCACCCACUGGGUGUAGUCCCCGAGACUUCGGUUGAAUGUUUGAAUUCGGCUGAAGUCUUAGAAACGUGUGAUUUUUCCUCAGUCACUCGGAAGUGAAUUAUCUUUGACAUUUUGUCGAUUGGUUCCUCGUAGAAAUCCCGCGACCUGGUGGCUCGUUACACGGAGUUGGAGAACAAACAUAUCCAACUUGAGCUUGAUCUGAAGCUGGUCCAGGAGAACUUGGCGAAGGCAAAGGAGGAGAGCAAAGGUAUGUUUGGUGAGGACUCGACGACUGUUUUUGCCCCUUAUUUGUUUCAAAAUCUGACCUUGUUGUAACUUUGCAGGCAAAGUGAAGGAGGCCCAGAAGAAGAAAGAUCUUGAGCUAGCUAAGAUGCAGAAGAUAGCCUUAGAGAAGACCAAGCUCGCGGACGAGAAGUUGGCUUCGGUCACCAGGCUUGAAGAAGAAAACACCAAUCUAAAAGCUGAUCUUGAUAUUGCCAACAAAGAAGUGAGUCGACUGAAAAGCGACAAGAUUGCCCUGAAUGACAAAGCCAGUGAACUGGUUCGGAAGAAGAAAGAUCUGGAGGCUUAUCUGGGUGGACUCGCCAAGAAGCUGUUCCUCAUGCUCGAAGGUAAACCUUUGCAUUAAGCAAGUAUUUUUACAGUGUUCUUUCCAUUCGACUGUUGUCUUGACUCGGUGGUUGUGCUUGCAGAAUUUUGCCAAAACUUUGAAGAGGAGACCAGUCGACUAGAACCAAACCUGGACCCCAUCAACUCUCCGGUGAAUGAUGAAGUCGCCAUGAAUGUGUUCCGGCUCGAGUCUCAUGUUGCUGCUGUCACUGACUAUCUCGCAAGGCUGAAGGUCGUCACUUCCCGCAUUGACACUACGCUCUGGCCCAGGGAGACGCUCCAGAACGACCUCGAGUCUCUGAUGGCUCGACUAAACAUAGUUCCUGGUCGAGUGCAGGAGUGGAAAAAGUCCUCUGCUAGGUGUGGUGCAGAUGUUGCUCUGUGUCUGGCUCGAGUCCAUUGCAAGGAUGCACGAGAAGACAAGCUGGCGGCCCUUCGGGUGGCCAACACCAAGAAACACGACUUCCGGUCCUUCAUGGAGACCUUCAUCGCCACUGCCACUCGGAUUGCUGACGGAAUCGACCUCGAUGAAUUUGUCGCACCUUCCAGCCCUCCACAGGAGGGGUAAAAAACUUCUUGAGCUCAACACUUUAAAUUUGCCUCGGUAUGCCGAGUGAUUUUGUAACCGAUAAACCUUAACAGGCUUAGCGCCUGAGCACUUUCGGUUCCGUUAGGUUUUUAUCUGAACUUGGAUUCGACGUUUUGAAUGUGCUUGCCUUUGGUCUGAAAUGUCUUUUGCAGGUUUAAAACGAGAUGCUUACUGCAGUCGACUUAUUCUUCAAAUCACUUAGGCAGGCACUGGGCUGCGGCUAAGCCUCCAAGUGGGAAACAUGCUCUCCACUCGGUAGGAUUUUCAAAAACUUAGGCGAGCACUGGGCUGCAGCUAAGCCUCCGAGUGGGAGGUCUGCCCUCCACUCGGUAGGAUUUUUUAUAACUUAGGCGAGCACUGGGCUGCAGCUAAGCCCCCGAGUGGGAGGUUUGCUCCUCACUCGGUAGGAUUUUUUAUAACUUAGGCUAGCACUGGGCUGCAGCUAAGCCCUCGAGUGGGAGGUUUUCUCCUCACUCGGUAGGAUUUUUUAUAACUUAGGCGAGUACUGGGCUGCAACUAAGCCCCCGAGUGGGAGGUUUGCUCCUCACUCGGUAGGAUUUUUAUAACUUAGGCGAGCACUGUGCUGCAGCUAAGCCUCCGAGUGGGAGGUUUGCUCCUCACUCGGUAGGAUUUUCACAUUGUACUUGUGGCGUAGCUUGAAGGAGAGGGUCGCAGUCGACCUGUACCUCGUCCUCCUUGCGACCGCACAUUGUACUUGUGGCGUAGCUCAGAGGAGAGGGUCGCAGUCAACCUGCACCUCGUCCUCCUUGCGAGCGCACGUUGUAUUUGUGGCGUAGCUCAGAGGAGAGGGUCGCAGUCGACCUGCACCUCGUCCUCCUUGCGACCGCACAUUGUACUUGUGGCGUAGCUCAGAGGAGAGGGUCGCAGUCGACCUGCACCUCGUCCUCCUUGCGAGCGCAUGUUGUAUUUGAACUUAGGCGAGUACUUAGACUGCAGCUAAGCCUCCGAGUGGGAGUUUGGCUCUCCACUCGGUAGGAUUUUAUUCAAACUUAGGCGAGUACUUGGACUGUAGCUAAGCCUCCGAGUGGAAUUCUGGCUCACCACUCGGUAGGAUUUUAUUCAAACUUAGGCGAAACGGAUUCGCAGCUAAGCCCCCGAGUGAGAGUCUGGCCCGUCACUCGGUAAGGAUUUUUUACAAACUUAGGCGAAACGGAUUCGCAACUAAGUCACCCACUGAGGGGGAAAUUUUACUGAACAAAUAAAAGUGACAAAAAUCAUCGGGGAAAUUAUGACACUAUUAUCUUGCAAGCCGUGAACUACAGAAGUAUUUUUAUUACAACUCAUCCGAGUGAAAACUUAAGUGUAAAAUGGGCGGAGUAGCUCCGCGUUCCAAGCUCGGGGCUCGUCGAUAUUAUGCUUGACGUUGUAGAGACGGUACGCUCCGUUGUGGAGAACCUUGGUGACGAUGAAGGGUCCUUCCCAAGAAGGAGCAAGCUUGUGUUGUUUCUGCUGGUCCACUCGAACAACCAAAUCUCCUUCCUGGAAGGCUCGACUCUUCACGUUUCUGGCAUGGAAGCGACGCAAGUCCUGUUGAUAGAUGGUCGAUCGGAUCAGAGCCAUCUCUCUUUCCUCCUCUAAAAGGUCGACUGUGUCCUGCCGCGCUUGUUCCGCUUCAGCUUCGUUGUAGAGCUCAACUCGAGGAGCAUUGUGGAGCAGAUCACUCGGCAAGACCGCUUCAGCUCCAUAGACCAAGAAGAAUGGAGUUCUUCCGGUCGACCGAUUAGGUGUGGUCCUCAGACCCCAAAGCACCGAGGGAAGUUCAUCGACCCAUGCUCCAGCCGCAUGCUUAAGGUCACGCAUCAGUCGGGGUUUCAACCCUUUGAGGAUCAAGCCAUUGGCUCGUUCCGCCUGCCCAUUCGACUGCGGAUGGGCGACCAAAGCGUAGUCGACUCGUGUGCCUUGAGAAGUGCAGAAAUCCCUGAAUUCCUCCGAGUCGAAGUUUGACCCAUUUUCUGUGAUGAUGCUAUGCGGGACUCCAUAUCUGAAUGUCAGUUCUCUGAUGAAGCUAACAGCAGUACCGGCGUCAAGGUUCUUGAUAGGUUUAGCCUCAAUCCACUUGGUGAACUUGUCAACUGCCACUAGCACAUGCGUGAAACCGCUUCGACCUGUCCUCAAGGGACCCACCAUAUCCAAUCCCCAUACUGCGAAGGGCCAGACGAGUGGUAUAGUCUUCAGAGCUGACGCAGGCUUGUGUGACAUGUUGGAGUAAAAUUGGCAUCCUUCGCACUUGUCCACUAUUUCCUUUGCCAUCUCGUUUGCUCUUGGCCAGUAAAAUCCGGCUCGGUAUGCUUUGGCCACGAUGGUCCGAGAGGACGCAUGAUGGCCACAGGUCCCCGAGUGGAUAUCAUCAAGGAUGAUUCGACCUUCCUCUGGCGUUAUACACUUCUGACCAACUCCAGUCGCGCUCUCCCUGUACAGCUGUCCUUUGAUCACGGUAAAGGCCUUGGAUCGACGGACGAUCUGUCGAGCCUCUUCCUCGUCCUCCGGGAGCCCUUUUCUUAGGAUAUACGCGAUGUAAGGAACUGUCCAGUCGGGAGUGAUCACUAAAACCUCCAUGACCAAGUCGAACACUGCUAGGACUUCUACUUCAGUCGGAUCUGUGGCACUCUUGGGUCGCGGAGCUUCUUCGAUGAAAGGAUCUUCUUUGACUGAUGGGGUAUGGAUAUUCUCCAAGAACACACCACUCGAAAUGGCUUCUCUCUUGGAACCUAUCUUUGCCAGAUCAUCAGCCGCUUGAUUCUUCGGUCGGGGUAUAUGAUGGAGCUCUAACCCCUCAAACUUCUUUUCCAGAUUCCUCACUGCAUUGCAGUAUCCAGUCAUGGCUGGGCUUCUCACGUCCCACUCCUUCAUCACUUGGUUGACCACCAAAUCUAAGUCUCCAUAGAUCAUAAGGCGACGGACGCCGAGUGAAAUGGCCAUGCGCAACCCAUACAAAAGGGCCUCAUACUCUGCCUCAUUGUUGGAGGAAUCAAAGUGAAUCUGGAGCACAUAUCUGAGCUUAUCUCCUCUGGGGGAAACCAAGACAACCCCAGCACCGGAACCAUUCAACAUCUUAGAGCCAUCAAAAAACAUGGUCCAAUGCUCCGAGUGAACUUGAGCUGGCUGCUGUUGUUCAAUCCACUCGGCUAGGAAAUCUGCUAUUGCUUGGGACUUAAUGGUUUUCUUUGCCUCAAACUUGAUAUCAAGGGGAAGAAGUUCAAUCGCCCAUUUCGCCACUCGACCAGUCGCAUCUCUGUUGUGAAAAAUCUCUGAAAGUGGAGCGUCACUGACGACUGUGAUGGAAUGAUCAGAGAAAUAAUGAGCAACCUUCUUCGUGGUCAUGUAAAUCCCAUACACAAGCUUCUGAUAAUGAGGGUAUCUUUGCUUGGAUGGAGUCAAAACUUCAGACAGAUAAUACACUGGGCGCUGAACUUUGAAGGCUUUCCCUUCUUCUUCCCGCUCGACCGUAAGUACUGUACUAACGACUUGUCCUGUGGCUGCGAUAUAAAGAAACAGAGGCUCUUUGCUGAUUGGAGCAGCAAGCACCGGCUGGGUGGAGAUCAGAGCUUUUAGCUCGGCAAACGAUGCAUCAGCUUCUGGAGUCCACUCGAACUUGUCUGCCUUCUUCAUCAGUCGGUAAAGAGGCAGUGCCUUUUCACCGAGUCGUGAGAUGAAUCGACUUAAUGCGGCCAAGCAUCCAGUAAGCUUCUGGACAUCGUGCACCCGCACAGGGCGUUUCAUUCGGAGUAUAGUGCCAAUUUUUUCUGGGUUAGCGUCGAUUCCUCGUUCGGAAACGAGAAAACCGAGUAACUUUCCACCAGGAACUCCGAACGUGCACUUUGAUGGAUUGAGCUUGAUAUCAUACCUUCUGAGGUUGGCAAAUGUUUCGGCAAGGUCAGUCAGCAGGUCGGAACCCUUUCGCGACUUGACCAUGAUAUCAUCCAUAUACGCUUCCACAUUCCGACUGAUUUGAGUGAGCAAACACUUCUGAAUCAUUCGCAUGAACGUGGCUCCGGCAUUCUUGAGGCCGAAUGGCAUGGUGAUAUAGCAGAAGCACCCGAAUGGAGUGAUGAAAGCUGUUUUUAUCUCAUCGGGUCCAUACAGACGGAUCUAAUGGUACCAGGAAUAGGCGUCUAGAAAAGACAGUCUCUCGCAUCCCGCGGUCGAGUCAACAAUUUGAUCGAUGCGAGGGAGAGGAAAAUGAUCUUUCGGGCAGGCCCGAUUGAUGUGCUUGAAAUCGAUGCACAUUCGGAGUGAGUUGUCCUUCUUAGGAACCAUGACGACAUUGGCGAGCCACUCGGAGUGGUAUAUCUCUCGGAUAAAUCCUGCAGCCAAUAGUCGAGCCACUUCCUCACCAAUAGCUUUUCUCUUCUGGAUGGCGGACCGCCGCAGAUGUUCUUUGACCGGCUUCGCAGUUGAAUCGACUCUAAGGCGAUGCUCAGCCAGUCCCCUGGGCACACCCGGCAUGUCAGUUGGCUUCCAUGCAAAGAUGUCCCAGUUCUCACGGAGGAACUGAAUGAGCGCUUCUUCCUAUUUCGGGUCGAGUGUUGUGGAGAUAUGGGUUGGAGCUGCAUUGGGGUCGGCCGGGUGAAUGUGGACGGGCUUCGUCUCACGGGACGAUUGAAAUGCUGACUCCGUGGCUGGCUUCUUGGCUCGCAGCAAAUCACUCGGAUCUGCAUUCUGCUUAUAUUCUUCAAACUCGACCGCUGUCACCUGGGAAUCGGCAAUCUUUGAGCCUUUCUGGAAACACUCUUCUGCCUUUUUUCAAUCACCAGUGAUAGUGAUCACUCCUUUGGGGCCGGGCAUCUUCAGUUUGAGGUACACAUAACAUGGUCGCGCCAUGAAUCGUGCGUAAGCUGGCCUCCACAAAAUAGCGUGGUAAGCGCUCUGAAAAUCCACGACCUCAAACGUCAGCUUCUCUUUAUGAAAAUGCUUCGAAUCACCGAACACCACGUCCAGAGCUAUUUGGCCGAGUGACUCGGCUUUCUUUCCUGGUAUGACUCCGUGAAAACUCAUGUUACUGGUGCUCAGUCGGGACAUCGGAAUGCCCAUUCCUUUAAGCGUGUCCGCAUACAAUAAGUUCAGUCCGCUACCACCGUCCAUCGGCACCUUCGUGAGUCGAGUGCCUUCGACCACCGGGUCGACCACCAAAGCUUGCCUCCCGGGGGUGGCUAUAUGAGUCGGGUAAUCAGACUGGUCGAAUGUAAUGGGAGUUUGGGACCAUCUCAGAUAACUUGGUUUCGCCGGGGCGACCAUGUUCACCUCACGGUUAAUAACCUUCAGUCGGCUCUUGCUUUCCACAUCCGCAAAAAUCAUCAGAGUGGAGUUAACAUGAGGAUAUCCUCCCUCACUGUCCUCCUUGUCUUCGGCUUUGUCCGACUCCUUUUCUUUGUCCUUGGACUGUUUUCCUUGGAACUGCUGGAUCAGGAGUCGACACUGGCGAGUGGUAUGCUUCGGGUAGAUGAUAUUACCCUCUUCGUCUUUCUUCGUGUGGAUGUGACACGGCAUAUCCAUCACGUCAUUUCCUUCUUUAUCCUUCACCUUCUUGGGGUUCCAGGAUCCUUUGGGUUUCCCUUUGAACUUGCCCUGAGUCACGGCCAGAGCCUCUCCAGGAGCUGCUGGUUCGGCCUUCCGCUUCUGCUUCCGACUGGUGUUUCCCUUCUCCAACUGACUAGGCUUGUACUUGCCGCUUCGGAGUCGGUCUUCCUCUUCGCCGUUGGCAUACUUGGUGGCAAUCUCCAUCAUUCGACUCAGGAUCAUGUCUCCGGUCCGACCAAACUUCAAACUCAAUUCUCUGUUCUUAACACCGUCCUUGAAGGCGUAGACUGCCUGAUGAUCAAACACAUUCUCCACGGUAUGAUGCAAAGUGAUCCAUCUCUGAAUAUACUCUCUUAGAGUCUCAUUCGUCUUCUGCACACAAACUUGCAGCUCUGUCAAUCCAGCUGGUCGCUUGCAAGUUCCCUCAAAUGUUCUGACGAACACUCGGGAAAGAUCUUCCCAAGUGUAAAUGCUGCUUGGAGGUAACUGAUUCAACCAUGCUCUGGCAGAACCUUCCAACAUGAGUGGCAAAUGCUUCAUGGCCACUUCGUCAUUCCCGCCGCCAAUCUGUACCGCCACUCGGUAGUUUUCAAGCCAGGUUUCAGGCUUAGACUCACCGGUGAACUUGCUCACUCUAGUUGCCAACCUGAAGUUGGGGGAAUCACCGCGGCUCUGAUAGCCCUGCUGAAACAUUCCGGACCAGAAACAUGCACUCGACUGCUAGUGGGAGCAUCUCUGUUAGGGCCACCUCGAUGAGCUCUGUUCCGAUCGACCAAGCCUUGCACGAUGAUGGAUCGCACGUCAAAGCCUGGUUCCCUGGGGUCGACCGGAGCUCUUCGCCCCACACUGAGUUGACGCCUGUCAUCCUGCUGCCGAGGAGCGUAAGACCCACCUCUCGGAGGGGGAGUGGGCACUCGACGCCUAUCAUCACGAUCAUGUCGGUCACCAUACUGGUCUCGCCGAUUCUUGCGUCCUUCACGCCGCGGAGGCGAUCUGGGACUGUGAGCCGACUGAACCGUAUUCGCAGAGACGGAUCGACUGUGAAUUCUGUUGCGUGACUGCGACACGGCUGAAUUCUGAUCUCCUGCUACCCGAAGCAAAUCCCUGAUCUGCAUCAAGCCUCUGCCAGCCUCCGACUGAGAGGGCUGGAUGGACUCUGCGAUACGGGUUGCAGCUGCUAAAUUCUGAAUCGGGGUUCGAUAUACCUGAGUCGGCGGGAAGAGUUGACGUUGAUUGGAGUCGGGUACUCGUUGCCGCGUGCGCUCGUCGAGUGCUCGCUGAAAGUUCUCCAGUCGAGCGCGUUCAGCCAAGUUGGCCAAACAUGCUUCCUCCAAGGCGCGAGCCUCGGGGGUUUCUCCCGCGAUGGGAGUAUGCAGGGCAUCCAUGUUCCUGCGGCGAAGUUCUUCCCUCUGCAGGGAAUUAAGUGGCUCGGGCUGGUACUCUUCAUGGACUUGAGCGGGGUCGCCUCCACCGUCUACCCCGUCCUCGCGAGGGAAACCGGGAGGGCUGCGAGGCCCGUUAACCAUCAAGACCUCUGCCGCUGGAUCACUGCUAUCACACUCGGAUGCAGUCUCUAUGGAGCCAGUCGACAGAUCGAACAGGCCGUAGAGAGAUUCGUCGGGCUCGAUUGCCGCAACUUGGGUGGUGGCCGUCUGGCGAGCCAUCGCGUGCCUCACCCACCGCUGGAGCCUCGACCGACCAGAGCGCUUGCGCUGGUAGGAGACUGGGAGGGUGACCGAUAGGGGAGUCGACCGAUAUGGAGUCGACGGUUGCCGCAGCAGAACACCGCGGACACAUGCGCGAAAAUGCGUCGCACCGCAGACGGGGAGCGCAUCAACGUCGAGUGGAGCCUCCUGGAGCCAAGCGGAGUCGUCGGCGAUGAAGGUGAGAGCGCCGAGACAGAUCUCGCGGCCCUCGACCAAAACUCCACCAGCAACCAUGCUGAUAGUACUCGGAAGAAUCGCAACUUCUCCAAAAAUCGCUAAGACACCUGCCCCACGGUGGGCGCCAACUGUCGUGGUUCUAAGUCUGACAGUAGAGUGGGGGUAGGUAUGGAGAGGCAAGGUCCUAGCUAUGGAGCAGUUGUAAACACAAGGGAUGUACGAGUUCAGGCCCUUCUCGGAGGAAGUAACAGCCCUACGUCUCGGAGCCCGGAGGCGGUCGACUGGAUUAUGUGGGUAUGGAUUACAGGGGUGCGAACCCUUUACACUGAGGAGGGGGUGGCUUAUAUAGUGCCUGCCAGACCCCUCCGGCCCUCAGUAAUGCGGGGUUUAAAGUACAUUAAGUCUAGGUGUUACUGGUAACGCCUCACAUAAAGUGUCCUAAAUGCCAUAAAGUCUACUUAAUUACAGACCAUUGCGAUGCAGAGUGUCUCUUGUCCUUCUGGUGGUCGAGUGAGUCUUCAUGGUUGAGUCCUUCGAGUCCGUCGAGUGAAGUCUCUCUUGGUCCACUGGAGGGUAGUCUCUUCUGAGGGUGUCCUUGGGUAGGGUACUUAGAUCAGGUCUAUGACCCUACCCUAGGUACAUGACUUCAUCACGUAGUACUUGGUUUUUGAUGACUUCUAAAUUUUUGCAAUAAGUAUAUGAGUUCUUUUGAGUAAUGUUGAGUCCAUGGAUUAUACGCACUUUUACCUUUCCACCUUUGCUAGCCUCUUCGGUAUCGUGCAUUGCCCUUUCUCACCUUGAGAGUUGGUGCAAACUUUGCCGGUGCAUCCAAACCCCGUGAUACGAUACGCUCUAUCACACAUAAACCUCCCUAUAUCUUCCUCAAAACAGCCACCAUACCUACCUAUUAUGGCAUUUCCAUAGCCAUUCCGAGAUAUAUUGCCAUGCAACUUUCCACAGUUCCGUUUAUCAUCAUCAUGACAUACUUUACUUUUGUCAUAUUGCCAUUGCAUGAUCAUGUAGUUGACAUCGUAUUUGUGGCAUAGCCACCAUGCAUAAUUCAUACAUGUCACUCUUGAUUCAUUGCACCAUCCCGGUACACCGCCGGAGGCAUUCAUAUAGAGUCAUAUCUUGUUCUAGUUUCGAGUUGUAAUUCAUAUGUUGUAAUCAAUGAAAGUGUGAUGAUCAUCAUUAUUAGAGCAUUGCCCAAAAAGAAAAAAAAAGGAAAAAAAAGAAGAAAGGGCAAAAAAAGGCCCAAAAAAGAAAAAAAAAAGAAAAAAAAGAAAAAAAAGAAAAAGGGGCAAUGUUACUAUCUCUUUUUCCACACUUGUGCUUCAAAGUAGCACCACGUUUUUCAUAUAGUGAGUCUCAUAAGUUGUCUUUUUCAUACUAGUGGGAAUUUUUCAUUAUAGAACUUGGCUUGUAUAUUCCUACGAUGGGCUUCCUCAAAUGCCCUAGGUCUUCAUGAGCAAGCAAGUUGGAUGCACACCCACUAGUUUUCUUUUGUUGAGCAUUCAUUUAUAGCACUAGUGCAUCCGUUGCAUGGCAAUCCCUACUCCUCAUGUUGACAUCAAUUGAUGGGCAUCUCCAUAGCCCGUUGAUUAUCCUCGUCAAUGUGAGACUUUCUCCUUUUUUUGUCUUCUCCACACAAUCCCCAUCAUCAUAUUCUAUUCCACCCAUAGUGCUAUCCAUGGCUCACGCUCAUGUAUUGCGUGAAGGUUGAAAAAGUUUGAGAUUAUUUAAGUAUGAAACAAUUGCUUGGCUUGUCAUCGGGGGUAUAGAAGUUGGGAACAUCUUUGUGUGACGAAAAUGAAGCAUAGCCUAACUAUAUGAUUUUGUAGGGAUGAACUUUCUUAUGCCAUGUUAUUUUGAGAAGACAUGAUUACUUUGAUUAGUAUGCUUGAAGUGUUACUGUUUCUUUUAUCAAUAUGAACUUUUAUUUUGAAUCAUUUGGAUCUGAACAUUCAUGCCACAAUAAAGAAAAUUUCAUUGAGAAUUAUGCUAGGUAGCAUUCCACAUCAAAAAUUCUUUUUUAUCAUUUACCUACUCGAGGACGAGCAGGAUUUAAGCUUGGGGAUGCUUGAUGCGUCUCCAACAUAUCUAUAAUUUUUGAUUGCUCCAUGCUAUAUUAUCUACUGUUUUGGGCAAUAUUGGGCUUUAUUAUCCACUUUUAUAUUAUUUUUGGGACUAACCUAUUAACCGGACGGCCAGCCCAGAUUUGCUGUUUUAUGCCUACUUCAGUGUUUCAAGGAAAAGGAAUAUCAGACGGAGUCAAAACGGAACGAACUCAACUGGAGAAGUUAUUUUUGGAAGGAAAGCCACCGGAUAGACUUGGACUCUACGUCAGAAGAUACGGGAGCUGGUCACGAGGGUGGGGGGCGCGCCCACCCCCCUAGGGCGUGCCCCUGCCUCGUGGGGCCCCCGAAGCUCCACCGACGUACCCCUUGCAGCCAUAUAUACCUACGUACCCUAAAACUUCCAGAACAGAAGAUAGAUCGGGAGUUCCGCCGCCGCAAGCCUGUGUAGCCACCAAAAACCUCUCGGGAGCCCGUUCCGGCGCCCUGCCGGAGGGGGAUCCCAUCGCCGGUGGCCAUCUUCAUCAUCCCGGUGCUCUCCAUGACCAAGAGGGAGUAGUUCACCCUCGGGGCUGAGGGUAUGUACCAGUAGAUGUGUGUUUGAUCUCUCUCUCUCGUGUUCUUGAUUUGGCACGAUCUUGAUGUAUCGCUAGCUUUGCUAUUAUAGUUGGAUCUUAUGUUUCUUCUCCCCCUCUACUCUCUUGUAAUGGAUUGAUUUUUCCACUUGAAGUAAUCUUAUCGGAUUGAGUCUUUAAAGAUUUGAGAACACUUGAUGUAUGUCUUGCCGUGCGUAUAUGUGGUGACAAUGGGAUAUCACGUGCCACUUGAUGUAUGUUUUGGUGACCAACUUGCGGGUUCUCCCCAUGAACCUAUGCAUAGGGGUUGGCACACGUUUUCAUCGUGAUUCUCCGGUAGAAACUUUGGGGCACUCUUUGAGGUUCUAUGUGUUGGUUUGAAUAGAUUAAUUGAGAUUGUGUGAUGCAUAUCGUAUAAUCAUGCCCACGGAUACUUGAGGUGACAUUGGAGUAUCUAGGUGACAUUAGGGUUUUGGUUGAUUUGUAUCUUAAGGUGUUAUUCUAGUACGAACUCUAGGGCUGUUUGUGACACUUAUAUGAAUAGCCCAACGGAUUGAUUGGAAAGAAUAACUUUGAGGUGGUUUCGUACCCUACCAUAAUCUCUUCGUUUGUUCUCCGCUAUUAGUGACUUUGGAGUGACUCUUUAUUGCAUGUUGAGGGAUAGUUAUAUGAUCUAAUUAUGUUAUUAUUGUUGAGAGAACUUGCACUAGUGAAAGUAUGAACCCUAGGCCUUGUUUCAACGCAUUGCAAUACCGUUUACGCUCACUUUUAUCAUUACUUACCUUGCUGUUUUUAUAUUUUCAGAUUACAAAAACCUAUAUCUACCAUCCAUAUUGCACUUGUAUCACCAUCUCUUCGCCGAACUAGUGCACCUAUACAAUUUACCAUUGUAUUGGGUGUGUUGCGGACACAAGAGAGUCUUUGUUACUUGGUUGUAGGGUUGUUUGAGGGAGACCAUCUUCAUCCUACGCCUCCUACGGAUUGAUAAACCUUAGGUCAUCCACUUGAGGGAAAUUUACUACUGUCCUACAAACCUGUGCACUUGCAGGCCCAACAACGUCUACAAGAAUAAGGUUGUGUAGUAGACAUCAGACACCACGGUCAAAUUGUCAAGGUCUCCCCAAGAGGAGAUGGCACACGGACAUGUAACCACGUCACACUCGAUGGUGUCCUCGUAGGCGCCAAUCUUGGAAGAAACAUGCAUGGUGUGCUCCACUUGAAUUGUGUCUGGGUCGCUAAGCCAUUGGACCUUGUAGAGGCGAGGAUGCUUCUUAUUGACCAAUUGCAGCUUGCAGCAUAGCUCUCCACUUGCCAAGUUGUGGCAGCUUCCUCCAUCGAUGAUGACUUUCACGGAGUGCCCGUUGAUGUCGGCCUUGGUGUAGAAGAUGUGACACCUUUGGUCUUCGUCUUGGUGGUGUUGGAGCGUCAAAACCUUGGAGACCACGAGAGCGGGACUUGAAUCAUUGUCACAAUAGACUUGAGCAUCUUCUUCUUUGUUCACUUGACGGUGCAUGGCGGCGUGCUCUAUAGCUUCCAUCUCUUCUUAACUCAUGGAGUCGUAUGAGCCAUCAUCAUUGGCAAUCAUGGUUCGCUUGUUGAUGCAUUGGAAAGACUUGUGUCCAUGGCCACCACAUGUGAAGCACUUGAUAGAACUUGUCUUGACAGGAUCGUCCGAUGGUGCCGAAUAAAAGGUCUUGUUCUUGUAGGUGCUUGCCAGAGGACGAGUCGAGGAAGGCGUUGCUUGCUUGAACGUUGGCUUGUCACCGGUACUUGGUGCUGCUCUCGUCGAAGUAGGAGGUGUCUAAGUCGUAGUAGGGGUAGCUUGAGUGUAUGAGCCGUAGGUCUUGGAUGAGUACUUGGCGAACUUGAAGUCUUCUUAUACUUGACGUUCCGCCUUGGUCACUUGGUGAACUAGCUCGAGGAGGUUGGAGUAGGGUUGGAAGUCGGUAAUCUUCCGUAUUGGGUGGUUGAGGCCGUUCAAAAAGCGUGCCAUUGUUUUCCCGUCAUCUUCUUUGACAUUGGCUCAUAUCAUGGCAAUAUCCAUUUCUUGAUAGUAUUCUUCCACCGUCUUCGUGCCUUGCUUGAGGAGUUGCAACUUCUUGAAGAGAUCUCGAGUGUAGUACAUAGGCACGAAGAGAGCUCUCAUGACUUCCUUAAUUUGUGCCCAAGUCGUGAUGGGUGGCUCGUCCUUCUCACGACGUCGCUCGAUGACUUGCUCCCACCAAAUUAGGACAUAGUCUUGAAACUCGAGAGAUGCCAUGGCGAUCUUAUUUUCCUCGUCUUAGUUGUGGGGACGGAAUUCUUGUCAACAUUCAAUUCCCAUGAUAGGUAUUCCUCGGGAUCGUUGCUUCCGGAGAACUUGGGCAUGGUGAACUUGAGCUUGCCAUAUCGAAGUUCUUCAUCAUAGUGAUGAUGGUGAUAUCGGUCUUGUCGAGGAGGAGGAUCAUCAAGCAUUCGAUCCGCUUGAUGUCGCUCUUGGUGUGGAGGAGGGUCAUGGAUCACUCUAUCCGGUUGCCGAGGAGGAUGUCAAGGCAUAUGUUCCCGGUUUCGCCUUUCUUGUUGUUCUUCACGUCGAGUGGCUUCUUCUUGUAUUUCCUGCCGAAGAGCUUCUUCUUGCUCACGUACUUGACGACUUCGUUGGGCGAUGGCUCGAGUGGAAUCUCGGAGUGCGUCUUGAGCCGCUUGAGCUUGAGCUUCACGGUCUUGUUGCUCUUGUCGGGUUGCCUCGCCGUCUUGAGAUGCUCUACGUGGGCGAUGUAGCGGUGGUUGUUAUUCUUGAUCCAUGGCAUCUUGUUCAUGGCGUCGCGCCUUCUCACGUGCUCAAACUCGGUCUUGUAGGCCAUUGCCAUGGAAUGGAUUUUCUUGCGCUUGGUGGUCUUGAGUGUUGUCGCGUCGAGGAGGACUCGCAUCGGAAGACGAGUAGGAAGACGAGUGGCGACUUGAGGGACACCGUCUUGGUGAACAAGUUGAGGAAGAUGCGCGGCUCACGAUCUUGUUGCGGAAUUCAUCCAUUUGUUUGGAGAGCUUGGUGUCCAAAUAGUCCCGUUGCCGUGCUUCCGAUUGUCGUAGGUCGGUGGCGAGUUGUUCGAUGCGUUCACCCAAAGCUUCGCUCUCUUGAUGUAGAGCUCGUUGUGCGAUGAAGAAGUGAUUCUUGGUGACGUAGUCGCGUUCGCCAUCUUGCUCCUCAAAGAAAGGGUUCACCAAAGAAGAAGGCCUAUCCAUCAUGUGGAAGUGGUGGUGAGUAGGAAAAUGAGAGAACAAAACCAAAGCUACCUUUUCCAAAGAUUGUGGAUGUAACAAGUACGAUCCCACGUGAUGCUAUAAUGGAGAAUUGGUACUUGGUAUUGUUUCUCACACCUACAACUAAAAGGCUUAUGGAGGAGCUCGGUUAGGAAGUGGCACAAAUAAUUCAAGCAAAUGUUAGUCAAGAUGUUGACAAAGUUGAGAAGAUUCACAAAUGGCAAGUAAGACAAAUAGAUCAAACCCAAGGAUAUCACUAGGAACACACACAUGGAAGAUAAAUGGGAUCUGCACAACCAAGGAGUGAGCUCUAAGAUGUGAAACCACGGAAAUGCUCGAGUUGUACGGAUACUAGAGAGACGCUAGCUCGAUUGCUCUAAUGGGCUAGAUACGCUAGUGCCCCAACCUAGAAGAGAAACGAGUCUUGCUAUCCCAAGUAUGCUUAUGUAUGUAAUGACCAAGAUGAUGUAGCUAUGCUAUAAGGCUCAAUGCUAUUGCUUAUAAGCUCUUUGCUUAUCUUCUCUUUUUCUUAAAAGCUUUUCUUCUCUUUUUUUGACUAUGCCACAAUGCUUGAUAUGCGAGCCACAACACGACAUAACAAGUAGUAUUUGCACGGGAGAGACGUAACACUAAUGGUGCACUAAAGCGUGACCCGGUAAUACUCGACAAGCUAGUCUCGAUGGGUAAGCUAUGCAAAAGAGGCUCGGAGUUAUCAAGGUAAUGGCAAGGGUAAUACAAUGGUGUCGUCGAGGUUACCGUCCUUGCUUACGGUUUUUAUGAAGAUGGAGUGGUCGGAGCCAAUGUGGAGUCCGAGUCGAUGGUCGAGUGGCGAUGAUGAUGACGUCAAAUCGCACCUAAGUAGCCAAAAUACCUUAGGACACAAGAGAAACCGCAACCCAAAACUCAAACAACCACGAGAAAUAUUGAAGAAGAACACAAGUGGUGGUGGGGUGUCAAAAAGAUGGAAAAACAAAACUGGCUGAAUGUCCCUGGAUGGUCCAUACGCACGGGGUAAGUGAGAUCCGUGUGCACGGGGUCCCAUGUGCAUGGGGUCCCGAUGGCCCGUGUGCACGGGGUCCUCAGCGAGCGAAUGAACAGCUCUGGAUCCAUGAGUAUUUGCAAACUGGAGGCCAAUUUUGAGGGUUUGGAGGGUUUGGAGGGUGGGGAAGAUGGUAGGGGGUAGAUCCACUUGCCAAGCACCAAAUUCGUGGAUCAAAUCAACCAAAUCUGACAAGAUCAACAAAUUGCAAGAAAAUUUUUGGUGGGGAUUUUCGGAUUAGGACUAAAAACAACAAAUCAAGCUAGAAAGUGGAGGGUAUGGACUCGAUGUGAAUCAACCUUGCUCAUGAUACCAAGAUGUUGUAGGGUGAAGCUCUAAGAUGGAUCUUUUCACACUUGGAAGGGAAAAGAGGAAGAAACCCAAGAACACAAAGAUGAAUUCACUCCAACAAUACCAAAUUACACAUCCACUAGAAUAGCAACACAAGAUCCACAAGUCACAAACACAAUCAAAGGAAAGAUACAAUGGUAGAGUUCUUCCCACUCCUAGGAGAUGAGGUCUUGAUGAUGGUAGUUUUCUGCAAGAUGGAGGUCUUGAAAUCCACAAGUGGAUCCUCUCCAAGGAGGCCUUGAUCUCCAAUAGAGGUGGUAGAAGGAGCAAAGCUCACAAAUAUCUCAUCUAAUUUUUGCUAACCCUAAACAUAACCCUAGGUACGUAAUAUAUAGGCUUGGGUCGAAGUGGAAGAAGGGGGGAUCCAAAACAGCAUCUCAGCCGCCCAUCCUGUAGGGUUCGUGCGCACGGGGUAAGUUGGGCCCGUACGCAUGGGGUGCUACAGUCGGAGCUCCCUGUGUAGCCCGUGGGCGUGGGUCUCGGGGGCCCGUGCGCACGGGGUCGCCUGGGACUUCCAGUCCAACUCCUGUUUGGCUCGGUCUUCCUCCUUGGUGACUUGGGUCACUUCUCCUUGGACUUGGUGGUGCUCCUCAGCUGCUUGGAAGGGUUCCUCUAUAUACCUAAUGAGGCAUAGAGUAUUUUGGUGACGUACCAACCAAGUUCCACUUGUAUUCAUAUGCAUGUCAACUAGGAAGGAGUUCACCUCGGUUUCCAUUGCACGUGCUCUAGCUCUUGUCAUUGGUCCAUGUGGUGCUUGAGGUGUCAGUGUAGAGUCCAUGGGGAUGGUGGAAGGAUGCUCUGCAUCAGUAUGUUUUUUAUGAGGAGGCACUGCCAGAAGCCACCAAAUGGAUGGCGAUCGCAAAAGUUUGCAUAGAUAAACCAUACAGCCAAUUCUGGUUCUUCAAGAACAUACGUCAGGGUGGGAUCCAGCUCAACACGUGAAGUUUAGGCCAUUGAAAGAUAGUAUGUAUACUCUCCGGUUCUUUUUCCUUGGGGAUUGGGUGCAAGUGAUACAAGAGGGGCUUUGAAAUUCCGAAGUAAUGUUGUAUUCAUAGCUCCAUACGACAGUAUGACGAAGCCCUCGACGAUCAAACUUGACACACUAGACAUCUGGAUACAUAUAGAUGAUUUUCCUAAUGGUUGUGCUCAUUUAGUCACACCUUCGGCAGCCAAGAUUGGAGAGGUCUUGUAUGCUGAAACACGAUCCCACGACUUUACAUGCAACUUCUUUCGUGUUUGGGUAAGAAUAAAUGUUGUGAAACCGCUCAAGAGCACUGUCACUAUGGUUCGUGAUCUUAAGCGUCAGAUCUACAAAAAGUUAAGUAUGAAAAUUUGUCAGAUAGGUGUUCUGUGUGCGGUCUGGGUAUGCAAAACCGAACCGAAAACCAAAAAACCGACAAAAUACACCAUACGGAACCAAUUUUUUGGUUUUUCAGGUUUUGGUUUUUGUUUGGGUUUUGCUAUAGAAAAACCAUUUGCAUUUUGGUUUUUUUGGUUAGAAGCUGAAAACAAUUUGGUUAAACCGAGUUAACCGGAUUGUCUUUUUUGGGUUCAAAAGCAUAAUGGGCUGGUACAGUACAAUACUUUCUAGCCCACUUAGUGCUUCAGUUUACGUGAUCAGUUUGACUGCUUAUUCAAUAUCUCUUUUUUAUCCUUUUCUUAUUGGUUUUUCCUCAUUACGAUAUAUAUUGUGUAUUUACAUGUGAAAAAGUUAUGUGUUGGCUCCAAAAAUUUGCAUCAACUUUGGUUAAUUUGGUUAUUACAGAAAGUGAAACAAAAGUAAAUGGUAUUAUCGAAAAUGAACCAUAUCUAUGUAUAAAACAGUUAAACCAAAAAAUAGAAAUCGUAUAAACUGAACCGAAUCAAAACAAAAAAUGAGUGCACACUCUAAGUGUGCGGCUACCUAGGACACGUCUUCGGAGAACACAGUAACGGUAUCCAUCCUCCCAGUGCAUUGGUCUUUUAAGGAUCUCGAGGCAUCUCCAACGUGGACUCUAAAACCGCCCGUAUACAUCCGGAUCGCGUGGUCUGGACGUGUUGGGCCAUCCAAAGCAAGCCUGUGUCAGUCUGUUUGACGGUCCGUAUGCACUUUCUCUUGCAAACCGGAGACAAACUAAGGGGGGCUUUGCGGGCGUCCGGACCAAUGUCAUGCCCGCGUCUGGUCACCCUGGCCCACCCAACCCCCCUCUGCCUCGCCCACGCGCACUUCCUGCCCGAAACGGUCAGCGCCGCUCCAGAGCGUUAGUGCCACCUUCAUGCCCGGCCAGAGCGGACGCAACCUCUCACUAGGGUCGUCACUAAAGUGCCACGCCGGCCAAGAGAGCGCCGUCCGCGGCACUUCCGGAUGCACGCGACUACUACACGUUCAAAAGACACCACAUUCGUUCGCCCAUCUGUCUGUCGCCCACAUUAAUGACACGCGGUUGCCAAGGAACCUACUCCGACGCCACCCAUCCAUCCAUCUGCCGCCCACCAUUGCCAUUCAGCACUAUAUAAACUGUUGCCCCGGCGAUAGCUACAUUCAUCCUCCUCCGGUCCUAUCUCCUCUCUGCACCACUCCCACCAUGGUCUCCUUGCGCUCCAAAGCUCUCUGGGGUGGACUGUCGCUGGAGCAGAGGAAGAAGAUGGCCGCCAUUGCUUCUGGCUGGCAGGCCAGCAGGUAGCCAGAGGCCGACGGCAUCCCAAUGGAGGACGGGGCCGAGGACGAGCUGAUGCAUUGCACCAUGACCAUCGGUGAGGCCCGUGCCCAUUACAUGGACAUGGUGCGGGAGGAGAGGGAUGAGCAGUUCCAGGAGGCGCAGGCCAACAUGGCCUACAACCUUCACCUCCUCCAGGAGCACCAGUAGGCGGACGAGCAGCUCAACGCCGGCAGGGAGACCACGCCGGACGCGGACAUCAUCAAGCAUGCUGCUAUGCUCGAGUCCUAUCGCUCAGCCCAUGAGAUCUGCCUCGCCCGCUGGUGGUACCGCUAGUGUCAGGCAAAACUGGAGGCCGCCUACAUGGAGUUCGAUGAGGCCGCGACGAGGUGUGAGGCAAGACCGACGAGGAGGAGGACAUUUCUGGCUCUGCCGAUGCCGCGCCCCGCCGCCACGACCACAAAACCGGCAUGUCCGCGGGCGCCGUCGUCAUGCUAGGUUGCCGCCGCUUGGGUCUCGGGAAGGCCACUGCUCUUCUCCUCCUCCUGAAGCCAAGCUUGGUGGGUUGAUAAUCGGUGGCCGAUUAAUCGGUCAAGUUGCGGUGGUGGAGGGUGCGGAGGCAGAGCUAGAGAGCUCCGAGGCUGAACUGGAGGAGGCGAAGGCAAGUGCUGGAGCUUUAGUUCUCGGGGCUCAUGACCAAACACGGGGAACGGGUGCCACCGAUCAUUUAGAUUAGGUUUAGAAUAGAAGUAUGUUCAAAAUUAUACCUCUAGAGUCGGACGAGCUCCGCUUUUAGUUGAAGCAUGUCUGAAAUGUAAUGAGUUUCGUCAUGUUUAUAUGAAAUAUGUUGUGUUCGCAUGAAUCUCUUCCGGUUUAUAUCAAAAUUUGGCUGGUUUGCGUGAAUUUCAUCCAUUUAGUUCAAAAUGUGGUUGAACUUUAUGCGGCCAGCGUUGGAUGGCGGCCUCUGGCAUCAAUGUCCGUAGACUGAUCCUUCUGUUUUUGGCGUGAUGUCAGAGCAAAUUUAUGGGUUAGUGUUGGAGAUGGGACAUCAUGUAUAUGCGAGCGGGCGGAGGCACAGGAGGUGGACGUGGCAGCCGUGGUGGUCGGGCCAAUGACGAGUUCGUAUUGUAAUGUCGCGAGAGUAAUUUUCCUUCGUCUGCCGCUUGCGGCUUCUGUCUAAAACCUUCUCCCUUAAUUAAUGAAAUGGCAAGUCUUUUCCCUUGUUUCUAAAACUUGCUUGAUGCCACACCACGCAGUCCCACUCUAGCACCUGCGUGCAUCAGGCAAUUCGACGGUGCAGUGCAGUUCUCGCCGGAGGAGAUGGCGACAGAGAAAAGCAAAAGAUUUUGCGGGAUUGGAUUUUUGGAACACGAGAUAUGACGGUUUGACAGAGGAAACACGAAAUUACCGAUACCCUAGCGUACAACGGGAGAAAGGCUGUCGAUACUAGCGAUUUUUUCCGAAUAUCCAUUUCUGAGCCCAGACUCAUCUGCAUCCGAUCAAGAAAAAAAUCACAAAAAUUCAAAAAAUCCAUUUUUUUUCUGGUGCUAGAUAAUUUGGUGUGUGAUGUGGGUUCCAAAUUUUAGAUCAUUUGGACAUACGACUAGCUCUCAGAAAAAAGACAAAUUGGGAUCAGAAUAGUAUAUUUACUUACAAACACCAAUUUAUCUUUUUGCUGAGAGCUGCUCAGAUGUUCAAACGAUCUGAAAUUUGGGGCGCACCUCACACACAAAAUUAUCUACCACCAAAAAAAUUGGAAAUUUUUGAAUUUUUCUAGUUUUUGUUUUGAAUUUUUUGUUCAACGCAGGUGCAGAUGAGCCUGGGCAUCAAAUCGCUACACUCGAUUUUCUUGGGCUAUCGACUGUCUGCCUACUCUCUCCUCCAUCUAGAUAAGUUUCCUACGUGUAUACCUUAUAGACGGCUGACAAAGCGUUGUUGUACAUGCCCUAAAAGAAACUAACUGUCAGAUUUCGGGUUCCGCAAACCCUUGAGAGGUUCAAACUCUAGGGUGCCUGCGAAGAUCUCACUCUCCCCAGUCUGUCGACUCGCCAAUCUCACAGCCUAGCGCGUCGAGCUCAAAGGAAAUGGGACACGGCAAUUUACCCAGGUUCAGGCCACCUUGCGGUGUAAAAUCCUACUCCUGCUUUGUGGUGGAUUUGCCUCGAGGGGCUGAGGGUGAACUAGUACAGUGGAGAACAACCUCAGGAGGUGUGUUCUUGGGCUCAAGUGAGCUGGUGAGGGUGGAGUGGAUGUCGUUUCAUCUCCCUCCUUUGGUGGUGGCUAGGUCCUAUUUAUAGUGGCCUUGGUCCUCUUCCCGAAUGGAGGCAGAAAGGGAUCCCACAACGGCCAAUUUUGAAGGGAGGCAACAAGUACAUCUUAUCCUAACUAAAGAGGUCUUCACCUACAAAAGCCUCUGGUAGUGACGCUGCGGUGGGCUCGGCGAUGACCUCCAUCUUGCCGUCCUGGCGGUCUUGGUCUUGUUGCACGGGAAUGGAAACCUUUGGAUGCUUCCUCGGGACUCCGUGCCUGCUGCUUGCCUCCUUUGCACCAAAGAGAAAACUAGUACACUACACCCGCUGGCGCCCGCCGGCCUUAAUCGUCAUGGCUCACGUCACCCGAACCUCGCGAGGCGAGCCUUGCAUAGAAAUAUCCGCUCCUUGGGAGCCGGCCUGAGGAGGCUGAUCCCCUUGGAGGUCUUGGUGUCGUCCGCCUCACGAGGCUUGGCCCCUCGCGAGGGUCUUGGGUUGUCGAUGUCAAAACUGGGUCGUACCAGGCCGUCGGUGGAGCCACGUCGCGGGCCGCAGGCAGGCAAGUCUGGGUACCCCCGUAUCCAAAACGCAGACAGUAGCCCCCGGGCCCAAGGCGUGCUCGGACUUGGCUUCUAGGCGAAGCCAAAGGGCAAGUGCGGAGCGCUGUGGUCCCUAACCGCCUGCGGCCUUGGUCGAUGCAUGGCGAUUGAUGGGACGUGGGCAUCUCCGCUUCCCCAUGCUGCCUCAGCAACUGCCCGACUUGACGAGUCGUUGCUGCAUGCAGAGAAAACCAUCAUUGUGCGGGAUCGUGGAGGCCAGCGGUUGGCCUUCCUCUGGCUAUAAAUGAGGGGGGAGGGGCGGAGCCCCCCCUCGUUCAUCUCCAUCUCCGUCUUCUCACUGCCCGUUCCUUCUUCUUCUUCACCUCGUCGUAGCAUUCAUGGUGCCAGUCAGGAGAUUCUCUGCGGCGGAGAAGGGAAAAGCCCCUCAGGAGGAGCCAGAACCGCUUCCGCCGAAGAAAAGGUUUUGUCGUCCUUGCGAUGCCCGCGCGGGGCAGGAGGUGACCCGGCCUUGGCACGAACGGCCUCCGCCCGUCUUCCUUCUUCCCUUAUACGCCCGUGCGCAGGACAGCAAUGCCCACCGCUGAGCGAUUCGGGGCCAUGAACCCACGCUGAGGGCAGCUCGCGUGAGUUCGUGGUGUGGACGGUGGUGCCGCCUCGCUCGCGGAUCCGAUUCCCGAGGUUCUUCGCCGACGAGAUGCCGCCGAGGGGCCACUCGAGUUGUGGCUGCAGCACGCCGGGUGCUGCAGCCUGGCCACCGGAGUUAAGGUCGAGGUAGUGCCUCCUAGUGAUAUCUUCAUGACCCGUGGAUGGGGCGAGGUCGCCCUCACCUGUCGCUUUGAAGGGGCUCUCGCCAUCCACUUCGAGUAUGACGGCGCCUCCAUGUUGCUCUUCAAGGUCUUCGACGAGGAGCUGAGCAAGGUCAUGCACUCCUUGCUCGGGAAGGACCAGGGCGGCCCCCCGGACGACCACCUCCCGAUGUACUUCCGAGAUGGCAGGAAGGAGAUAGCCACUGCCAUGCUUGUCUUCAACGAGCGCGGGCUUGUGUCGCUGGAGCCUUCCCAUCCGGCAGGCUCCCUGGUGGACGUGUCCUCUGGCGACCACUCCUCCGAAGCCACCUUGGAGGGGGAGGGGGAGACCUCCCCACCACGGCAAAGCGACCUCCUCCGUGCCUUCUCUGAUGAUGAUGACGCUGGUGCGCACCCGGUCAGGGAGUCAGCACGCUCUGCCGGGGUCACCACGAGAUCUGGGGGGACCCCUCCAAAGAAGCCGAAGCGAGGGGUACCGAAGAGGGACAGGUUAACGCUGCUUCCCCUAAGCAGCGCUCCUGCUUCGCCGCCAUCAUCUAGCGUGGGGCCGGCCAUGCACUCGUCCGCUCCUGAGAGCGCAGCGCUGCCCGCGCCCGGGAAGUUCGCGCUUGUGGGCGUGAAGAGGAACUACGUCGCCAUGGAUCAGUAAGUGCACCUCCUCGCCCUUUCUUUGGAUUUCGAUGUAGUGCUUGUUGGGGAACGUAGCAUGCAAUUUCAGAAAAAUUCCUACGAUCACACAAGAUCUAUCUAGGAGAUGCAUAGCAACGAGAGGGGGAGAGUGUGUCCACGUACCCUCGUAGACCGAAAGCGGAAGCGUUAGUUAACUCGGUUGAUGUAGUCGAACGUCUUCACGAUCCAACCGAUCCAAUUACCGAACGUACGACACCUCCGUGUUCAGCACACGUUCAGCUCGAUGACGUCCCUUGAACUCUUGAUCCAGUAGAGGGUCAAGGGAGAGUUCCGUUAGCACGACGGCGUGGUGACGGUGUUGAUGAUGUGGUCCGCGCAGGGCUUUGCCUAAGCACUACGACGCUAUGACCGGAGGAGUAAAUUAUGGAGGGGGGCACCAAACAUGGCUAAGAGAAUUCUUGGUGUGCCUUUGGGGUGCCUGAUAACCCACAAGUGUAGGGGAUCGCAACAGUUUUCGAGGGUAGAGUAUUCAACCCAAAUUUAUUGAUUCCACACAAGGGGAGCCAAAGAAUAUUCUCAAGUAUUAGCAGUUGAGUUGUCAAUUCAACCACACCUGAAAGACUUAAUAUAUGUAGCAAAGUAUUUAGUAGCAAAGUAAUACGGAAAUAACGGUAACAGUGGCAAAAGUAAGAGUAGCAGUUUUAUAGUAAUCGUAAUAGUGGCAACGGAGAAGUAACUAAACAAAGAUCAAUAUGUGAAAAGCUCGUAGGCAAUGGAUCAGUGAUGGAUAAUUAUGCCGGAUGCGAUUCCUCAUGCAACAGUUAUAACAUAGGGUGACACAGAACUAGCUCCAGUUCCUCAAUGUAAUAUAUGCAUGUAUUCCGAAUAUAGUCACACGUGCUUAUGGAAAAGAACUUGCAUGACAUCUUUUGUCCUACCCUCCCAUGGCAGCGGGGUCCUAUUGGAAACUAAGGGAUAUUAAGGCCUCCUUUUAAUAGAGUGCCGGACCAAAGCAUUAACACUUAGUGAAUACAUGAACUCCUCAAAGUACGGUCAUCAUCAGGAGUGGUCCCAAUUAUUGUCACUUCGGGGUUGCCGGAUCAUAACACAUAGUAGGUGACUAUUGACUUGCAAGAUAGGAUCAAGAACUCACAUAUAUUGAUGAAAACAUAAUAGGUUCAGAUCUGAAAUCAUGGCACUCGGGCCCUAGUGACAAGCAUUAAGCAUAGCAAAGUCAUAGCAACAUCAAUCUUAGAACAUAAUGGAUACUAGGGAUCAAACCCUAACAAAACUAACUCGGUUACAUGGUAAAUCUCAUCCAACCCAUCACCGUCUAGCAAGCCUAUGAUGGGAUUACUCACGCACGGUGGUGAGCAUCAUGAUAUUGGUGAUGGAGGAUGGUUGAUGAUGACAAUCGUGUUGGAUUCCCCUCUCCGGAGCCCCGAACGGACUCCAGAUCUGCCCUCCCGAGGAAGAUUAGGGCUUGGCGGCGGCUCCAUAUCAUAAAACGCGAUGAAUCCUUCUCCCCGAUUUUUUCUCCUGGUGAAUAUAUGGAGUUGGGGUUGAGGUCGGUGGAGUCCUAGGGGGCCCACGAGGCAGGGGGCGCGCCCUGCACCCUCAUGGCAAGGGUGCGGGCCCCCUGAUGCUGAUUCCUUCACCAAUAUUUUUUAUUAAUUCCAAAACGUGUCUCCGUGGAUUUUUUGGUCAUUCCGAGAACUUUUAUUUCUGCACAAAAAUAACACCAUGGCAACUCUGCUAAAAACAGCGUCCGUCUGGGUUAGUUCCAUUCAAAUCAUGCAAGUUAGAGUCACCAUGAACAUGAAUAUCGUGGAGGCUAUGUUGCUUUUGUUUCAACUACAUGUUUGAACAUGUGCCAAGUCAAGCCACUCGAAUCAUUCAAAGGAGAAUACCACCCUAUCAUACCACAUCACAAUCAUUUUAAUAGCAUGUUGGCACGCAAGGUAAACCAUUAUAAACUCCUAGCUAAUUAAGCAUGGCAUGAGCAACUAUAAUCUCUAAUUGUCAUUGCAAACAUGUUUCAUUCAUAAUAGGCUGAAUUAGGAACAAUGAACUAAUCAUAUUUACAAAAACAAGAUAGGUCGAGUUCAUACCAGCUUCUCUCAUCUCAAUCAGUCCGUCAUAUAUCGUCAUUAUUACCUUUUCACUUGCACGACCGAACGGUGUGGAUAAUAAUAAUAGGGCACGUGCAUUGGACUAAGCUGGAAUCCGUGAGCAUUUAAUUCAAAGGAGAAGACAAGGUAAUAUGGGCCCCUGGUUAGAUCAAAAAUAAUGCAUAUGAGAGCCACUCAACAUUUUCAUCGUGGUCUUCUCCUCUCGACCCCCAAAGUAAAGAAAAGAAACAAAACUAUUUACACAGGAAAGCUCCCAACAAGCAAAGAAGAACGAGAAAUCUUUUUGGGUUUUCUUUUAAUUACUACUACUACAGGCAUGGAAAGUAAACUAGCUAAAAGAUACAACUAAUUAUUUUUUUUGGUUUUUCUUAAGGUUUUUCAAACACACAAGAAGAAAGCAAGAAAAGAAAAUAAACUAGCAUGGAUAGUACAAUGAAAAAGUAUGAGCACCGACAACUAGCAUGAGUGUGUGAACAUGAAUGUAAUGUUGAUGAGAAAUACGUACUCCCGCAAGCUUAGGAUUUUGGCCUAAGUUGGUCUAUGGCCACUGGUCGAAGCUACUCUCUCUGAUGUGCUGGGGAGGGUCCUCAGGGUGCCACUGGUUAGCGAUCUCCUCCGGAUCCCACUGAUAAACAGACUGUCGAUAUGGGUCAAGUGGUGGCUCAGGCUCACGCUCUGGGACUUGUGUCAGCCUCCAGUAUGCAUAAAUGGCCUCGGGCAAGAUGAGGUACGUGCCUGAAAGUAUGUUAAACAAAGAGGGUGCAGGCAAGGUAAUAGUUUCAUAGUGAGUUUUAUCAAAUAUCAAAUUAUACUUAAGCAUCUUCUUCUUAUUUUUAACAAUAAGUUCAUGUGCUACCAUACUCUUAUAAUCUAGAAAAAUAGUGGGAAGCAACUUUUCCUCUUUCUCAUGAUGCCUAAUAGGUAUCUCAAAAUGUUUAGCAAGGCGUGAGGUAAAGAUGCCUCUGAAGAUGGGGCCCUUUGUACGGUUCAGACUUAACCAUUUAGCAACAAUAGUGCCUAAACUGAAUGUUGUAUCACGAAACAAAGCAUGGCGCAAAAUAACAAUAUCAGGAGCACUAAAAUUUCCACUGUUCCCGCGACCAAUUAAGCAUCUACUAACAAAUAUCGCAAAGUAAAGUAGAACAAGAAAAUGUAUACUAGUAAUUCUUGCAUCGGAAACUUUCCUUGUUUCCCCUACAGCAAUUCUAUCAAUAAACUCAUCCACAUCACUAUGAUGUGGUUCCUCAAUGCUGCCCACAAAGGGUAUCUUGCAGACCCGACAAAAAUCAUGGAGUGACAUCUCCUUAACCUCAUCAUAUAAGUGAAACUCCACUGAAGGUGGUGAUUUCUUAGCAUGGAAACAAAUUUUGCACAAAAAUAUUAGUGAGUAGGAGAUAUAGUUCGCGCUGGUCAUGGAGGAAGUCGGUGAGGCCUGCAUUCUCAGCCAAGUAAUAAAAGUCAUCGUAAAUUCCGGUGGCCCUCAAGAACGUAUCACAAGGCCAUUCACUCGGCCGGACCUCCGCGGUGCGAGGAAGAUUGUAUUAGGGCUUUUUAUUCUCCUCAUUCUGCUUAUCCUUCGAGCUUCGGCUCGAGGAGCCCCUCAACAAUCUCUUCAUCAUUUUCUUUCUCUUAAAAAUUUCUGAAAUUUUUAGUGACUCAAAAUAAAAGUGAACCAAACUCAACAAGAUUGAUAGCAACUACUCCCACAAGUGCCCAGAGUUUGUAUCAUGCAUUAAAACUACUUUGGACCAUAUAAAUUUGGCAUGCAAGCUCAAGAACAGGGUCACCUUAGCAGCAACAAUUUGCAAUAAAUAAAGCACUAGAACAAAAACUAAUUGGACCAUUAGAGGAGUCACAUACCGAAGAACAAUCCCCCAAAGCAGUUUUGUGAAUGGAGCUUUGAGCAAGGAGAUAAAAAAUGGCAGCAAAACGAGCUAGAACAUGGGUUUGAGCUAUGGGAGGAUUUUUUUUGGAAGAAGACGAAGUGUGUGGGUGCUGGAAUAAGUGGGGGUCCAUGUGGGGCCCACGAGGUAGGGGGCGCCCCAGGGGCGCGCCCUGUGCCCUCGUGGCCAAAUGGUGGGUCCCCCUGGUGUGUUCUAAGUGCCAGAAAUUCUUAAAUAUUCUACAAAAAAUCAUACUUCAUUUUCAGGGCAUUUGGAGAACUUUUAUUUUCGGGGUAUUUUUUAUUGCAUGGAUAACUCAGAAAACAGAUAGAAAAUACCAAUUUUGCUUUAUUUAAUCUAAAUAACAGAAAGUAAAAGGAGGGUACAGAGGGUUGCGCUUUCUAGCUUCAUCCAUAUCAUGCUUAUCAAAAUGAAUCCACUAACAAGGUUGAUCAAAUCUUGUUAACUUCUUCCGAAUAACAUAAAAUCAGAGAAUAUUUGAAUAACACCUGGUUACCUCAACGGGGAUUUGCAUGUCCCCAACAAUAAGAAUAUCAUAUUUCCUUUUGACAGUAGGAAGAGGGAAUUCAAAACCUCCAAUAGUAAUCAUUGAAAUUGUUCCAAUAGAAUUGAUAAGAUGAACUUGAGGUUGUUUCCUCGGAAAGUGUAUUGUAUGCUCAUUACCAUUAACAUGAAAAGUGACAUUGCUUUUGUUGCAAUCAAUAACAGCCCCUGCAGUAUUCAAAAAGGGUCUACCAAGGAUGAUCGACAUACUAUUGUCCUUGGGAAUAUCAAAAGUCCGUUAAGAUAGUAACGUUUACAACCACAACAAGCACAUCCGGUAUAGCUGUUGAUUUAUCGGACAUUUGCAAAGAGAUUUCAGUAGGUGUCAACUUAUUAAAAUCAAGUCUAGGAUAUAAAGAGAGAGGCAUAACACUAACACCAGCUCCAAGAUCACAUAAAGCAGUUUUAACAUAGUUUCUUUAAUGGAGCAUGGUAUAGUUGGUACUCCUGGAUCUCCUAUUUCUUUGGUAUUCCACCUUUAAAAGUAUAAUUAGCAAGCAUGGUGGAAAUUUCAGCUUCCGGUAUCUUUCUUUUAUUUGUAACAAUAGCAUAAGGAUUCAUUUUAAGCAUAUCAAUCAAACGCAUAUGCAAAAAGAUAGGUCUAAUCAUUUCAGGAAAGCGCUCAAAAUCCUCAUCAUCCUUUUUCUUGGAUGGCUUAGGAGGAAAAGGCAUGGGUUUCUGAACCCAUGGUUCUUUUUCUUUACCAUGCUUCCUAGCAAUGAAGUCCCUCUUAUCAUAACCUUGAUUCUUUGAUUGUAGGUUAUCAAGAUCAACAGCAAGUUCAAUUUCUACAUCAUUUUUAUUACUGGGUUGAGCAUCAACAUGAACAUCAUUAUUAACAUUAUCACUAGAUUCAUGUUCAUUACCAGAUUGUGUUUCAGCAUUAGAAAUAGAAAUAUCAUUGGGAUUCUCAGGUGUGUAUAUAGCAGGUUCACUAGAAGCAUGCAAAGUCCUAUCAUUUUUCUUUUUCUCCUUCUUAGAAGGACUAGGUGCUUGAACAUUAGUUCUCUGAGAAUCUUACUCAACUCUCGUAGGAUGGCCCUCAGGAUACAAAGAUUCCUGAGUCACUCUACCACCUCUAGUCAUAACUCUAACAACAUUAUCAUUUUUCUUAUUAUUUAACUCACUGAGCAAAUCAUCUUGUGCCUUAAGUACUUGUUCUACUUGAGUGGUAACCAUAGAUGCAUGUUUACUGAUAAGCUUAAGGUCACCUUUAACUCUAGACAUAUAAUCACUCAAGUGUUCAAUCAUAUAAGCAUUACGUUUCAAUUGUCUUCCAACAUAAGCAUUGAAGUUUUCUUGUUUAACAAUAAAGUUAUAAAACUCAUCCAAGCAUUGACUAGCAGACUUAUAACGAGGAAUAUCACCUUCAUCAAAAUCUAUAGAGAGAAUUUACCUUUACUACCUGUGUCGGGUUAUCAAGACCAUGUAUUUGUUCAAUAGGUGGUAAAUUCUUAACAUCUUCAGCUUUAAUACCUUUUUCUUUCAUAGAUUUCUUUGCUUCUUGCAUAUCUUCAGGACUGAGAAAUAAAAUACCCCUUUUCUUUGGAGUUAGUUCAGGAAGUGUCCAAUCAUUAUCAUUGCUCAAUAUAUUAUUCAAUAGCAAUUCAGCUUGCUCAACAGUUCUUUCUCUGAAAACACAACCAGCACAACUAUCCAGGUGGUCUCUGGAAGCAUCGGUUAGUCCAUUGUAAAAGAUAUCAAGUAUUUCAUUUUUCUUGAGAGGAUGAUCAGGCAAAGCAUUAAGUAACUGGAGAAGCCUCCCCCAAGCUUGUGGGAGACUCUCUUCUUCAAUUUGCACAAAAUUAUAUAUUUCCCUUAAGGCAUCUUGUUUCUUAUGAGCGCUGAAAUAGUUAGUAGAGAAGUAAUAAAUCAUAUCCUGGGGACUACACACACAACCAGGAGCAAGAGAAUUAAACCAUAUUUUAGCUUCACCCUUUAAUGAGAACAGAAAUAACUUAAGGAUAUAAUAAUAACGAAUUUUUUCCUCAUGAGUGAAUAGGGUGGCUAUAUCAUUCAAUUUAGUGAGAUGUGCCACAAUAGUUUCAGAUUCAUAGCCAUAAAAAGGAUCGGAUUCAAAUAAAGUAAUUAACUCAGGAUCGAUAGACAAAUCAUAAUCCUUAUCAGAAAUACAGAUAGGUGAAGUAGAAAAAGCAGGGUCAUAUUUCAUUCUAGCAUUCAAAGACUUUUCUUUCAGCUUAGAUAACAGUUUCUUAAGAUCAUAUCUAUCUUUGCAAGCAAAAAGGUCUCUAGCAGUUUCUUCAUCCAUAACAUAACCCUCAGGCACAUCAGGCAAUUCAUAUCUAGGGGGAGAAUCUUCAUCAUCACUUUCAUCGAUAUUAUCAGUUUCAAUAAUUUAAUUCUCUCUAACCCUAGCAAGUUGUUCAUCAUGAAAUUCACCUAAUGGCACAGUAUUAUCAAGCAUAGAAGUAGUGUCAUCAUAAGCAUCAUGCAUAGCAGAAGUGGCAUCAUCAAUAACAUGUGACAUAUAAGAAUCAAUAGCAGGUGUAGGUGUUGCAAGCUUACUCAAACCAGAAGGUGAAUCAAGUGUAGAGCUAGAUGGUAGUUCCUUACCUCCCAUCGUAGUUGAGGGAAAAAUCUUGGUUCUUUCAUCUUUCAAGUUCCUCAUAGUGAUCAGUAGAUAUAAAUCCCAAGUGACUCAAAGAAUAGAGCUAUGCUCCCUGGCAACAGCGCCAGAAAAUAGUCUUCGUAACCCACAAGUAUAGGCGAUCGCAACAGUUUUCGAGGGUAGAGUAUUCAACCCAAAUUUAUUGAUUCUACACAAGGGGAGCCAAAGAAUAUUCUCAAGUAUUAGCAGUUGAGUUGUCAAUUCAACCACAACUGAAAGACUUAAUAUCUGCAGCAAAGUAUUUAGUAGCAGAGUGAUAUGGAAAUAACGGCAAUGGUGGCAAAAGUAAUAGUAGCAGUUUUGUAGUAAUCAUAACAGUGGCAAUGGAGAAGUAACUAAACAAAGAUCAAUAUGUGAAAAGCUCGUAGGCAAUGGAAUAGUGAUGGAUAAUUAUGUCGGAUGCGAUUCCUCAUGUAAUAGUUAUAACAUAGGGUCAGAACUAGCUCCAGUUCCUCAAUGUAAUGUAGGCAUGUAUUCCGAAUAUAGUCAUACGUGCUUAUGGAAAAGAACUUGCAUGAAAUCUUUUGUCCUACCCUUCCGUGGCAGCGGGGUCCUAUUGGAAACUAAGGGAUAUUAAGGCCUCCUUUUAAUAGGGUACCGGAGCAAAGCAUUAACACUUAGUGAAUACAUGAACUCCUCAAACUACGAUCAUCACCGGGAGUGGUCCCGAUUAUUGUCACUUCGGGGUUGUCGGAUCAUAACACAUAUUAGGUGACUAUUGACUUGAAAGAUAGGAUCAAGAACUCACAUAUAUUCAUGAAAACAUAAUAGGUUCAGAUCUGAAAUCAUGGCACUCGGGCCCUAGUGACAAGCAUUAAACAUAGCAAAGUCAUAGCAACAUCAAUCUUAGAACAUAAUGGAUACUAGGGAUCAAACCCUAACAAAACUAACUUGAUUACAUGGUAAAUAUCAUCGAACCCAUCACCGUCCAACAAGCCUACGAUGGGAUUACUCACGCACGGCGGUGAGCACCAUAAAAUUGGUGAUGGAGGAUGGUUGAUGAUGACGAUGGCGACGGAUUCCCCUCUCCAGUGCCCCGAAUGGACUCCAGAUCAGCCCUCCCGAGGAAGAUUAGGGCUUGGCGGCGGCUCCGUAUUGUAAAACACGAUGAAUCCUUCUCCUCGAUUUUUUUCUCUCCCCGAAAGUGAAUAUAUGGAGUUGGGAUUGAGGUCACUGGAGUCCCAGGGGGCCCACGAGGCAGUGGCGCGCCCCAGGGGGGAGGGGGCGCGCCCUGCACCCUCGUGGCCAGGGUGCGGCCCACCCUGAUGCUGAUUCUUUCGCCAAUAUUUUUUAUUAAUUCCAAAACGUGUCUCCGUGGAUUUUUCAGGUCAUUCCGAGAACUUUUAUUUCUGCACAAAAAUAACACCAUGGCAAUUCUCGUGAAAAUAGCGUUAGUCCGGGUUAGUUCCAUUCAAAUCAUGCAAGUUAGAGUCCAAAACAAGGGCAAAAGUGUUUGGAAAAGUAGAUACGUUGGAGACGUAUCAGUGCCCCCUGCCCACGUAUAUAAAGGAGGAGAGGAAGGAGGCUGGCAGCCUAGAGGGGCGUGCCAAGGGGGAAUCAAACUAGGAUUCCCUAUCCUAGUUGGUCUCCCUUUCCUGGCUAUUCCAAGAAGGGGAAAGAGGGAAGGAGAGGGAGAGGGAGAGGGAAAGAGGGGGCCGCGCCCCCUCCCCCUUGUCCAAUUCGGCCCCCCUUGGGGGGGUGGCGCGCCACCCUGCGGGCUGCCCUCUCCUACUCCCUUAUGGCCCAUUAAGGCCCAUAACUUCCACGGGGGGGGGGGGGUCCGGUAACCCCUCGGUUCCCCGAUAAAUAUCCAAAAUGUCUCGAAACCAUUUCGGUAUCCGAAUACCUUCAUCCAAUAUAUCAAUCUUUACCUCUCGACCAUUUCGAGACUCCUCGUCAUGUCCGCGAUCUCAUCCAGGACUCCGAACAAAAUUUGGUCAUCCAAAACACAUAACUCAUAAUACAAAUUGUCAUCGAACGUUAAGCAUGCGGACCCUACGGGUUCGAGAACUAUGUAGACAUGACCGAGACACAUCUCCGGUCAAUAACCAAUAGCGAAACCUGGAUGCUCAUAUAUGCUCCUACAUAUUCUACGAAGGUCUUUAUCAGUCAAAGCGCACAAGAACAUAUGUUGUUCCCUUUAUCAUCGGUAUGUUACUUGCCCGAGAUUCGAUCGUCGAUAUCAUCAUACCUAUUUCAAUCUCGUUACCGGCAAGUCUCUUUACUCAUUCCGUAAUGCUUCAUCCCAUAACUAACUCAUUAGUCACAUUUCUUGCAAGGCUUAUAGUGAUGAGCAUUACCGAGAGGGCCCAGAGAUACCUCUCCGAUACACGGAGUGACAAAUCCUAAUCUCGAUCUAUGCCAACCCAACAAACACCUUCAGAGACACCUGUAGAGCAUCUUUAUAAUCACCUAGUUAUGUAGUGACAUUUGAUAGCACACAAGGUGUUCCUACGGUAUUCAGGAGUUGCAUAAUCUCAUAGUCAGAGGAACAUGUAUAAGUCAUGAAGAAAGCAAUAGCAAUAAAACUUAACAAUCAUAAUGCUAAGCUAACGGUGGGGUCUUGUCCAUCACAUCAUUCUCUAAUGAUGUGAUCCCAUUCAAAUGACAACACAUGUCUAUGGUCAGGAAACAUAACCAUCUUUGAUUAACGAGCUAGUCAAGUAGAGGCAUACUAGGGACACUUUGUUUUGUCUAUGUAUUCACACAUGUACUAAGUUUCCGGUUAAUACAAUUCUAGCAUGAAUAAUAAACAUUUAUCAUGAUAUAAGGAAAUAUGAAUAACAACUUUAUUAUUGCCUCUAGGCCAUAUUUCCUUCAGUGCUCAAUAUCUUCAUUUGAUGUCAGGCCGUCGCCGGCGGUGAACAGGAAGAAGGGGGACGCUUGAGCCGCCGAGGCCAAGCGUGCCAUUACGGUUGCCGCGGCUCCGGCUCAGAGGGACGUAGCAGCUCCUGACGCUCCUGCAGCGACGCUGCCCUCCCGAAGCUUCGGAACCCAGCCUCAGGAGGAGAUGACUCCCGCGGUCGAGCUGACCCUGGAGGCGCUUGUCCCUGACUCACUUGCCAGGGGACCAAAAUCUCCGGAGCCCCCGGUCCUAUCUAUUGUUGCUGCUCCACUAGUCUUGGUGCCGACAAUGCCUCCUCUUCCAUCCACCACGCCGUCAGGCCGUGGUGCUUCUGCCGCGUCUAGAGCUCUGGAGGAGGCCCGCUCCAUGGUGGACCAGCUCUGGGAUGGUCUUCAGGGUCCAGACCGGCGCCGGGCGUUAGGGCUGCUAGAGCUGGUCUCGGGGUGCUCCAAGCCGAUGCGUUUGUCAGGACGACCUGGGGCCAAGACGUGGCAUCCGCGGAGGAGGUCUAGAGGGUGGAUGGCUUAGCCGCAGCCGCCCGUGACGUGGCACUGAAGGAAGCCAAGGACGCGCAGGAGUGCUACCGCGUGGUGGAGGCCGAACUGAAGACCCUUCAAGAUUAGUAGGACACCCAGACCCAUCAGCUCAAAGUGCAGGAGGAGGAGCUAAAGGCCCAGGAGGCUGCAGUUGCCGAUCGCGAUGCCGAGCUGGCGCAGGCAGCCCAAGAACAAGCCACAGAGCGCGGCCGCCUGGACAAGUUGAAGGCGGAGGUGGAGGCGGCCCAGGCGGCCCACACCAAGCUUGUUUCUGACGAGAAGUCUCGGCUGGACGCCAGGGAGAAGCUCCUCGCAAAGACCGAGGAGGCAGGCACCAUGAAGCGUGACGCUUUCAUCGCUCUUGAGGCGAGGUCCCGCAAGGUGCUGCAGGAUCUCUUCGGGGGCGAGCGCCAGGAGCCAGCGGUGACUCCGGAGCAGGGCCCCGACGUACUGCUCCCCGAGCUUAUCACUGCGCUCGAGAGCAUCGUCGUCGGGUUCGGCCCCAUGGUGGAAGGGGAGGCAUGCACGCUUUCUUCCUCGGCCAUGACACGCGUCUUCAGCCAUCUCUAUCUUUGGGACACCAACUUCGACUUCGGCGCCUUGCUCGAGCCCGUGGACUCUGAGUCCUGCGCCGCCGCUGCUGAAGCCGUGAAAGGUCAGGUGGAGGCCGUGCUAAAGAAGUUCCUCAUUGUCGGCCCCAUGGCUGGGGCUGAAAGCAAGGAUGACGGCAACAUCAUUAAUGACGGGGCUCCCAAGGCGGGCGACGGCGACGUCCAAGGCCGAAUAAGAGGCUUGAUGGCAGCACUUCUCCCUGUUUCUGUACUGCAACAUGUAUCAUGCCUUGCGGAGGCGUAAGAACUUAUGCUUGGUACUUUUUAAGAGACAAUGUGUUUUUGUAAUGAUUUGCUAAGGUUUCGCGAUCCCUUUUCCAUUCGCUUUAGCAUCUGCAUCAGCAGGGCCCGACCCCGCGCAUACCUCAGUCGUCGUUGGGUCGUCCGGAUUGCCAGGGCGAGGCCAAGGGGUGAGGGGCUACGUGGUUAGUUAGGCUCCUGAGACGCGAUGCUCAGGAGUCCCCCUUUACGUAUGAACAGCUUUUGGAGAGGAGAUGCGAGAGUAGGUCUUAGCGUUCUGCGUCGGCAGGGCCCGAUCCCGCGCAUACCUCAGCCGCCGUUGAGUUGUCCGGAGCACCAAGACGAGGACAAGGGGUGAGGGGCUACGUGGCCAGUUAGGCUCCUGAGACGCGAUGCUCAGGAGGCCCCCUUGACGUACGAACCGACCAUCGUACCUUUCCUUGUCGGGCUCUAGCUCGGGAGGGGUGUGCGAAGACCAGGUCUGUGGGACCUAGCAGGGUGGCGUACACCAGGCGUGACAUGAGCGUAGCCCCCAUGCCCAACCCCCUCGCGCUACUCUCCCGAGCGAAAGCAGCGCGGUGAGGCUAGGCAUUGAGCACGGAGGCUCCCUGAGGUUGCUGCAGGGCGGUGAGGCCGCCCUUAGUUGUUUAUCACACUGGUACUUCCGCUCUUGCACGGGCAUAGCCGCUCCUCGGCAGUGUCGACUGCUAGCGCGGAGCAUGGUGCUUCCACUGGUAUGUGGGGGGGGCUCCCUCUAAGGGGAGCCCCCAGGGCGUGUGCAGCCCCGCCCUGACACAUGGCUUGCAUGGCAGGGCUGGAGGAGGUGUGUCUGGGCACUCGUGAGCCAGAGCGGGACUCAUGAGGCCCUACCUCAAGGUGGGUUGCGCCUGAACUUGAUUGGGAACACUGGUGAUAGUCCUGCAAGAUGGUCAGGCAACCUGCACCGAGUGAAUCUCCUGAGGUUAUCGCAUGAGAAGGCCAGACACCAAUGCCCCAGGAGGUGACGUGAACAGGACUGGCCCGCCAGAUAGAGCUCAACCGUUGGGUUUAUCGACGCUGCAGGGACGGACCCGAGCACAGACGCCGUGCCCAGUCUUCUCAUGCGACGGUCCUGAAGAAAGACAGUCAGUGCGCGGCUCCCAUGGUGAUGAGGCACCGGGUCGCGCGCCCUCACUUGUUCGUCUGCAAUUAGAUCAUGCAAGAAUAAGGCACCAAGGGCCACGGGAGGUGACGUGCACGGGAGCUACCCCGCGAGCCAGAGCUCACCCUCUUGGGUUUAGCGAUGCUGCAGGGACGAACCCGAGCAUAGACGUCGUGCCAGUCCUUAAUCAUGAGGCGGUCGCGGGUGGGCUUGCAAGGGCGCGGGACAUUCAUGGUGACGAAGCGCCGGUCAGGCAAUGAUAACCAUAAGGCAACUCGUGGAAGACGGUUAGCCAGCUCUGAUAAAUGCAAGAAGGAUACAUGCCACAGGGACGGACCCGCAUGGCUUGGGGAUAUUGUAGCCCGAGGGGUGCCCCAAACUGAAUGAACUAAAAGAUGUCACCUGGCACCGUUGCUGAAGAGGUGUCGGAGUAGCAGAAGGUGUGCACUGCAGAAGUCGCUCCUCAUGAGUCGCCCUAGCCCUAAACCUCGGGAGGCUUGGGAGGCCCGGGGGGCUCAUGAGGAUCCGUUGCCAUCUCCGCCUGGAUCGCCUGACGCUUGGCCUCUUGAUUCGCUAGGACGCCCCGCAUGUGGAGCUGGCAUGCAGCAGCUGUGUUCAGCAAACCGAAGGGCAUGCAGAUGUAGCUAUGAGGGGGCCUCGCAUCGGCCAACACGGGACAGCCAGAAGAGCUCCUGAGACGCGGCCCUGUUGAGCCCUAGGAUGUCAACGCAGACGCACAGCUUCUCGUCCUCGCCUAGGCGAGAAGCCGCGCCUGGCGGUGGGCGGCGAUCGCCCCUCAUGACCCUUGCCUCCUGAAUCUCUUUGGCUGCCUUGUCGAAGAACUCCUGAGCGCCAGGCGCCUUGCGCCCAGCGCUCUCUCCAUGAAAGCGUGCACUGAAGCAUGCCUCCACAUGGUGCCCGAGUGCCUCCCUCAUGACGUUAGCCAGGUCAGAGGCCCUCCAGAGGAGAGGCCCCGAGCCCAGCCUGAGAGGGGCACCGGGCGCACCUUCCUAUGCGAGAGGGGAAGGCACCCCGUCCACAAACGCCAGGCUGGAGGCUACCCCGCCGGAUGCCCCAUCCUCCUGAGGUCCCUGGCGGAGCAGCUGCUUCUUCUUCUUGGGAACGACCUCAGGAGGGAGGAAGGCACCCUCGUCGUCAGGGUUCUCGACCGCUGCAUCCUGGUAGGCGCGCUCGAGGGAGCACACUGCGUCCUUUUCUUCGCAAGCGACUAUGGUGAUGCUGCAGUUCCCUGGCAUCUUGAGGAUAUUGUAGUCGUUGUGCGUUGCCACCAUGAACUUAGCAAGAGCUGGGUACCCGACGAUGGCAUUGUAUGGUAGGCGAAUGUAGGCGAUGUCGAAGUCGAUGAGCUCGGUGCGGUAAUUGUCGCGCUUGCCAAAGGUGAUGGGGAGGCGGACCUGCCCGAUCGGAUGCAUGGAGCCGUCGGUCACUCCUGAGAAGGGCUUGGGAGGCUGAAGCUGGUGAUACGACACUUGAAUCCUAUUGAACAUUUGGACAGAGAGAACAUUGAGCCCUGCACCGCCAUCAAUGAGCGUCUUGGUGACGAGCACAUUGCUGAUGAUGGGCGAGCAAAGCAUUGGGAGCGCGCCAGCUGUGGUCGUGCACUUGAGUUUGAGGAGUCGAAGGUGAUGACGUACUUGGAGCACCUGAGCGGGCGCGUCUCGAGCUUUGGAAGGGCUGCAUUCACCUCACGCGCGAACUGCUUGAAGAUGCGAUGAGAGGCUGGGGCCUGGGAGCCGCCCAGGAUGCAGGCGAUGGCACGAGGCUCUUGGAAGCCCCCAACCCCCUCGUCCUGAUGGUGGUCUUCGUUCCUUCUUGGCGGCGGCGGCGGCGGCGGAGGAAGACCAACGUUGCCCUGAGGCGGAUCCUCACGAAGCUGAUCCCUCCACGCACCCUCGCGAGGCUGGCUCUGCCGGCGGUCCUCCCGAGGCUGGUCGCGCCACUCCUGACGAUGGUCACGAUCGUCCCAGCGUCCUCCACCUUGGCCUCCUCCACGACCGUAGCCUCGAUCGUUGCGCUUGGGGCGACGACCGAGGCGCCCGUCGGGGAUUGCCCUGAGCUCCUGGCAGUCGUUGGUGUUGUGGUUGUGCACGUUGUGGAAGACGCAGAAUGGGCAGCUGCCCUUGGAUAACUCUGGGUGAUCACAGAUGCGCUGUAACGCCCCGGAUACAACUUUCCAUAUUCGUAACUCCAACUCUUGCCUUUUCCGGAGAUGCGAUAUGUUAUUUCCUUCGUGGUUGGGGUUUUGUCUUUUGUUUUGCAUUGUGUUCAUGUCAUGCAUGUCAUCUCAUCGCAUCAUUCGCAUUGCAUUCGCAUGUUUUCAUUAAACUUGCAUCCAUUUCUAGUUCCGGCUUCUCCUCGAUGCCUUUGUUGUUGCCUCUUUCGAGACCAACCGUUCUUUUGUUGUCCAACCGUUUGAGCCUCUCUGCACAUCCACCAACCACCUCCGCAACCUAGUCUGAAAACUUCUCCCGGACCCGACCCGGGUUGUCAUGACCAAUGGGUCCGGAUCAUCUCCUAACAUCUAUAAAACAUCUCCGUUUUUUUAAUUGGACUUCCUACACAUAUUUUUUCUCAACCGUCCGAUUACGAUCGUAGGGAUGCUCUAACCUAAAUUCAUCUGAUAUAAAUAUCGGGGCAACCCUAGAUCUAGCCGUCCCAUCCACCCAGUCUCAUCCGCGCUGCCACCGCUCUCUUUCUUCCCCUCGGGAUCCAUCCCCACCAACCGCAGCCUCCGACCAGAUCCCUGGUUUUCCGCGCAGCCGCCCGAGCACAUCUCGAUGGAUCGAGCGCUUCGCCUCGAAGCACAACAUCCCCUGCUCAUGCCCCGAGCCUCUCGUUGUCCAGGAGCACGAGCUCCAUCGCAGCGCUGCCGCCAGCCGGAGCAGCCGGUCAUCCCCGUCGUUGCCGAACCUCGCCGCUCCUCCCCUUUUCUUUGACUUCCUUCCUCUGGUUUUUCUCUGCUCUCAACACCUCGUCUCUCUCUUUCUCUGAUCACAGGAACAAACCGGCCCUGUAGCCGCUGACCUCGUCGGCAACAGCCGACGUCAUGGACGCCAACCGCAAAGCUGUCGCCCUCUUCGUCAGCCUGGAGCCCCGCUCGUCAUCGCCCGCUCGCGCCUGAACCAAGGACCCCGCCGCCCUCCAGCUUCCCCGUAGCCCCGCAGACGCCUCCUGCCCGAGUCGUCCCGUCCUCCACCACCACCCACGCGCUGCCGUCCAGGACCCCGGCAGGUCGCACCUCGCGCCGGUUGGAGCUCCGCAGGUCGGUGCCCCUUCCAAUCGGACCUCCUCCUCCAUUCCCUCCCUUUCCCUCCGGUCUCUAACCUCUCAUUCCCUCUCUCUGUUCUCCUUGUAGCGUUGUCGCCUCCUUCAUGUGCGUCAUGCGCGAAAACCGACAAGGCUCCAGCGCCAUGGCCUUCCCCACUUCUGCCCGAGCGCCUCCAGGACCUCGUCUGCCCCGCCGCGUCGCCGAAUCCGGCCACCAGGACCCUCCAGCGCCGCCACUUCUUUCCUCAUGCUGUCGCGCCCCUUCUUCCUCUGCUUCGAGGACGAGCCAGGCGACCGCGUUGACUUCUCGUCGCCAGCCAGAUCCACCAAGCCCAGCCGGCCUCUUCUGCUUCCAGCCGGGCCUCGGCCCAUGGUGAGCCUCCAGCCUAUCCCUCGCCCCAGCGCACAUGUUAGCUUGCGCCCACCAGAUUCGGCCCAACAUGUUUUUUUUUCAGAUCCGUGAAUUUAGACAUUAUCCAGAGAAUGCCGUUUUACAGAAAAACCCCCGUUCUUCAUGCAUUUAAUAACCCACAAACCGUGCAUCGGAUUAAAAUGUUUUAAACAUGUAAAAUGCUUAGAAUUUUGUGUAGAUUAAUAAUUUGCAACUUUCAUCCAUGUUUAAAAUGUUUAAAAUGAUGUUUGCAUUUAAUUUGCUAAUUGCCAUGUUAAAAUGAUUUAAUUCAUAACUAAAUAACCGUAGCUCGGUUUUAAAUGUUCUUUAUAUGUAAAUGGGGUGGGAAAAUGCCUAGAUUAACAUGGUGCACUUUGUUUUAUUGUUUAACAACUUUAAAAUAUGUUUUAGGGCAGAACAGUAGCUAAUUCAAAAUAUGCAUAUGGGGAUUUUCCGGAAUUGUUGUUUGUUGUUCCGGCCUCAUUUAAACUUGACUAAAUAGUUAGUUUACUUUUGAUUCACCCCUUGCCAUGUUUAACAACAUUUAGUAUUGAUGAGUAGCAUAACCGAGAGAGAACUAAAUAAUUGAUGUGGAGUUUUGUCAAUAUGCAACUCAUUGCAUAUUAAGCUCCACUUAAUUUGUAGUAUUGUUUGUUGCACUUUGCCAUGCCAUGCCUCAUUAAACUGUACAUGCAUCAUACUUGAUUGUGCAUCAUGUCAUGUUUAUGUGAUGGUUGUUUACUAUGUUGCUUGCUUCUUUCCGGUGUUGCUUUUUAGUUUCGGUAACGUUGCGUUCGUGAGGAUUCGUUCGACUACGUUGGUUCGUCUACUUCAUGGACUCGUUCUUCUUCCUAGCAGGAUUUCAGGCAAGAUGACCGCUACCCUGGAUCUCACUACUAUCAUUGCUAUGCUAGUUGCUUCGUUCUAUCGCUUUGCUGCGCUACCUAUCAAUUGCUCUUCAAGCCUCCCAAAUUGCCAUGUCAGCCUCUAACCUUUGACACCCUUCCUAGCAAACUGUUGUUUGGCUAUGUUACCGCUUUGCUCAGCCCCUCUUAUAGUGUUGCUAGUUGCAGGUGAAGUUGAAGAUUGCUCCAUUAUGGACAGGAUUAUGUUGGGAUAUCACAAUAUCUCUUAUUUUAUUAAUGCAUCUAUAUACUUGGUAAAGGGUGGAAGGCUCGGCCUUAUGCCUGGUGUUUUGUUCCACUCUUGCCGCCCUAGUUUCCGUCAUACCGGUGUUAUGUUCCCGGAUUUUGCGUUCCUUACGCGGUCGGGUGAUUUAUGGGACCCCCUCGACAGUUCGCUUUGAAUAAAACUCCUCCAGCAAGGUCCAACCUUGGUUUUACCAUUUUCCUCACCUAGCCCUUUUUCCCUUGGGUUUCCGGAGCCCGAGGGUCGUCUUUAUUUACCCCCCGGGCCAGUUCUCCUCCGAGUGCUGGUCCAAACCGAGCGAUGUACGGCGCCCCCUGGGCAACUAGGGUCUAUGCCAACCCGACGUCUGGCUCAUCCAGUGUGCCCUGAGAACGAGAUAUGUGCAGCUCCUAUCGGGAUUUGUCGGCACAUCGGGCGGCUUUGCUGGUCUUGUUUUACCAUUGUCGAAAUGUCUUGUAAACCGGGAUUCCGAGACUGACCGGGUCUUCCUGGGAGAAGGAAUAUCCUUCGUUGAUCGCGAGAGCUUAUCAUGGGCUCAGUUGGGACACCCCUACAGGGUAUAAACUUUCGAGAGUCGUGCCCGCGGUUAUGUGGCAGAUGGGAAUUUGUUAAUGUCCGGUUGUAGAUAACUUGACACCAGAUCCGAAUUAAAACGCAUCAACCGUGUAUGUAGCCAUGAUGGUCUCUUCUCGGCGGAGUCCGGGAAGUGAACACGGUUUCUGUGUUAUGAUUGACGUAAGUAGGAGUUCAGGAUCACCUCUUGAUCAUUACUAGCUUCACGACCGUUCCUUUGCUUCUCUUCUCGCUCUUAUUGCGUAUGUUAGCCACCAUACUUGCUUAGCCGCUGCUGCAACCUCACCACUUUACCCCUUCCUUUCCCAUUAAGCUUUGCUAGUCUUGAUACCCAUGGUAAUGGGAUUGCUGAGUCCUCGUGGCUCACAGAUUACUACAACAACAGUUGCAGGUGCAGGAUUAUGCGAUGAUCUUGACGCGAGAGGGAUGUUACUUGUUUUGGACUUCUUCUUCUGCUUCUUCUCCGAUCAGGGGAUAGGUUCCAGGUCGGCAGCCUGGGCUAGCAGGGUGGAUGUCGUUCGAGUUUCUGUUUGUGUUUCAUCCGUAGUAGGAUGCUGCUCUUAUGUAUGAUGAUGUUGUAUUCAUGUGGCAUUGUAUGCCUCUUGUAUGUAUCCCCAUCUAUUAUGUAAUGUUGAUGUAAUGAUAUCCACCUUGCAAAAGUGUAACGCCCCAGACACACCCGUCGGUGGUCGUUACUCCUGGCGAGAUCUAGACUGGCCCCACAGAUCAAUACUAGUCUUUUAUGUGCACUUUUGCAAACCGUGCAUCCGAUUCCGGUGAUCUUUAUAUCGAUUUCAACCGAAAUCAUCUCAUCUUUCCAGCGGCAUACUUGGUUUGCCAAGUUGAUGCCUGGUUCAUCAUUUUCCUUCCGGAGCACACAUAUGCAUUGCAUAUCACAUCUCGCAUAGCAUGUCAUGUAUUGCAUCAUAUUGCUUGUGCAUUGCUCCUUGUUUGAUUGUUGUUCCAUUGCUUGUGUUCUUGCUUUGGGUAGAGCCGGGAGACGAGUACGUGAACGAGGAACCUGUUGAGAACGCCUACGAGGAUCAAGCCUUCGACAACUCUGAGAACCUUGCAGGCAAGAUGACCAUACCUUCGAUAUCACUUGUAUCUUUGCUUGCUAGAUGCUCGAUCUUUUGCUAUGCCUAUGCUACGUUACCUACCACUUGAUAUAUCAUGCCACCCAUAUUGCCAUGUCAAACCUCUAACCAUCCUUUCCUAGCAAACCGUUGUUUGGCUAUGUCACCGCUUUUGCUCAGCCCCUCUUAUAGUGUUACUAGUUGCAGGUGAAGAUGAAGUUUGUUCCUUGUUGGAACAUGGAUAUUUUGGGAUAUCACAAUAUCUCUUAUUAAAUUAAUGCAUCUAUAUACUUGGUAAAGGGUGGAAGGCUCGGCCUUAUGCCCGGUGACUUGUUCCACUCUUGCCGCCCUAGUUUCCGUCAUACCGGUGUUAUGUUCCUUGAUUUUGCGUUCCUUACGCGGUUGGGUGAUUUAUGGGACCCCCGUGACCGUUCACUUUGAAUAAAACUCCUCCAGCAAGGCCCAACCUUGGUUUUACCAUUUGCCACCUAUACCUUUUUCCCCUGGAUUUUCGCGAGCCCGAGGGUCAUCUUUAUUUUAGCCCCCCNNNNNNNNNNNNNNNNNNNNNNNNNNNNNNNNNNNNNNNNNNNNNNNNNNNNNNNNNNNNNNNNNNNNNNNNNNNNNNNNNNNNNNNNNNNNNNNNNNNNNNNNNNNNNNNNNNNNNNNNNNNNNNNNNNNNNNNNNNNNNNNNNNNNNNNNNNNNNNNNNNNNNNNNNNNNNNNNNNNNNNNNNNNNNNNNNNNNNNNNNNNNNNNNNNNNNNNNNNNNNNNNNNNNNNNNNNNNNNNNNNNNNNNNNNNNNNNNNNNNNNNNNNNNNNNNNNNNNNNNNNNNNNNNNNNNNNNNNNNNNNNNNNNNNNNNNNNNNNNNNNNNNNNNNNNNNNNNNNNNNNNNNNNNNNNNNNNNNNNGGCCUGGUUUUACUCAUAGCUUGACUUAUCCGGAUGUGCCCUGAGAACGAGAUAUGUGCAGCUCCUAUCGGGAUUUGUCGGCACAUUCGGGCGGCUUUGCUGGUCUUGUUUUACCAUUGUCGAAAUGUCAUGCGAACCGGGAUUCCGAGACUGAUCGGGUCUUCCCGGGAGAAGGUUUAUCCUUCGUUGACCGUGAGAGCUUAUGAUGGGCUAAGUUGGGACACCCCUGCAGGGUAUUAUCUUUCGAAAGCCAUGCCCGCGGUUAUGAGGCAGAUGGGAAUUUGUUAAUGUCCGGUUGUAGAAAACCCGAAGUUGACCUUAAUUAAAAUACAUCAAUCGCGUGUGUAACCGUGAUGGUCUCUUCUCGGCGGAGUCCGGGAAGUGAACACGGUGUUGGAGUUAUGUUUGGCGUAGGUUGCUCUAGGAUCACUUCUUGAUCACUACUAGCUUCACGACCGUGCCUUGCUUCUCUUCUCGCUCUCUUUUGCGAAUGUAGCCACCAUAUAUGCUAGUCGCUUGCUGCAGCUCCACCUCACAAUUCUGUCCUACCUAUAAGCUUAAAUAGUCUUGAUCUCACGGGUGUGAGAUUGCUGAGUCCCCGUGGCUCACAGAUUCUACCAAAACAGAUGCAGGUACCGAUGAUACCAGCGCAAGUGGCGCAAUUGAGCUCAAGUGGGAGUUUGAUGAGGACCGUGAUCGUUACUAUGUUUCAUUUCCAGACGAUCAGUAGUGGAGCCCAGUUGGGGACGAUCGGGGAUCUGUGUGGCAUUUGGGGUAGUCUUCUUUUAUUUUGGUUCCGUAGUCGGACCUUGAGUGUAAUCUGAAUGAUGGAUGUUUAUUUAUGUAUUGUGUGAAGUGGCGACUGUAAGCCAACUAUGUAUCUCUUUCCCUUAUGUAUUACAUGGGUUGUGUGAAGAUUACCUCACUUGCGACAUUGCUUUCAAUGCGGUUAUGCCUCUAAGUCGUGCUUCGACACGUGGGAGAUAUAGCCGCAUCGAGGGCGUUACAAAAAGCGUCUUCAAGAUGCGCUUCUAUCCUUGGUGGGACCUUCGAGUUCCUUUAGGAUAGGGUCGCAUCUUGGGCGUGACAUGCGCUUCAUCUCUGGCUCGGCUGCGAGCACGGCCGGUCCCUUGCGCUUCACGUCCUUGGCCUUGGUCUUCUUGUCUUCUGGGUCUACAUCGGGGAUCUCGAGGAGGGAGAGGCGUCCCUCCUCAGCUCUCGCGCACUUGGUUGCCAUGUUGAACAUCUCCAGGGCCGUGCAUUGGUCUUCGUGUAUGGCGAGCUCCUCCUUCAUCUUGAUGUCACGGACGCCGUCGGUGAAUGCCGAGACGAUGGCUUCGUCCGACACCUUGGGAAUCUUUGAGAUGAACGAUGUUGAAGCGCUAGAUGUACUUCUGCAGGGUCUCUUCUGGUUGCUGCUUGACACAUCGCAGGUCACCCGUGGCCGGCGGGCGGUCGUGAGUGCCCUGGAAGUUGGUGAUGAAACGUUCUCGCAUCUCGUCCCAGGAGGAGACCGAUCCUACGGGCAGGUUCAGGAGCCAAGAGCGCGCGCCGUCCUUGAGGGCCAUGGAGAAACAGUUCGCCAUGACCUUCUCGUCGCCGCUGGCCGCCUCAAUGCUCAGCUCAUAGAGCUGCAGGAACUCAGCGAGGUCGGCGGCGCCGUCGUAGCGUGGAGGCAGGUCAGGCUUGAACUUCCCUGGACAGACGACGCUGCGCAACUCCGGAGUGAAUGCGCGGCACCCCGUUGUGGUCACGAGAGCCCGCCGUGGAGGUGGAGCCUGGUCUUGGCGUUCGCGCACCUUCACCACAGGCGGCGCACGGUCUAGAUGUGGCGCCGGUAGCGCGCGCGCAUAUUCUUGUGGCCGUUGGACCACCUGGUAGCUUGCUUCAUUGCGCGCGGGCGCCUGACACUGCGGAUCACGCCGAGGCGCCACCCGCCUUGGCUCGAUGAUGGCGUCUUGCCUUGGAGGCGGGGGAGGCGCCCCGUGAGCUACAUCUCCCGUAGCAGGCGACGGUUGAGGCAGUGAGCCAGCUGGUGCGGCAGAAUCCUGAGCGGCGGUGACAAGCUCGGCGAUACGGUCGAGCCAGUCCUUGUAGAGGUCGUCGACCUGGCAGUAGCACAGGAGCUCGCGUGCCAUGAGUAGAGCAGCCUGCGCGUUCGCCGGGCCACGACGAGCGUGAGAGGACGAAGCAGCUGGAGUCAGCGUCAGAGUGGCGGUGCACCCAUCGCGGCGCAUAGAUGGAUGCAGUGAAGAGGCUUGUUGCUCGUGGCCUGCGGGGCCCGUGGUGGCGUUCGCCACCGGCGAUGGGGGUCGGCGAGGGCAGCCGUCGCCCGCCAGCACUGUCUGAGCGACGCGGGUGGCAAGGGCGGCCCGGCGCUCAGCACGAGCUCGGCGCGCGUCAUCCAUGGAAGCGGUGGAGCGGUGGCGAGUCGAUCGACGGAAGAGAAGCUCCGACGCACCCCUACCUGGCGCACCAAAUGUCAGAUUUCGGGUUCCGCAAACCCUACUCUUGCUUUGUGGUGGAUUUGCCUCGAGGGGUUGAGGGUGAACUAGUAUAGUGGAGAACAACCUCAGGAGGUGUGUUCUUGGGCUCUAGUGAGCUGGUGAGGGUGGAGCGGAUGUCGUCCCAUCUCCCUCCUUUGGUGGUGGCUAGGUCCUAUUUAUAGUGGUCUUGGUCCUCUUCCCGAAUGGAGGCGGGAAGGGAUCCCACAAUGGCCAAUUUUAAAGGGAGACAACAAGUACAUCUUAUCCUGACUAAAGUGCUCUUCGCCUGCAAAAGCCUGUGGUCGUGACGCUGCGGUGGGCUCGACGAUGACCUCCGUCCUGCCUGGCGGUCUUGAUCUUGUUGCAUGGGAAUGGAAACCUUUGACUGCUUCCUCGGGACUCCGCACCUGCUGCUUGCCUCCUUUGCACGAAAGAGGACACUAGUACACUGCGCCCGCUGGCGCCCGCCUUGACGCNNNNNNNNNNNNNNNNNNNNNNNNNNNNNNNNNNNNNNNNNNNNNNNNNNNNNNNNNNNNNNNNNNNNNNNNNNNNNNNNNNNNNNNNNNNNNNNNNNNNNNNNNNNNNNNNNNNNNNNNNNNNNNNNNNNNNNNNNNNNNNNNNNNNNNNNNNNNNNNNNNNNNNNNNNNNNNNNNNNNNNNNNNNNNNNNNNNCGAUCGUCAUUGCUCACGUCACCCGAACCUCGCAAGGUGAGUCUUGCAUAGAAAUCUCCGCUCCUCAGGAGCCAGCAUGAGGAGGCUGAUCCCCUUGAAGGUCUUGGUGCCGUCCGCUUCGCGAGGCUUGGCCCCUCGUGAGGGUCUUGGGUUGUCGAUGUCGAAACUGGGCCGCACCAGGUCGUCGGUGGAGCCACGCCAUGGGCCGUAGGCAGGCAAGUCUGGGUACCCCCGUAUCCAAAACACCGACACUGACCCGACGUUAUUUUCUGUUACCCAGAGGUUGUUGUCCCAUUGGGAGCAGGGGUGAGACCUCCGUGAGAAAGAAAGAAGAAGAACAAUAAGAGAAACAGAUCUCGAUCCUCGAUCUGCAAGCUCACGGGCUACACUGGUGGCCACUACGCCAACUUCAGCUUUGUGUAUAAUACAAGGGCGCGACCUCGUUGAGGGUAAAAGACCCAGUUUUGCAUUGAUUUUUCCGUGUUUUUGUUUCUGUUUUGUCUUUCUUUUUUCAUUUGUUUCUCUCUGUUUCUUUCUUUGUAUUUGCCAUCUUUUUACUUUCUUUCUUGUUCUUAUGUUUUAGUCAGAUUACUCCUUUUUUCUUCCUUUUUCGUCUUCUUCUCUUUUUUGUUUUCUUUUCUUUUUUGUUCACCUGUUUUUUCGUUUUCAUUUGGUUUUUCUUUGUUUCUUUCAUUGUUUUUAUCAUUUUUGGGUUUUCUUGGUUUGCAUUCUACAUUUUUCGUAUAUGUCAUGAAGAUUUUUCUAAUGCACGUUAAUACUUUUUAAUAUGACGUUAUUAUUAUCUAGGACAUGGUUAAUAAUUUUUCUAGUCAUAUUUAAAUACUUUAUAAAUGCUGGAUUUACAUUUUCUAAUAAUAGUUAAUAUUUUUAAUACACAUUUUAAAACAUUUUCAAAUGCUUGAUUAAAAAAUUCAAAAACAAGAUUAACAUUUUUAAUAAAAGGUCAAUAUUUUACCUAUACCCUCUUCACAAGAAUGCAAAUGCUUCAGUAACACUUGUCAAAUACAAGAUUAACAUUUUUUAAUACACGCUCAACAUUUUUUCUAUACACACUUUUAAAAAAAAUUCAAUGCUUGUUAACAUCUUUCGAAUACAAGAUUAACAUUUUUUAAUACAUAGUCAAAAAAAUUCCUACAAACUCUUUUAAACAUUUUCGACUGCAAGAUUAACAUUUUUCUGAAUGCAUGGUAAAAAAAAUUGUAUCCACAUUUAAAAUUUUCAAAUGCUUGAUUAAACAUUUUUAUAUACUUCUCCAACAUUUUUAAAAUUUCUUGAUUAAUAUUUUCAUAUAAAAUGAUCAAAAGGUUACAUCAUUUUUUAAUACAUGGUCAACAUUUUUUCUAUAUAAAUUCAACAUUUUUAAGCACUUGAUUAACAUUUUCCAAAUACUUGUUUAAAAUAUUCUAAAUACAUGAUCAACUUUUUUCACACCCAUUGUACAUUUUUUAAUACAUUGUUCGUAUAUGUGAUUAACAUUUUUUCAUACACAUUUAACAUUUUUGAAAUGCACUAUUGACAUUUUUUAGAACAUUUCUGAAAAAUAUAUUUUGUAGUAUAUAUAUUUAGAAUUUUUGGAGUGUAAACAAAAGUAAGAAAAUAAAUCAGAAAAAGAAAGCAAAAGGUCAACAAAAAAAAGACGAAAGCCAAUUAUUUGUUCAUGCCCUGGAAUUGGUCAUGCCAAUUAUUUGUUAGGGCAAGAUUGAGCUCAAUCCGAACGGGAGCGCCUAUACAGCGCGAUACUCGCCNNNNNNNNNNNNNNNNNNNNNNNNNNNNNNNNNNNNNNNNNNNNNNNNNNNNNNNNNNNNNNNNNNNNNNNNNNNNNNNNNNNNNNNNNNNNNNNNNNNNNNNNNNNNNNNNNNNNNNNNNNNNNNNNNNNNNNNNNNNNNNNNNNNNNNNNNNNNNNNNNNNNNNNNNNNNNNNNNNNNNNNNNNNNNNNNNNNNNNNNNNNNNNNNNNNNNNNNNNNNNNNNNNNNNNNNNNNNNNNNNNNNNNNNNNNNNNNNNNNNNNNNNNNNNNNNNNNNNNNNNUUUCAGCUUAAUUUCAGUUUCAAAAAAAUAGGAUUUCAGAAAAAGUUAGAAGUUGUCCAAUUAUUUGUGAAUUCAAAAGGUUGUUCCCUAUUUGAAAUUUCUUCAGGAAAUGAUAAAUUCUCAAGAAUUCAAAAAAUGUUCACAAUUUCGAAAAUAAUGUUCAUGUGCAAAAAAUAUUUAUAAAUUUCUAGAAAAUGUUCACCAUAUUCAAAAAAUGAGCAGGAAUUUUGAAAAAUGUUCCCCAAAUUCACAAAAUGUUCGCAAUUUCAAGAACUAUGAAGGAACUAAAAAAUGUUCGUCAAAAACAAAAAAAGCUCGGAAUUUCAAAAAAUGUUCAGAAAUUUCAGAAAAUAUUCGCCAUUUACAGAAAAAUUUACACAAUUUCAAGGAUUGUUCGUGAUUUUGAAAAAAAAAACCAUGAUUAUAUAAAACAUUUGACAGGUUUAAAAACUGUUCAUGAUUUCAUAAAAUUGUUUACUUUUUCAAAACAAUAUUCACGAAUUUGUAAAAAAAUAUUCAGCAAUUUGAAGAAUGUUCAUAAUUUCGAAAAAAAAUCGCAAUUUUAAGGAAGUUUGUUCGUAAAAUUGAUACAUGGCCGAACUUUUUUCAGAAAAGGUGAAAAUAAGGAAAAAGUAAAAAAAACAGAACAUUAAAGAAAAGAAAAAAUAAAAGAGUUAAUUGGAAAAGUUAAACAGAAAAAGGAAAUAAAAAACGGAAGAAAUAAACAAGAAAAAACCGGUUCUGGGAAGGUUCUAGAACCUUCCCAAAACCGGUGGGGAGGAAUCCCUAUAUGGGCCGGUCCAACGGACGCUGGGGGAGGGGAAGAGACCUCCUAUAAUCCGCACUCUGUGGGAAAGUGUCGUGGCUUCGCACAGGCGGCCUCCGGCUGGGCUGGCCCAGUACCGCCAGCGGACUUGUAUUGUAGCUCAAAAAAAACGACUUUGCAUGAAAUCGAACCAGGGAUCUCGUGCUGCAAAAUAGAAUUUGCGACCAGCUGAGCUAGCGAUCUUUUCUAGUAAGAUAGCAGCGUCAAUCUUUAAGAACCAACACACAGGGCAGUUCCGAAUUAUUUUUGUAAUUUCGAAUUCAUUUUUUUAACAAAAAAUGAGUAUUUUCUGACACGCGAAUACCUUUCAAAUUUCAGAAUGGUUUUUUAUAAACAGAAAUGUUUAAGAAAAUAAUUGACAUUUUUCGUAAUCAGGAACAAUUUUUUAAACGAGAAUUUUUUUUCAAAUUUCAAAAUAAAACUGGGGAAAUACAAACAUUUUAAACUCCUGACAAAAUAUGCAAAACAUGAACUUUUUUAUUGAAAUUUCUGAACAAUUUUUGACAAGGGAGUUUUUUUUUGAAACUUCAGAAAACGAAAACAUGAACAUUUUUUGAAACCGGAACAUUUUUUGAAAACUUGUGAAAUUUUGGAGCAGAAAUUAUUCCGAACUUUUUUUGUGAGAACACAAACAAUUUUUUGAAUAAGUGAAAUUUUUUUGAAAAAUGUAUGCGAACAUUGUUUUUGGAAAAAAUGAUCGUCUUGGAAUUUUUAUCAUUUUUAGAAGCAAGAACAUUUUUUGAAAGUCACGAACAUUUUUUUAACUCCCGAACAUUUUUUGAAAAUUUUGAACAAAAGCAUUCGCAACAUUUUAACCAAAACAAGAACAUUUUUUGAAAAUAAUGAACUUUUUCGAAUUUAUGAACAAUUUUUUAAAACGACUAUUUUUUAAAUUUUGAACAUUUUUAAAGGCAUGAACAUUUUCAAAAUUUAAGAGCAAUUUUGGAACAUGAACUUAGUUUAAAAAAGAUAAAAUAACCUUGAAAAGGAAAAAAUAAAAAUAAUAGAAAAAAAAGAAUAAAAGAAUAGAAAAAGAGGAAAAAGAAACAAAAACUAAAAAAAGAAAACAGAAAAACCAGCAAAAAAACAAAAAACCCGGUGUGGGGAACCUUCUAGAAGGUUCCCAAAACCGGCUGGCUGUUGCAAUUGUACACUCAACUGGGCCGACCCAUCACAUCGCUGCUCAGUCGCUCGCGUAUGCGAAGCGCCGGCAGUUUGACGCAAAGAGCUUCAAAUAGGAUUUCCCGAAGGGGAACGCGCCAAGGGAACUCCUAUUGGACACUCGCUGCGGCAAGCAGUCGGCAUUUCACACACGAGCAGCUUGGCUGGGCCGGCCCAUAUUGCGGGUGCGGCACAUUCGUAGGUUAAAAAUCGCGAAAAAGGAAAAAGGGUACUGGAAUCGAACCCAAGACUUCCUAUUGCUAAGCGCGAUGAGCUAGCCGCCCCAACUAGCUACUUCUUAUGGUAAAUUGGCAGCGCGAACCUAAAGAAAUUAACGGUAGCGAGAAAACAUAAAAUCUGAAUACGCAAAAUUACGAUGAACCAAGGUGUGAGCGAGGCACCUCUCAAUACAACUAGGUAGUCAAAAAAGGUAGCCCAACAAAUAUGAACUAUAAACCGCGACAAAGGCUAUAAUUAAAAAAAUUCAAACGUGAAUUCUUUUGGCAAAAAGUAAAUAUUUUCUGAAACGCACCCAUUUUAUAAUUUGUGAACAAAAUUUUAAAAAUUAGAACAUUGUAUGAAACCGAAAACAUGUUUUUGGAAUAAAAAAGGAAGAAAACUGAAAUUGCGAACAUUUUGUUUAAAUGCGACCACUUCAAAAUUUGUGAACAAUAAUUUUAAAAUUCGAACAUUUUCGUAAUUUCAUACGAGAACAUUUUUCAAAUUUGCGAACACUUUUUUGAAAAACAGAAUAGAAUUGAAAACCCAAACAUUUCGAAUUUCCCAAAACAUCUUUCGAAGACAUGAACAUUUUUGGAAUUUGUGAACAAAUUAUUUAAAGCACGAACGAUUUUGAAUCUUGAGAACAAAUUUGGAAGCGCCAACUAUUUUUUCAACCACGGACAUUUUUUGAAUCUUGAGAACAAAUUUUGAAAUGGAAAACAAUUUUGAAAUAUUCCGAACAAAUUUGGAAGCGCGAACAAUUUUUUAAAGCACGAACAUUUUUUCAAUCUUGAGAACAAAUUUUGAAACGAAGAACAAUUUUGAAAAAUCCCAAACAAAUUUGGAAGCGCGAACAUUUUCUUUAAAAAGUGAACAAAAUAUUGAAAUCUGCUACAUUUUUUGAAUUUCGAAAGUUUUGAACUUUUCUGUGUAACGAGAACAUUUUUUGAAUUUUGAGAACAUUUUUUCAAAAGCUGAACAUUUUCUGAAAACAUGAACAAAAUUUCAAAUUUUCGAUCUUUUUGAAGAAAAAAGAGAAGAAAAGAAAAAGAAAUAACAAAGAAAAUCCUUUUUUUGUAAAACUGCAAACAUGUUCUGAAAAAGAAAAAGAAACUUGAAAAAUAAAAGGUAACAAAAAAGAAAAAAUGAAAAAGAAACAGAAAACGAAAAAACAAUCAGGAAAGUGUAAAAAAAUGGAAAACCAAUAAAAGAAAAAAAACGGUUCAUGGAACCUUCUAGAAGGUUCAUAAAACCGGAGUGGGCAGUUUGUUUGCUAUGUACGUAAGUGGGCCGGUCCAAAAGCAUCGCUCGGUCGCUCGCUGUGUGCGAACCGCCGGCAGUUUGCCGCAAUGAGCGGCCAAUAGGAUUUUCUACGCGCCAACUCGCUAGCGAGCGACCUAUGCGCCAUAAAGGGAUCGCCAAUCCAAACAGCCCAGUUGCCGCGCCAUGGGCGCCAUCAAGCUCAGCUGGCACGCACUAUGGGCCGGCCCAGUUAACCUCAGCUCGCUCGUUUAAUUCCAAACUUCUAGGUCGGUGGCUCACCUGGUUCGACCGGUUGACCAAUAACUUAUUGACGGUUGAAGAGUCAAACCGUUAACCAUUCACUUUUUAAAAAGUUCAAAUUUUUAAGAAACAGAAAUAAAUAUGUUAGCAAAAUUAACAAAAAUCAUAAAUUUCAAAAAGAACGUGCCUUUGAAAAUUCAUGAUUUGUCUUUUUAAAAUCCAUGAAAUAUGGGGAAAAUGUUCACAAUUUUGAAAUAAAAUCAUUAAUUCGAAAAAUUUCAUGAAAUUUGGGGAAAAAAGUUCGUGAAUUUGACUACAAGUGACACGGAUUUGGGAAAAAAAAUCACGCAUUUAAAAAAAUCAAUUUUGAAUUAAAAUUUUCAUUUAUUAGAAUAAAGUUCACUGGAUUUUGAAAAAAAAGUCACGGAUUUGAAAGAAGUUCAUCGACUUUGAUAAAAGAAUUCACAAAUUUGAAAAACAUUCAUCAAUUUUGAAAAAGUGCCACGAAUUUGGAAAAAAUGUGAACAAAUAAAGUUAACGAAUUUGAAAAAAGAUCACCUAAUUUUGAAAAAAGGUUCGCGGAUUUGUGAAAAGUAUGUUGAUUGUGAUAAAAAUAAAUUUCAAAAAUUUGAAUGAAGUUAAUCAAUUUGAUAAAGUUCCCAAUUUGAAUAAAGUUCCAAAUUUUAUUAUUUUUCUAUGCAUCUUAGAAAAUAAAAAGAAAAAAGAAAAAAGAAAAAAGUAAACAAAAAAUUAACAACCCGAGCGAAAAAAACAGAUGAAAAAUUGGACAAACAAGAAAAGUCUAGAAGGCGCAGAAUAAGAAGCAACAGAAGUAUUAGAAAGCAUAGUGUGUGAGCCGUCCGAGUUGGUUACUGAAUUUGGAAGAAGACGGUGAGGUUCUAAGUUUGAACCUCACGACCCGCGUGACCUUUUGAAGGUUGAAAAAGAAGAAAAAUGGGCCGAGCCCAGGACACAGAGGGUGUACGCCGGUUUAUUCAUGUGCCUUAAAGUGGAGCAGGGGAAGGGAAUGCUCUUUUGCUGCUGACUAUCUUGUAUGGGCUUCUUCGAUCCCGACAGGUGGGGCACAAUCAGGGCAAGUUUGAUGAGGAUAAUGGUAUGUCAGAGGAUGAUAUCGAUCCAGGUGCGGCGACCAAGUGUAACGAGCUUAAAAAAAUUCAGAACGCCGCACCCCAUGCCUAGUCAGGAUCCACCUUGUGAUGCUACCGAUGCAUCGAACUCCCCGACAUAUUUUAAAUGUUCAGAACUUUUUUAAAUAAAAUAGCACAUUUACACAAAAUAAAUGUAUGUUGUCAUAAAAUUUCAAAUUAAAAUUUUAAAAUAGUGUAUGUUGUCUCAAAAACUCAAACUAAAAUUCAAAACAUAGCUCAAAAAACAAAAUGACAAAUUUGACAAUAAAUAGUACACCCCUCAACUCUAGCCCUAGUCUAAUUUACACCCCCAACUCCAAUAUCAUCUAGUUUACACCCCACAACUCUCAAAACCAGCUAGAAUUCAACCCUCCCCUCCCUGUUGACCGGUUUUGACCUGUUGACUGGGUGAACAGUAAAUUUAAAAGGAAUAAAAAAUUUAAAGAAAACAUGUUUAACCGAGUGAACAGUAAAUUCACAAGGAUAUAAAUAAAAAAUUCAAAAAAUAAAUUUGUUUUUUUAUUUUUUAUUUUGUUUGGUGAACAGUAGAUUCAGAAAAAUAAUAAAAAACAAAAAAAGACAAAUGUGACGUCUGUGAAACAGUUAACAAUACAUACUGUUCGGGACAAUCUUUUUUGUUGAGAGACCACUCAAAUAUCCAAACAAGCUGAAAAAUCGGCGCGGACAUCACGCAUUGAAAAUCAUCCAUGCAAAAAUAAUUCCGUUUUUUUUGAAAAAUUUAGUAUUUUUUUGAAUUUACUAUUCAGCCGGUAAAAAAUCAAAAAUGUUUGUUGAAUUUUAUUUCCAACUUUUUUAAAUUUACUGUUCACCCAUCGACAAACAAAAUUAUUUUUUGAUUAUUUUAGUUAUUGUUCAGCCAGUCAACGGGUCAAAUCUGGUCAACUGUGUCAAAACUGGUCAAUAUGGAGGCGAGGUUGAAUUUUGGCCGGUUUUGAGAGUUAGGGGGUGUAAACUAGACGGUAUUGAACUUGGGGGUGUAUAUUAGACUAGGUCUAGAGUUAAGGGGUGUAAUAUGCACUUCUCUCCUUUAGAUUUGACCCCUUGUCACAUUGAUGUCUAAUUAAUCACCUUUGUAUCUCGAGCAGUGUUUUGAAUUUUGAUAUAAAAUCUUAUGAUAAUAUACAUCGAUGUUGCAUCAAUAUGCUAGAUUUUAGAAGAAAAGAAACCCUCGGGUUUUCGGGGCAUUGCAUUCUCACCCAUCUCUUCAUACUCAAGCGACGUUCUCUCUUCUACUUCGUUGACUCUCGCUUUCGCGGUUGCCUCUCUAAGGCGGACACUAUCCUAUCAAUGCAUUUUGGCAUCCCACACCUUUAUUUUUUUGCGAGAAACUUUCAGUCUAUUCAUUUUCAAUCAUGGUGGUUCAAAGAAUAACAGUGGUAAUAAAAACUUAGCCCCCUUUCGUACAACCUGUUCUCUCUUUGUGAAAGGCCUCUGAUUUCAUGAUCUAAUUUGAAGAACUGGCUUAAGAUCGUAGCUCUAGUUGAAAAAAUCCCCCACUCAAGUUAGGCCCUGGAAAACCAACCAAAGAAUGGAAGGAAUGCGCGAUGGAGGCCCUCGUAAAUUAUAAUUUGAACUAUAGCCAGGGCAAAUCUCUUAAUAUCGGAGGUUGGUUUCUAGGCAGGUGCAUAGGAGCCGUCAAAGGAAAGGCGAGAAGCCUUGGCUUUGAUGCACCCCGAUUUAUACAAAAAGGAUCAGAGGUCAAAUUAGUUAACGAAUUAUGAUAUUUGUGAAACAUACAUAAUGUGCUACCCCUCCGUUCCAUAAUGUAAGACUUUUUUUGAUACUACAAUAGUCAAAAAAAUAUGUUACAUUAUGAAACGGAGGGAGUAGAUUUUUAAACAAGGGAACUUCAAUGAAGCCAGAUUCUAUUUUUUAAACAAGGAAUUUCAAUGAAGCCAGAUUCUAUUUUUGCAAAUGCUGCAGCGACUUCUUUGACAGGAAUUCAUCAAUAAAAAAAGUGGAAGAGCAUGAAGCUUCAUUCCCUUGCAAGCUGAUAUGGCGCCUGGCAUUCCACAUUCAAAACAAGCAAUCUCGGGCCGCAGCUUCUAAGAAUCUCAGCUAGCAGGUUUUGCAGCGACCCUCCCCGAGAGGAUAACUAAGGGCGUGUUUGGUUGCCCGCAUAAGAUCCAACCAGGCCCGCGCGUGAAGGAUUCGGCCUGUUUGGUAGCCUGCAUACAUUAUUGGGCCUACAUCGCAUGCUUCUUAAAGCAUCUCAGGGCCUGGCUCACUGAAAACGCACGAAUCGGCAGUUUCUCUAGGGACAGGCCCGAGCGGUGCACGUGGGCGGGCGCGGCUGCACGCGCGCGGCCACGCUCGAGAAGCCGCGUUGCUUCCCGAAGCACCGGCAGUUAUUAGCCUCACCGCCCCUCACCGCUCCCUCUCCCCACUCUUCCCCACUCUUCCAACUCUCACCGGCGGCGGCGGAUUGGAACAGAGGAAGAAGACCACCGGACUCCAUCACCAGCGACGGCGGAUCAGAGCAGAGGAAGAAGACCACCAGACUCCAUCAAUGGUGGUAAGCACUUCUCUCUCUUCGACAUGAACACUUGAUUCGAUCCACGGCGAUAGAUUUGAUCCACGGCGGACGAGAAUGGGGAACAGAGGUAGCUAAGCAUAGGGGUAAUUCAUACUAGUUCAUAGCAGUUCAUACGAGUUCAUACAUAGCAGUUCAUACAUGCAAGAUCGGUAGAUUUCGCGAUUGGGGGAUAGGGGAAUAGGGGGAAAGGGGGUACAGAACGGACACCGGCUGACCGUGGCGGCCGUCACCGGCGUGCGGAGCGGCUGGUCGAGCCGCUGGCCUUCAUCUUCUUAUUCAUCGCCGUGCGGUCCGGCGGGUCAUCCUCGGCGGAGUCGAGGUCGGUCUGCCAAGUAGGACGGACUGGCUUCGGUGCCCUAACCGCCUCUUCUUCCUCCUCCUUAGACUCCCCGCCAAUGACCGCCGACGGCGCGAUACCCGUCCCCAGUACACUGCGGCACGGCGGUCAUUAGGAGCCCAGUAGGUCUUGUACUUGCACCACUUCUUCCUCUGUUUAGGGUCGUCGGAGACGGCCUGAUUCAUGGCCCAGCAAAUGAUGUCAACUGCCAUCGCACCCUUCGCUGGGUCAGGAAUCAGUGUCUUCAGCUCAUCUUUAGUGGCCUUCAUGAGCACGACAUUGGAUUCGUUCUGCAUGUCCAGCAUGGAGCCGAAGUUCGAGCACACCUCCAUGGUGUUCUCGAACUUGGUCCGAUCACCAGCCGUCCACCCGAGAAAGAAGGCCCUCCAGCCAAUACCCCAAGGGAAGGGGUUGCCGUUGGAGCUGGAGCUAGAGCUCAUGGCGAUAGGGAGGAGGAAGGUUGACAGUGAGAGAAGAGAGGGGGUGGGUAAAUAGUGGUGGGUAGGGUGAGUAAAUAUAGGGGGUGGAGAGGAGGAGAAGAGUGACAGUCAUGUCGUUUUAACUACAAGCUCUUGAAUUAGCCAUGAACUCUGUGCAAUGCCUGAUUCCAUGACUUGUGUGCAGAUCGAGGAUAGCAAUGAGAUGGGCACGGAGGUACUCUCGGCCGUUGAUAGCAAGGGCAAGCAGCCCCUUCACCCAAUGCCUGACGAGGUUGAGCUACCGCCCACCACCGAGGAAGACCCGAAAACGCGUGAGGGUGGCGACGACGAGGGCAUGGAGGAGCCCCUAGCAACAAGUGCCGCAACUACGGCCACUACCAUCAAGAGGAUGACCCAACUCACUUCCGCAAGGUCAUCCUUGCACCGAAGCUUGAGUGCAUCCCCAUGCCCCUGGACUUCACCAAGCACUUCGUCGCGGUGCCGACGGAGUUCAAGCUCAGGAAGAACACCGACUGCUCCUGGAAGGUAACGGUCAAGCUGAUGAACGGCAGGGUGACCCUAGAUCAGGGUUGGGCCACCUACGCAGCCGUUCAUCAGAUCAACAUCGGCUACAUGGUGAUGUUCAAGCUCCUCACUCCCGACACCCUCAAGGUCAUCAUCUUCGACGACGAUAGCAUUGAGGUCAUCAACAAGUGCGGGAAGCACAACGAAGCCUUCGCCGCCAAGGAGUAGGGCCGGGGCACCUUCUUUUUAAUUACUAUCGAGUCUGCUUUGAACUGUUUAUGGUUUAUGCGUUGAAAUGUUAUAUCUGUGGUACUGCUUAUAUCUGAAUUAUGCUAGUUGAUGCUCUGUUUAUACUCUGUUGUGCUUAUGAUGUGUGAUGCCAAAGUGUGGUGGUAACCUCACCAACUAGCCAAAUAGAUUACCACACAUCAGGCCUUGCAUAUAAUAAAACACCAUGCCUUGGGUUUGUGGACUAACAUGCAGGCAACCAAACACCAGGCAGUGUGGUUCAGCCCAUGCAGGUAAGAGGGCAUGCAGGCAACCAAACAACAUGCAUAUGGUGCAUUUGAGGCUGCAUUUGCAUAGCCAGGUUGGAUGGAGAAAUUUAUGCAAUGCGGGUACUGUAGCACACGGCAACCAAACACGCCUUAGGAAGCUCACUCUAAUUAGACCAGCUGCAAUACGUUGGAUGUUAGGAUCCUCCUAGCAUGUACACGUACAGAGGCUGCCCCUUGGACCAGCCCAUGGACUUGGCCCUCGGUGCAGCUACUUAAGCAUGGUGUACAGAAGGAGAGGGUAUCCAGUGGAUCACGAACGAACCGACGACGGCUCUUUCCUCCUACCUUCUUCCCCCUGUUGCAAGCUUCCUCUGUUCUUCUCAUCCAUUGUGUAAUUCCUCUGUAAUCACUACUCUAUAUUGCUACUCGUGAGAGAGAUCGAUCUAUACAAGCUAGCUACCAUCACCUCUCUUACAUCUGGUAUCAGAGACCAGCCACCACUCCUUCCCUAUGCGUUUCGCCAAGCUCGUCGGCAUCGGGCAGCCAUGGAUCCAUGGAUGCAGGCGUAUCUCGAGCGGAUCGACACCAUGCUCGAUGCCUACACAGACGCCACCAGGUCCCUCACCGAGAAAGUGGACGCUCUGGUCGUCGUCUGGCGGCCAGACCUGGAGAAGAGGUCCUCCCACACCGCCGUCGUCCACGGUCCACCGGCGCCGACCUCGGCGCUCGAGACCACUACUGAGGCGUCUGAACCCGUCCCUAACAUCUACUACUCCACCACCAAGGCCCAGGAGAUCCCCACGGUCGCCCAUGAUGCAACUCCGAUAUGCAUUCCGAUGGUGCCUGUCACCUGUUCGACGGAUUGCCCGACCCAGAUCGACGCCAUCGACAGCGCCGACGAAGUCCAUGACGCCGCCAGCGUCGCAACAGAGGUUCGCAACACUACAACCGCACUCGGCCCCGAGCUCGCGGUCGACCUCUGCAACACCUGUGGUCACUAUGGCAAGUUCGACGGCCUCAACAUCCCCGUGAAGGCCAGCAUCAGCCCGCCGCCCCACGUCCAGGAUGCAUUCCCAAAUUCCACAAUCAGCAAUUGUCGUGCCGAUGUUGCCGGGACGGACGAGUACGCACUCGUGGAGGCCACUCCAGACGUCGCCAUUGAGCUUGCCAUCCUCCCAGGCGUCUCCUCCUUCAUGAACAAACUAUUCUGGAAGCAUGACAUGGACGUCUCGCCGCCCACAAGGCACAAAGGGCUGCCAAUACGGCCGACACCAUGGCCGUCAUUUUUGGUGCAUCAUAGUGCAAAGGGGAACGAGAUUCGACCCACUCCGUGGCUAUCGUUUUCUUGCUCUCAUGAAGGUAUGACUCUGAAUCAUGAAACUCUGCUGCCUCAUGUUACAUGUGUGAUGAAGAAAUUACUUGCUAGAGGAUGCACUGAUUUCACACUCGGAAAGACUGGUUUACCCAGAUUUCACGUUGAUAAUUCCGCGUAUAGUUCUAAGCAAGUUGGUGAUCUUUUGGUGCACCGACCGCUUGUGAUACUGAAGCAUAGGGGCUGCCUAAAACCUUUGAGCAGCAAGACUGAAGUACCUUGUUGGUGUGAUCACUUCAUCAGCAGAAGUCCACAAAUAUCCCAGGCAAUGCAUUGCCAACUAGUAAAUGAGCUGAAACCUUCUUGGCUGCUGAAUUAUUUAUCUGUUGUCCUGAAUUCUUUCUCAACAUUCUCAAGAUAUUUGCCAAGGGUAGAGCAGGUGCCCAGUAUUUUUCUGAAGGUUGUUUCCAGGAUCCGUAUGGUGCCAAUAGAUAUUCUUAUUCUGAGCAAUCGGUUAAUCCUAUUACCUCUCUCAUGGUUGUCCACUGUUGUGGCCUGAUUCCCGUGGAGGAGCACUUCAAUUGUGUGCAAAAUACCGAGUUGCAGUUUUCCUAUUUACUAGCUGGAAGAACAUAUACUGAUAAAUGGUUAAGUCAAAAAGGUUCCGAGGGAAUUGAGUGCUUGGAUAUCUUGUUGAUCAGUCUACAGUGUAUUGACGACCGCCUAGCAGAAAUUAUGUUCGAUGAGAUUGCGCUGCAGCUUGCUACACAUUGCAAGGAAUUUGGCAUUGCAGGAGAGGUGUUGAACAGCUAUGUUUCUCCUGUUGCUUCAGUGGAGCACCCACCCUGUACUUUUGGGCAGCUUAUCCUAUUUGUGUCAAUGCACUGGAACAAUUCAUGUCGGAAGGGAUUCAAAAGAAGUGGUCAUACUGCAAUCAGCUUACACGUACAAGAGUAAUUCACUAGUGUGUGAAACUGCUAGUUCAGUUAAAGGGUUGACUGGAUUGAAAUCUGAGGAUGUCGGGUCUAACUCAAUAACAUUCUCAAGGAGGGAGGGGUGUCAUCGCUGUCGCAGCCCGCUUCGCGCAAAGCUCCAUCGACCACAAGUACUACAUUGACUUUAACAAUGACUACUUCCUCGACAGUUCCUUCGGUGGGAUCGCAAUCGUCCAUAACUACUACUCCCAUGUUGUUAAAGCCAUCUCUGCCUUUAGCUGCCGCUACGACUUUGAGCCAGUCAAGGACCAUCGAGUGCAAUGGGACCCGGGCGAUUUUCGGUGGCACCGGCUUGGGGUCAAGCCGGAUUUCAAGGAGGGAGGGAUGUUAGGAGCCUCCUAGCCUGUACACGUACAAGGGCUGCCCCUUGGACCAGCCCAUGGACUUGGCCCUCGGUGCAGCUACUUAAGCGUGGUGUACAGAAGGAGAGGGUAUCCAGUGGAUCACGAACGAACCGACGACGGCUCUUUCCUCCUACCUUCUUCCCCCUGUUGCAAGCUUCCUCUGUUCUUCUCCUCCAUUGUGUAAUUCCUCUGUAAUCACUACUCUAUAUUGCUACUCGUGAGAGAGAUCGAUCUAUACAAGCUAGCUACCAUCACCUCUCUUACAUCUGGUAUCAGAGACCAGCCACCACUCCUUCCCUAUGCGUUUCGCCAAGCUCGUCGGCAUCGGGCAGCCAUGGAUCCAUGGAUGCAGGCGUAUCUCGAGCGGAUCGACACCAUGCUCGACGCCUACAUCGACGCCACCAGGUCCCUCACCGAGAAAGUGGAUGCCCUGGUCGUCGCCUGGCGGCCAGACCUGGAGAAGAGGUCCUCCCACACCACCGUCGUCCACGGUCCACCAGCGCCGACCUCGGCGCUCGAGACCACUACUGAGGCAUCCGAACCCGUCCCUAACAUCUACUACUCUACCACCAAGGCGCAGGAGAACCCCACGGUCGCCCAUGAUGCAACUCCGAUAUGCAUUCCGAUGGUGCCUGUCACCUGUUCGACGGAUUGCUCGACCCAGGUCGACGCCAUCGAGAGCGCCGACGAAGUCCAUGACGCCACCACCGUCGCAAUGGAGCUUCACAACACUACAACUGCACUCGGCCCCGAGCUUGCGGUCGACCUCUGCAACACCAUGGCGACCACCAAGGUAGCCACCUGUGGUCACUACGGCAAGUUCGACGGCCUCAACAUCCCCGUGAAGGCCAGCAUCAGCCCGCCGCCCCACGUCCAGGAUGCAUUUCCAAAUUAUUCCACAAUCAGCAACUCCCGCGCCGAUGUUGCCGGGACGGAUGAGUACGCACUCGUGGAGGCCACUGCAGACGUCACCAUUGAGCUUGCCAUCCUCCCAGGCGUCUCCUCCUUCAUGAACAAGCUAUUCCGGAAGCAUGACAUGGACGUCUCGCCGCCCGCAAGGCACAAAGGGCUGCCAAUACGGCCGACACCAUGGCCGUCAUUUCUGGUGCAUCAUACUGCAAAGGGGAAUGAGAUUCGACCCACUCCGUGGCCAUCGUUUUCUUGCUCUCAUGAAGGUAUGACUCUGAAUCAUGAAACUCUGCUGCCUCAUGUUACAUGUGUGAUGAAGAAAUUACUUGCUAGAGGAUGUAGUGAUUUCACACUCGGAAAGACUGGUUUACCCAGAUUUCACGUUGAUAAUUCCGCGUAUAGUUCUAAGCAAGUUGGUGAUCUUUUGGUGCGCCGACCGCUUGUGAGACUUAAGCAUAGGGGCUGCCUAAAACCUUUGAGCAGCAACACUGAAGUACCUUGUUGGUUUGAUUACUUCAUCAGCAGAAGUCCACAAUACCCCAGGCAAUGUAUUGCCAACUAGAAAAGGAGCUGAAACCUUCUUGGCUGCUGAAUUAUUUAUCUGUUGUCCUGAAUUCUUUCUCAACAUUCUCAGGAUAUUUGCCAAGGGUAGAGCAGGUGCCCAAUAUUUUUCUGAAGGUUGUUUGCAGGAUCCGUAUGGUGCCAAUAGAUAUUCUUAUUCUGAGCCAACCGGUUAACCCUAUUACCUCUCUCAUGGUUGUCCACUGAUGUGACCUGAUUCCCGUGGAGGAGCACUUCAAUUGUGUGCAAAAUACCGAGUUGCAGUUUUGCUAUUCACUGGCUGGAAGAACAUAUACUGAUAAACGGUUAAGUCAAAAUGGUUCCGAGGGAAUUGAGUGCUUGGAUAUCUUGUUGAUCAGUCUACAAUGUAUUGACGACCGCCUAGCAGAAAUUAUGUUCGAUGAGAUUGCGCUGCAGGUUGCUAUACAUUGCAAGGAAUUUGGCAUUGCGGGAGAGGUGUUGGGCAGCUAUGUUUUUCCUAUUGCUUCAGUGGAGCACCCACCCUGUACUUUUGGGCAGCUUAUCCUAUUUGUGUCAAUGCACUGGAACAAUUCAUGUCGGAAGGGAUUCAAAAGAAGUGGUCAUACUGCAAUCAGCUUACUCAUUGGCAAUGCAUGGCGACGGUGUUCCAAUCUCCUUGAAAAUUGCAUAAUGAUCCUCCGAGGUCUAUUAUGGUGCUUGUGGUUUGUGAGAGAGUACAAUGAAGAUUGUUGUUUCACUAAGCAGCCAUUACAUGAUGGUAAACAGGCUUUCGACACUAUGUGCAUGUUCUAUUAGUACGGCUCUUGUACUACACCUAUCUUGCGACAAUGGAUGCACAUCUAUUUCAGAGCAUGCAGAGAAUGGGUUCCCUGAGCACAGAAAGUUCGAGCAUUAUUUUUCUUCAGUCAAUGCAACUUCAGCCAUAUGUGCUAGUCUGCUGCGUUAUCUUCUCAGUGCAGUCCUCUUAUGAAUUAUAUGAGCAUUGUGUACUGGAGCGUGCUGUCAUAUUUCUGGGUGUGACAAAAUGCAGGGGGCAAAUCAGAUUAUGAGCAUGUUAGUGGUAUGGAUUUUCUGAGUGAAGAUGAAUUUAAGGGGAAUGGUCGUGUGGAGAUGCUCAGAUUCAGGAGUAAUUCACUAGUGUGUGAAACUGCUAGUUCAGUUAAAGAGUUGACUGGAUUGAAAUCUGAGGAUGUCGGGUCUAACUCAAGAACAUUCUCAAGGAGGGAGGGGUGUCAUCGCUGUCGCAGCCCGCUUCGCGCAAAGCUCCAUCGACCACAAGUACUACAUUGACUUCAACAAUGACUACUUCCUCGACAGUUCCUUCGGUGGGAUCGCAAUCGUCCAUGACUACUACUCCCAUGUUGUUAAAGCCAUCUCUGCCUUCAGCUGCCGCUACGACUUUGAGCCAGUCAAGGACCAUCGAGUGCAAUGGGACCCGGGCGAUUUUCGGUGGCACCGGCUUGGGGUCAAGCCGGAUUUCAAGGAGGGAGGGAUGUUAGGAGCCUCCUAGCCUGUACACGUACAGGGGUUGCCCCUUGGACCAGCCCAUGGACUUGGCCCUCGGUGCAGCUACUUAAGCGUGGUGUACAGAAGGAGAGGGUAUCCAGUGGAUCACGGACGAACCGACGACGACUCUUUCCUCCUACCUUCUUUCCCCUGUUGCAAGCUUCCUUUGUUCUUCUCCUCCAUUGUGUAAUUCCUCUGUAAUCACUACUCUGUAUUGCUACUUGUGAGAGAGAUCGAUCUAUACAAGCUAGCUACCAUCACCUCUCUUACAUCUGGUAUCAGAGACCAGCCACCACUCCUUCCCUACGCGUUUCGCCAAGCUCGUCGGCAUCGGGUAGCCAUGGAUCCAUGGAUGCAGGCGUAUCUCGAGCGGAUCGACACCAUGCUCGACGCCUACACCGACGCCACCAGGUCCCUCAUCGAGAAAGUGGACGCACUGGUCGUCACCUGGCGGCCAGACCUGGAGAAGAGGUCCUCCCACACCGCCGUCGUCCACGGUCCACCAGCGCCGACCUCGGCGCUCGAGACCACUACUGAGGCGUCCGAACCUGUCUCUGGCAUCUACUACUCCACCACCAAGGCCCAGGAGAUCCCCACGGUCGCCCAUGAUGCAACUCCGAUAUGCAUUCCGAUGGUGCCUGUCACCUGUUCGACGGAUUGCUCGACCCAGGUCGACGCCAUCGACAACGCCGACGAAGUCCAUGACGCCGCCACCGUCGCAACGGAGGUACGCAACACUACAACAGCACUCGGCCCCGAGCUCGCGGUCGACCUCUGCAAGACCAUGGCGACCACCAAGGUAGCCACCUGUGGUCACUACGGCAAGCUCGACGGCCUCAACAUCCCCGUGAAGGCCAGCAUCAGCCCGCCGCACCACGUCCAGGAUGCAUUCCCAAAUUAUUCCACAAUCAGCAACUGUCGCGCCGAUGUUGCCGGGACGGAUGAGUACGAACUCGUGGAGGCCACUCCAGGCGUCGCCAUUGAGCUUGCCAUCCUCCCAGGCGUCUCCUCCUUCAUGAACAAGCUAUUCCGGAAGCAUGACAUGGACGUCUCGCCGCCCACAAGGCACAAAGGGCAGCCAAUACGGCCGACACCAUGGCCGUCAUUUCUGGUGCAUCAUAGUGCAAAGGGGAAUGAGAUUCGACCCACUCCGUGGCCAUCGUUUUCUUGCUCUCAUGAAGGUAUGACUCUGAAUCAUGAAACUCUGCUGCCUCAUGUUACAUGUGAGAUGAAGAUUACUUGCUAGAGGAUGCAGUGAUUUCACACUCGGAAAGACUGGUUUACCCAGAUUUCACGUUGAUAAUUCCGCGUAUAGUUCUAAGCAAGUUGGUGAUCUUUUGGUGCGCCGACCGCUUGUGAUACUGAAGCAUAGGGGCUGCCUAAAACCUUUGAGCAGCAACACUGAAGUACCUUGUUGGUUUGAUUACUUCAUCAGCAGAAGUCCACAAAUACCCCAAGCAAUGUGUUGCCAACUAGAAAAGGAGCUGAAACCUUCUUGGCUGCUGAAUUAUUUAUCUGUUGUCCUGAAUUCUUUCUCAACAUUCUCAGGAUAUUUGCCAAGGGUAGAGCAGGUGCCCAGUAUUUUUCUGAAUGUUGUUUGCAGGAUCCGUAUGGUGCCAAUAGAUAUUCUUAUUCCGAGCCAAUCGGUUAAUCCUAUUACCUCUCUCAUGGUUGUCCACUGUUGUGACCUGAUUCCCGUGGAGGAGCACUUCAAUUAUGUGCAAAAUACCGAGUUGCAGUUUUGCUACCCACCCUGUACUUUUGGGCAACCUAUCCUAUUUGUGUCAAUGCACUGGAACAAUUCAUGUCGGAAGGGAUUCAAAAGAAGUGGUCAUACUGCAAUCAGCUUACACAUUGGCAAUGCAUGGCGACGGUGUUCCAAUCUCCUUGAAAAUUGCAUAAGGAUCCUCCGAGGUCAAUUAUGGUGCUUGUGGUCUGUGAGACAGUGCAAUGAAGAUUGUUGUUUCACUAAGCAGCCAUUACAUGAAAGUAAACAGGCUUUCGACACUAUGUGCAUGUUCUAUUAGUACGGCUCUUGUACUACAGUAUUCCUAUCUUGCAACAAUGGAUGCACAUCUAUUUCAGAGCAUGCAGAGAAUGGGUUCCCUGAGCACAGAAAGUUCGAGCAUUAUUUUUCUUCAGUCAAUGCAACUUCAGCCAUAUGCGCUAGUCUGCUGCGUUAUCUUCUCAGUGCAGUCCUUUUAUGAAUUACUAGUAAUUUGCCCGUGUGUUGCUAUGGAAUAAAAUAGAUGUAUAUGAAUAUAUUACAAAAAAAUCAUUGCAUUUUGUGGAAUCCCUACCACAUACUCGUUGGGUUCUGUUUCUCUUAAUUUGUUUAUCUCCUCUUCCAUUCCCUCACAUUUGUUCUCUCCGGUCACCAACUCUUCCUCUAGCCCCUCCAUCACUUCCUCCAACUUUGAUGAAUCUCAUCCAUGGAUGUUUAGAGCUGAAGAAUGGUGACACAUUAAGUGACAACGUGGGUUUCACUUUUUAGAUGCCACUUUCUUUGAACCCCUAAACACAAACACAUAUUAUUUCUAGCCUCGGUUUCUUUUCCUCCCUAGCAUUUUCCACCUUAGCCUUUUAGACACCUAAUUUGUUUUGUCCCCCUUUACCACGGUGACAAUUUGAAUUCAUAUGGUUAAAAACAUAAAAAUCACAUAUGCUCUUAAAUGCAAUGGCAAAAAGUAAUCUGGUGAGCUCUCUCUAAAUCAAAAUGUCCAAGACAAAACUGGACACCGUGUACAUGUACUGUAGAUCAGUAGUGUAGUUACUUAGAACUUGGACAAUAUUCUUGAUAAUUUUUGCAACAAGAAGUUGAGGGCCACUAUGGACUAAUUCUGUAUAGUAUAUAAUGUUACAGAUAUGACUGUGAUGUUGUGAAAAUAAAGUGAAUAGUUUCAAUAGUCAACAUGCUGUAAAGUAUCCUCUUAAGUUGAGGCCCUACCGCUGCUAUGAGGCAAAUUAGUAAAUUUACACGCUUGAUUGCAAAUGGAACAACGGCACAUACUUUGUGGUGCUUAAAUAAGCUAGGGUGAUGUAGUGUCAAUUAAAGAGUGGAAGGUGAUUAUUUUCUAACAAUAUAGGAUGAAAGCACAAGACAUUUUGAGAUCCUUGGAUUCACACGGAACAUAACAAAAGUAACACACAGAUCAAUCAAAUACUAUAUCUUUAAACAAAACAAAACCAGUAAUUAGUUUUCGACCAUACAUUGUACAUUACAGCGACAAACAUUAGUUCCAAAAUGACACCCAAUUCAACAGAUAUGUAGCAGCUUAAUGAGCCAUGUUACAAUAAUCAAGAACCAAAAUAGACACUUCUUUCCAUCUAUGCAUUCUUGCUGGCAAGAGUCACAGCUCAAGUCUUCUUUCUCCUAAGUGCAUUUCUUGCUUCUUUGUCUUAGAUUGGAUCUUUCAGUACUACAGAGGAACAAUGCAAGCACAAAACAUUCGAGCAAGAAUAUCUGAAAGUGCGUCAUCUACCGUCCUUGGUUCAAAAGGUCUAGACAAAAGGCUCCAACAUCAUGCCAUACUACUAAAGCUUGCUCCUGAUCCAUGAGUGUUUUACUAAGAUCGUUGUCGAUCCUGCAAAAGUAUUUAUACUUAAAUUUGGCAUAAAUGUGUUCCUUGCAUUACCUCUGAUCCAUCUGACGCCAGCUGCAAUAGAGCAGUGCUAUCCAGACGACAUUAUUUGGACGAUUUGCAGCCGACGAUUGAAUCCAGCCGUGCAAUCUUGUUCACGGCAGAGCAACGGCCGGUGGAUUCUUUAAUCGUGCACAGAUCGUCCAAAAGUUUAUCGUGUGUGAAGCAGUUUCGGCUGCAAUAUUUGGACCAAAGUACCCCUUGCUAAAAACAGUAGUAUGCAGAUCGUGCUCUACUUGAAGACAAAACGAUGAUUAAUAUAUAUAAAUGAUGCUAUGGAUACAUGAUACAAUUAGAUUAUCUAUAACGAAUAAACCAGCACCAUCCUUACCAACUUCAUGCUUUACUCUCAGCAUGGUAACUACAACGAUGGUACACGCCUCAACACUUAUCGGCCAAGUGGUUUGAUUAUUGUCACUAACUAAUUUCUGAACUUAUCUGUAUACUAACUGUUUGAAGUAAGCACUAAAAAGUACAUGCUGCUCAUGUUCAGGGAGAUGACGUACUUUAGAGAACCCAUACAUAACAGACAAAGUUUCAAAACGUACAAGAAGUCCAAACAUCAUGGAUAAAAUUAGAAUCCAAGAUUCUUGUCUCGUGCACACAUUCAUCUACAACCACGAGCUGCAGUUCACUUAAUUAUGAAGUAUGAACUAACUCAUCAAGGACUCAGUUAAGCAUCAGCAGGAGUAAGACAGAGGAGGUGGAAAUGCGCUCGGAUGGAAGCAAAUCAGAGCAGAGCACGACGUACUGUCCACAUGUUUGUCGACAUGGUGGCAUUGCGCUCCUGAGGAUCCGGUGCAGCUCUGGAGCGAGAGCGCCGACAUGGGGUGUGACCUCCAUGCGGUCUGGUGAUGGCAGGUGGGCAGUGGGCAUGCCCGCAGGGUGUGCGGCCUCCAGACAGUCGCAAGUACGGCGAACGAGCACGCUUGAAGAGGUUGCGGCUUCCGCGAUUCAUUGACGGUGAGCUAGUAGUACUGGCAGCGGUAGUGGCCACCACGCGGCACGGGUGACAGCGAGCGAGCAGGGCAUCAGACACAGAGCGUGAUGGACAGAAAGAAAGACACAGGAAGGGAGAGGGAUGAAGAAGCUGGGAGAAUUGGGGCGGUGUACAUGACGAUCUGAAUUUUGAACUAAGAUUGGGAACACCCAUGUCAGGGGAAGGGGUAUUGGGGGAGGUUGGCGGCAUGGGGGAAGCUGGCGGCAGCAAGACACAUUAGAGGGAGGCCGUGAGCAGGGGAGGUAAGAAGGCUUGGUUGCCUGGCUGCCGGUACGUGGAGCUCGGCGAGGAGGAAGGAGAGGUCGUGUGCGGCGGGGCUCCUACAUCAGAGUCUCGUGUGAGGAAGCAGGAGAGUCCUCGCGGGACUCAAGGGGCGGAUGGCGCCGGCGGCGUAGUUGCCGAUCGUCGGAGGAGAAGGGGUAGGGUUGGAGGAGAAGGUGGUGGGCGGCGGGUCUGCUGCAUCGGAGGAGAAGGCAUGAGAGGAGUCGCAGACUCGGCGGAAGGACGGCACCAGCGGCGUACUUGCCGAUGUCGGCGUCGUAGGAGACGAGGUAGGGGGAGGAGGAGACGACGGGGAGGUGCGUGUGGCGGUGGCCGGUGAGGUUCCUAUGGCAAAGAGGAGGGACGGAGCGCCNNNNNNNNNNNNNNNNNNNNNNNNNNNNNNNNNNNNNNNNNNNNNNNNNNNNNNNNNNNNNNNNNNNNNNNNNNNNNNNNNNNNNNNNNNNNNNNNNNNNNNNNNNNNNNNNNNNNNNNNNNNNNNNNNNNNNNNNNNNNNNNNNNNNNNNNNNNNNNNNNNNNNNNNNNNNNNNNNNNNNNNNNNNNNNNNNNNNNNNNNNNNNNNNNNNNNNNNNNNNNNNNNNNNNNNNNNNNNNNNNNNNNNNNNNNNNNNNNCAAAUGUGAAGUGGGGUUGGCUCCUAUGCGUUGGAUGCAGAUCAAACGGCCCAAAAAGAUAGAUGGCAGGCACACCAUCACCAUCAACUCAGAUUUUUAUAGGAGUAGAGAUAGAGAUAUGAGCAUCGUGUACUGGAGCGUGCUGUCAUAUUUUUGGGUGUGACAAAAUGCAGGGGGCAAAUCAGAUUAUGAGCAUGUUAGUAGUAUGGAUUUUCUGAGUGAAGAUGAAUUUAAGGGGAAUGAUCGUGUGGAGAUGCUCAGAUUCAGGAGUAAUUCACUAGUGUGUGAAACUGCUAGUUCAGUUAAAGGGUUGACUGGAUUGAAAUCCGAGGAUGUCGGGUCUAACUCAAGAACAUUCUCAAGGAGGGAGGGGUGUCAUCGUUGUCGCAACCCACAUCGCGCAAAGCUCCAUCGACCACACAACGACUACUUCCUCGACAGUUCCUUCGAUGGGAUCGCAAUCGUCCAUGACUACUACUCCCAUGUUGUUAAAGCCAUCUCUGCCUUCAACUGCCGCUAUGACUUUGAGCCAGUCAAGGACCAUCGAGUGCAAUGGGACCCGGGCGGUUUUCGGUGGCGCCGGCUUGGGGUCAAGCCGGAUUUCAAGGAGGGAGGGAUGUUAGGAGCCUCUACACAUACAGGGGCUGCCCCUUGGACCAGCCCAUGGACUGCCCUCGAUGCAGCUACUUAAGCAUGGUGUACAGAAGGAGAGAGUAUCCAGUGGAUCACGAACGAACCGACGACGGCUCUUUCCUCCUACCUUCUUCCCCCUGUUGCAAGCUUCCUCUGUAAUCACUACUACCUCCGUUCGGGUUUAUUAAUCCCCAUUGUAUUUCGUGCCAAAUUUUGACCAUAGAUCAAACUAACAAAAUGUUCACGCAUGUCACCAAACAUUAUAUUUUUGAAAACUAUGUUCAAAUACGAAUCCAAUGAGAUAAUUUUUCUUGACAUGCAUUAACAUUUUGUUAGUUAAAUCUUUAGUCAAAAUUUGGCACAAACUACAAAGGGGACCUAUAAACCAGGAGGGAGGUAGUACUCUAUUGCUACUCGUGAGAGAGAUCAAUCUAUACAAGCUAGCUACCAUCACCUCUCUUACAUUGGGUUUCAAUAAUCUGCUGCACAAAAUCUGGUUUUUGAAAGCUUUAUCCUGAGGGACCCUUAAAGCCAUUGCAGCAACACAAUUCUGGCGCAUGCUGCACAAAAUCUGGUUUUGGAAGCUGAGCCCAAGGGACACUUCACACCAUUACGUCCUAACUCGAACACAGUUCUGGCUCUCAACAAGGAUCGCAGCAUCAAACAUCUCAACCAACGAGAACCUCAAACAAGGCAAAAGCAGAAAUCCAAGCCACGGACGAGGCGAAAAGCCAGACAGAAAGGGAGUUGAGUACUGGACUGAACGAUUUAUAUAUUCUUCACAAACCACAACCAAAAAAGAGUACUUGAUUAGCAACUCCAUUACAGAUACUAGAGGUUGAUGCGGAAAACAGAAGGUAACUCAUGUCCAACUAACAUGAACCAGGCGUCGUCUGGCGACACCAUCCACAUUUAUUCUUCGCAUAGACAAAGCAGGGACACCUCUGACCAGGCGCCACAAACGAAAGCAGAACGCUCUACUGAGUCUUGGCCAUGUGGCGGAUCAGGUCGACAACGCGGUUGCUGCAGAGGAAUAAGAUUCAAG
rnacentral:lncRNA from 1 species